UGAGAAGAAAAGGUGCAACAUAAUUUGAUGAGAUGACAUUGUGAGAUUCUCAGAAAUGAUCUAUGGAAGUGAGCUCUGAAACAAGAGUUCAUCAGUAAACCAAGGAGAGGAUGAGGAGGUGGCUGAUAGGCUCAGCAACAAAUCAUCGAGAUUUCCAAAGGAUGGAUUUCCACAAUUAUGUGAACAAGGAAAUAUCAUUUGUCGGAUCAAAUGAUAUAAUGAUGUAUGCUCGAGGGAAACAUACACAACUGAACAAUGANNNNNNNNNNNNNNNNNNNNNNNNNNNNNNNNNNNNNNNNNNNNNNNNNNNNNNNNNNNNNNNNNNNNNNNNNNNNNNNNNNNNNNNNNNNNNNNNNNNNUGCGACGUGUUGAUCUUCCGAGGCCGGGCAUGACCCAGGAAAGUGUGUCCGGCCAAAUGGGAUCGAGCGUGUUGGGCUAUGUGGUGCACCCCUGCAGGGAAGUUAAUCUAUUCGAAUAGCCGUGAUCUUCGGUAACAGGACGACUUGGAGUUGUACCUUGACCUUAUGACAACUAGAACCGGAUACUUAAUAAAACACACCCUUCCAAGUUCCACAGACAACCCGGUGAUCGCUUUUCCGCAGGGCGACAAGGAGAGGAUCGCCGGGUAGGAUUAUGCUAUGCGACGCUACUGGAGAGGUUACUUGGAGAUGCUAUUGAAGAUGCUACUUGGAGGACUUUAAUCUACUCUCUCCUACAUGCUGCAAGAUGGAGGCUGCAGAAGCGUAGUCUUCGAUAAGACUAGCUAUCCCCCUCUUAUUCUGGCAUUCUGCAGUUCAGUCCACUGAUAUGGCCCUUUACACAUAUACCCAUGCAUAUGUAGUGUAGCUCCUUGCUUGCGAGUACUUUGGAUGAGUACUCACGGUUGCUUUCUCCCCCCUUUUCCCCCUUUCCUUUCUUUCUGGUUGUCGCAACCAGAUGCUGGAGUCCAGGAGCCAGACGCCACCGUCGACGACGACCCCUACUACACCGGAGGUGCCUACUACUACGUGCAGCCCGCUGACGACGACCAGGAGUAGUUUAGGAGGAUCCCGGGCAGGAGGCCUGCGCCUCUUUCGAUCUGUAUCCCAGUUUGUGCUAGCCUUCUUAAGGCAAACUUGUUUAACUUAUGUCUGUACUCAGAUGUUGUUGCUUCCGCUGACUCGUCUAUGAUCGAGCACUUGUAUUCGAGCCCUCGAGGCCCCUGGCUUGUAUUAUGAUGCUUGUAUGACUUAUUUUAUUUGUAGAGUUGUGUUGUGAUAUCUUCCCGUGAGUCCCUGAUCUUGAUCGUACACAUUUGCGUGCAUGUUUAGUGUACGAUUGAAUCGGGGGCGUCACAAGUUGGUAUCAGAGCCGACUGCCUGUAGGAAUCCCCCUUUCCAACUCCUUGGCCGAAGUUGAGUCUAGACUUUACAAAAACUUUUACUAACAUGGCUGUGCGGCCCAUGGGCCCACGUCGCCAUUGGGUGGUAUAAGGAUCUUUUAUUCCUCGACCUUUACUCUGGGACUCUGAUCUCUCCUCUAUUCGGGUUAAAUGAAGUUUAUUAAAUCUAACAUUAGGAUCUCGUUAUCACUUUCACCCGGAGAGCCCCUUAUUACUAAUGAUCGUCUGCUGCACCAGAAGACCCUGAAGAUACUCUCCACUGUUAACCCGAGAACUUGUGUUCAUCGCGUUUGCAAUUCACCUUCCACCGCAAACCCUUAUGGAUAACUACUUGCAUUUGUUAUUCUUACAUUCAUCCCCAGUGGUCUUGUUAUUACAAGAUACCCUGAAAAACUCGUCGUUGUUUCGAAAAUCCCUUGAGCUUACUGCCUUGCUGUUCUUUGUCACUUGAAUACCCCUACGGUUAAUUCUCGCACUUAUCGAGUAUCCGCUCAUCCCCCAGUUGUUCAUGUGUUACACAAAAGUCUUCGAAAUACCACCCGAUAUUCCGAAAAUCCUCAGCAACCUAUUGCUCUGGAAUUUCUUGUUUGCUUUCAUUAUGAUUAAUCCCAUAAGUAUAGAAAUCUUAUUGACAUUCCUUGUCAUUAUCAUUUUGAGUCUGUUGACUCAAUAUGCUGCGAAUACACGCAAUCAUCAUUGAUCCUUAUAAAUUACUUUUCCGGCUGAGCUUCCAUCCUUUUAACUGGAAAUGGUUCUCGACCAAUCCAAUUGUCGUUGAUUGUACCCUAAGGCUAUUCAACUUAUCCAUCCCUAAUCAGAGCAUUGAUUCUGUUCCCUUAAUUUGGAAAUCAUAAUUACUUUGCAUUUGAGCUCUGGAUUAGUCAGUUGUUUCUAUAAUCCAAUGCCCUUGCAUUGUUACUUCCUCUGAUGGUGUGCCGAUGCUCACAUCAGCUCUGUUAUGGACCGACAGAUCCUUUAAUGGAUUUUAUCCGACAUUGUCCUUCAUAUUCAAUAACCUUGUGAGCCUUCCCUUGGAUACAUAAUGCCUUUGGUAAAUUGUAUCAUCUACUUUCUCAACCUUGCUCUACUUUUGAGCUUGUGAUAUUUACUAUUGAAGUUUGUGGUAUAUGUUCGUAAGAUGCCCGGAUGGGUUGAACCUAUGCCUUCCUUAAUAUGUGUGAACUCGAAAGAUUUCACGAGUCAUACUCAUCUGGUAUUUCACCAGGUAAAACUUUCAACACUAAUGCCUUUAUCAAAGCGAGAAGUGAAUGGAAGAUUAUACAUUAAAGAAGUGGGAGUCGACCUUGAACUUUGUGUUCAUGCCCAUAGACACGAUGUAGAUCUUCUCAUCGAAGCUUCUUUUAAAAUUAAUUAUUCCCUUGGUAUAAGUUCAUCUUAUAUCUGGGAUCUGGCCUUUUUCAAUCGUGGUUCCGACCAUGUUCUCCUUUAAAUACCAAUUCUCGUGCAAGUUUAAGCACUUGUCUUCUGCAGAGCAAUACCCCAGUCCAACCUCUAUUUUGAUCUGUCGUCGAGUAUUACCCCCUGGUAUCUCGAGAUUAUCAUGGAACUGCAUAACUUCUUAUGAGUUCUUCAUCAAGUGCUACGUUCCCACUGAUUACAAUUUUUCAUGGGCUCUGAGUUAUUAAACACUCAAAGACACCGAUAACUGAACCGAGUCCGCUCUACGGUUCAGCAACUCUUCAGUAAGCUUCUAUAAGUACGAGUUUGUACCCGAUCACGCCAUUCCUAGCCUGUUUGGCUAUAUCAUUGUCGUGACGAUUCUAACGGUGCUACCUGGUCCUUAUUCUCGGAGCACCAAUUUUCGACGAUGAACUAACCUUACGUCGAUUUUUCCUCGUCAUACCCUUUCACCUUAAACAACAAGCUUGAGUUCGAGUUUGUGUCGUAACUGUGGUUCCAAUAACCUCUUGCUUCAUCAUUCCUUUGACUUGAUGUCGUCGCUGAUUGACUACAUCUNNNNNNNNNNNNNNNNNNNNNNNNNNNNNNNNNNNNNNNNNNNNNNNNNNNNNNNNNNNNNNNNNNNNNNNNNNNNNNNNNNNNNNNNNNNNNNNNNNNNGGUAACAAAAAUCUGAUAAUUAUGUAUAUCAGUAGCCCCUGAGACUUGAAACAGUUGGUACAACUAAUUUAAGGAUCAUUGUAUGAAUAGGUUCUUACAGAGAAGAAUACCCAUUUGUAUCAAGAGCUGGAAGAGUGUAAAGCCCAACUAAGGGCCGCAACUGCCGAAAUGGAGGAAUCCAAGAAGGGCUCAUCUGGUAAUAUUUCUCUCGAUCGAGAAGAAACAUAAUAUCGUGUUCCAUUUACUGUUCGGCACAUUGCAGAUCUAACAAUAGAUUCCGCACGUAAUCCCGAAGUGAAUCCGGAGAUCCUACAAGAGGAUGAACAAAGAGCUCAACGACAACUAGAGGCUAGCGAGCGUGUACUUACACGGGUCAGGCGAGAGAAAAAUGAUCUCCAGGAUGCCAAUACCCAGCUGGGCGUAGAAUUGAAAGAUGUUCGGGCCCAGCUAGCUGACUCCGUGAAGGAGAAUAGAAGGCUUCAAUGCGGCAUUUUUAGUAUGUGCUCAAACGAACCUUUAUAUAGUUCGGCGAAGAAACGGGCUAACAGAGUUAUGUCUGUACGUAUACUGACUGGUCGUCCCGAAGAGGAGAUGCACGAAUCCUCAUGCGAUCUUCUGCAAGAGCUUUCGCAACUGCACGAACAAGUUCGGCAGGUGAUGCAGGGAGUCGCCAAGGCCUUGUGGCCAUCCGCCUCCCUGCUAGGAAGCAUGGGGGAGCUUGUACAGCUGCUCAAGGGAGCGCGGCACCACUUCCGAUUAUGGAAGAUAUUUGCAUGUCGACAAGGUGCGAGGAAAGCUUGGGCCAUGGUAAAAACACGGUAUACCAAGCUGGAUCCGAAUAACAUGGCCCGGGUCGGACUUGUAGGGUCAGAUGGGAAAGAGAUUAGCUUGGUAUAUGACCAGGUAGGAUUAGCUGCAAAGUAUUCCCAACAGGAUUGUAGGCUGGACAGCCUAUUGGAUGGCAUAGAAGAAGAAGUAAGUGAGUCUAAGUGACUAUGUACUUCGAUUGACAUAUUUUGUCCCUAGCCGGAUUGUAAAUCAUUUGUCAUGGCGGACCUUUUCGCUUCAACCUCCGGACCCGACAGUCCGGAGUGUUUCCGAAUACCCGCUCAGUUAUAUAAACUGGGGUACGCGUGGAAACCAGGCAUAGGGGUCAUAAUUGCUUGAACAGACAAGUACCCAACUAGCUAUGUUAUAUUACAUGGAUAGUAAGAAACAUCUUCCAGGGAGAAUAGUUCCGUUAAGGGUUCCUUUCCCUGGGUACGCAUGCAUUAAUGUGCUUGUCCGAACUGCGAGCAGAAAUGCAGUAUAUGCAACAUCUGGGGGUUUGUAUUGUAAUAGGUAAAAACAUCUUUAGUUCACCGACCGAAUAUUCCAUUAAGAACGCUAGCUUUCGGCUUCACCUAGUCUGAGGUACACGUCCGGAGUACCCGGCAGUAACAAUCGCAGAGGUGCUCCCCUUAUGCCCUAGCCGAACUAAGGGGAACGUAGGGCCUAAACACAAGAGCCAGGCAACCCAGCUUGGCCAAAACCUAAGUCAUAUCGAUGCAUAUAAUGGUGAAGAAAAGGUACAUAUGGGAAAGCAACACACAUGCAGUGGGCGUGAUGCCCGAAAGAUAAUUAUAUUAAGCUUCUAUAUAAGAAGCCCCCAGGUAUAGUGAGUGCGCAUACUUGAGGAUUUAGCGCGUCAAGUGUGUGUAGUUGAGUCACACUUAAAGCCUUAGAGCCAUAAAAAGAAAAGGAGAGGAUAUAACUAAAAAAGGCGGACGAAAGGAAACGAACACAGAGUUCGGCGCUAGGCGUAGAAUCUUCGGAGUCUGGCCGCGUUCCAUGGGUUCGGCUCGAGUCGAUUAUCUGAUGCAUCACGCAGGCGGUACGCUCCUCCGGUGAGAACUUUAUCGAUGAUGAAGGUACCCUCCCACUUGGGCUUGAGCUUGUCAUUUCUCUUCUCACGUAGGCAUAGAAUGAGUUUGCCAAUGUUAUAAGUUUUGGCCCGUACUUCUCUAUUUUGAUACCUGCGAGCCUGUUGCUGAUAGAAUGCGGAACGGGCUUUUGUGACGUUGCGCUCCUCCUCCAAGGCAUCUAAGCUGUCCUGCUGAUCAAGCUUGGCUUCUCUCUCUUCAUACAUGCGCACUCGAGGUGAGUCAUGAAUGAUAUCGCAGGGCAACACCGCCUCUGCGCCGUACACCAUGAAGAAGGGUGUGUAUCCGGUAGUGUGAUUUGGCAUGGUCCAGAGCGCCCAUAGUACAGAGUCGAGCUCCUCGACCCAGUGCGUGUCUGAUUCCUUCAGAGAUCGCACUAGUCAAGAUUUUAAGCACAUAGAGAGGAAACUUGACAUUAUUGCAAUUCCUACAAGCAUAUGUUCCUCCCUCAUAAUAAUUUUCAGUAGCAUCAUGAAUGAAUUCAACAAUAUAACCAGCACAUAAAGCAUUCUUUUCAUGAUCUACAAGCAUAGAAAAUUUACUACUCUCAACAUAAGCAAAUUUCUUCUUUAUAGCAUACGUAUCAUCACAAUAAUCAUCAUAGAUAGGAGGCAUGCUUUCAUCAUAGUAAAUUUGCUCAUCAAAACUUGGGGGACAAAAUAUAUCAUAUUCAUCAAACAUAGCUUCCCCAAGCUUGUGGCUUUGCAUAUCAUCAGCGUCAUGGAUAUUCAAGGAAUUCAUACUAACAACAUUGCAAUCAUGCUCAUCAUAUAAAAACAUUCUAUAGAUUUCUUCUUCUAGCACUUGAGCACAAUUUUCCUUUCCAUCAUACUCACGAAAGAUAUUAAAAAGGUGAAGCGUAUGAGACAAACUCAACUCCAUUUUGUUUUGUAGUUUUCUUUUAUAAACUAGACUAGUGCUAAAACAAGAAACAAAAAGAUUCGAUUGCAAGAUCUAAAGAUAUACCUUCACUUACCUAGCCUCCCCGGCAACGGCGCCAGAAAAGAGCUUGAUGUCUACUACACAACCUUCUUCUUGUAGACGUUGUUGGGCCUGCAAGUGCACAUGUUUGUAGGANNNNNNNNNNNNNNNNNNNNNNNNNNNNNNNNNNNNNNNNNNNNNNNNNNNNNNNNNNNNNNNNNNNNNNNNNNNNNNNNNNNNNNNNNNNNNNNNNNNNUGAAGGGAUUGACAACCCCUUACCGCGUUGGGUGCAAGUUUGUUAAUUGUUUUUGCAGGUAUUCGGUGACUUGUGGGUAGUCUCCUACUGAAUUGAUACCCCGGUUCUCAAACUGAGGGAAAUACUUACUCUACUUUGCUGCAUCAUCCUUUGCUCUUCAAGGGAAAAACCAAUGCAAGCUCAAGAGGUAGCAGGAAGAAUUUCUGGCGCCGUUACCGAGGACAUCUACACCAAGUCAAGACAUACCAAGUACCCAUCAUAAACUCUCAUCUCUUGCAUUACAUUAUUUUCCAUUCAUCUCUCGUUUUCCUCUCCACCACCUCUAAUUUUUUUUUCGAAAAGAUGUUCCUUUUCUUCCCGUCUUUUCCGUUCAUCUUCUUUCGUUUGCUUCUUGUGUGCUUGUGUGUUGGGUGUCUGUUUUCAUUGAUCGCGCAACCAAAAAGCGUUGAUCCUCACCUUAGGAGCUUGGAAGAAAUUGAGAAUAAUGUUAUAAGCUUUAUGUCUUUAAAAUUUGAGCAUAAUAAUUUCUUUAGAAACGAGCUUAAAGAACAAAAAAGUUUUAUGGAGUAUUUGAAUAAAGAGCUCGAUGAUAUGUCUAAAGAAUUUUAUGGUUUGAAUUCUCAGUUUGCUCAUCUUGAAAAUUUUGUAGGUCAAAUUUCUAAUAAACAAGCCACCUUAGUUAAUAAGAUGGCCGCUAAACCCGAGGCUCUAAAUAAUAAUGAUGAAGAUCUAAAGGUUAUUGAUGUGACUCCAAUUGAAUCUUUGUUUUCCAAUGUUAAUCUUGAUAAAUAUGGGACUGGAGAUGAGUCAACUUUAGUUAAAAGGCGUCCCAAUGAUUUGGAGUUUUUAGAUCUAGAGGCAAAAAUUGAUAAAAGUGGGAUUGGAGAGGUCAAAACUUUACAUAGCAAUGAACCCACUAUUUUGGAUUUCAAGGAAUUUAAUUGUGAUAAUUGUUCUUUAAUAGAUUGCAUUUCCUUGUUGCAAUCCGUAUUGAAUUCUCCUCAUGCUUAUAAUCAAAACAAAGCUUUUACAAAACAUAUCGUUGAUGCUAUGAUGCAAUCUUUUGAAGAAAGCUUGAAUUAGAAGUUUCUAUCCCUAAAAAACUUUAUGACGAGUGAGAACCUACUAUUAAGAUUAAUAUCAAAGAUUAUGAAUGCCAUGCUUUGUGUGAUUUGGAUGCUAGUGUUUCCACGAUUCCAAAAAUGUGUGUGAUGUGUUAGGGUUUCAUGAAGUUGAUGAUUGUUCUUUAAAUUUGCAUAUUGCGGAUUCCACUAUUAAGAAACCUAUGGGAAGGAUUAAUGAUGUUCUUAUUGUUGCAAAUAGGAAUUAUGUGCCCGUAGAUUUCAUUGUCCUUGAUACAGAUUGCAAUCAUACAUGUCCUAUUAUUCUUGGUAGUCCUUUCCUUAGAAUGAUUGGUGCAAUUAUUGAUAUCAAAGAAGGAAACAUUAGAUUCCAAUUUCCGUUAAGGAAAGGCGUGGAACACUUUCCUAGAAUAAAAUAAAAUUGCCAUAUGAAUCUAUUAUGAGAGCCACUUAUGGAUUGCAUGUCAAAGAUGACAAUACCUAGAUCUAUUCGUGUUUUUAUGCCUAGCUAAGGGCGUUAAACAAUAGCACUUAUUUGGAGGCAACCCAAUUUUAUAUUUGUUCUUUGCUUUUUGUUCCUAUUUAGUAAUAAAUAAUUCAUCUAGCCUCUGGUUAGAUGUGGUUUUAUGUUUUAGUUAGUGUUUGUGCCAAGUUAAAUCUUUAGGAUAGCUUACGGUGCUAGUUGUGUUGAUCCUGCUGAAAAUCAGAAACUUUUGCGCCCAGGAAAAUAAUUUUCAUAAUUCACAGAGACGUGCUUUUGAUCUGAUUCUUUUUGCUCUGGAUCGGUACACAAAUUGCUCAGGUUUUUAUAACUUUUCAGAAUGUUUUGGAGUUACAGAAGUAUUCAAGAGUUACAGAUUGCUACAGACUGUUCUAUUUUUGAUAGAUUUUGUUUUUUGCAUGUUGUUUGCUUAUUUUGAUGAAUCUAUGGGUAGUAUCGAGGGGUAUGAACCAUGGAAAAGUUGGAAUACAGUAGAUAUUACACCAAUAUAAAUAAAUAAUGAGUUUGCAAUAGUACCUUAAAUUGGUGAUUUAUUUUCUUAUACUAUUGGAGCUCAUGAGAUUUUCUGUUGAGUUUUGUGUUGUGAAGUUUUCAAGUUUUGGGUAAGGAUUUGAUGGACUAUGGAAUAAGGAGUGGCAAGAGCCUAAGCUUGGGGAUGCCCAAGGCACCCCAAGGUAAUAUUCAUAUUCGUCUAUCGGUAACUUUACUUUAGGCUAUAUUUUAUUCACCACAUAAUAUGUGUUUUGCUUGGAGCGUCUUGUAUGAUUUGAGUCUUUGCUUUUUAGUUUUUCACAAUCAUCCUUGAUGUACACACCUUUUGAGAGAGACACACAUGAAUUGUGAUUUAUUAGAAUACUCUAUGAGCUUCACUUAUAUCUUUUGAGCUAAACAAUAUUGCUCUAGUACUUCACUUAUAUUUUUUUAGAGCGCGGUGGUGGCUUUAUUUUAUAGAAAUUAAUGAACUCGCAUGCUUAACUUAUAUUAUUUUGAGAGUCUUUUAGAACAGCAUGGUAAUUUUCUUUGGUUAUAAAUUUAGUCCUAAUAUGAUAGACAUCCAAGAUGGAUAUAAUAAAAACUUUCAUAUAAAGUGCAUUGAAUACUAUGAGAAGUUCCAUUCUUUAUGAUUGUUUUGAGAUAUGAAGAUGGUGAUAUUAGAGUCAUGCUUGUGAGUAGUUGUGAAUUUGAGAGAUACUUGUGUUAAAGUUUGUGAUUCCCGUAGCAUGCACAUAUGGUGAACCGUUAUGUGAUGAACUCGGAGCAUGAUUUAUUUUUUGAUUGUCUUUCUUAUGAGUGGCGGUCGGUGAUGAGUGAUGGUCUUUUUCUACCAAUCUAUCCCCCUAGGAGCAUGCACGUAGUACUUCGUUUUGAUAACUAAUAGAUUUUUACAAUAAGUAUGUGAAUUCUUUAUGACUAAUNNNNNNNNNNNNNNNNNNNNNNNNNNNNNNNNNNNNNNNNNNNNNNNNNNNNNNNNNNNNNNNNNNNNNNNNNNNNNNNNNNNNNNNNNNNNNNNNNNNNGGGGGGGGGAUUUCGUGGCCCUUGGUGGAGGGGUCCGAAAUCAACCCUAUCUCUUGUUUCCCUGCACAUACGGACUCUAAAAAUAGCCUAUACUUAUGUAUUUCGAAAUUACAUGGGCCUGGCCCAAUAAUAAGGUGACGCAGCACCUAGAAUAGCCUCGGGACGAAAUUUAUGAAGUGGUAUCUUGUAUAUUUCGUCCAAGGCUUCAUGCACCCAUUAUGGUGGCUUCAAAGUCCUGAAAUCAUCACUUGUAACUCCGUUCUUGUUUCCCUUGCGCAUGCCAUCAUCUCCAUGCUUGUUCUUGCUCCAAUGUUUAUCCUUCUCCAUGCUAGGCCCUUCAUUUGUAAGCAAAACAAAUGUAUCCAAUUUAGGCAACAUCAUAUUCUCAUGAACAUUAGAAUCAUUACCAAGAAAUGAAAGUACCUGGUAAUUUAGUUGGCGUGCGCGAGCUCUAGUAAUUGGUCCAGUAUGUAUAGCAGCAGGGGCUGUGGGUGUAACAAAGGUAUUGAUGUCCUCAUCAUCCUCCCCUUCUUGAAAUGAAGUCGUCCUCGACGGAAGUUCAUCUUCCUCACCCAAGUAAGGCUUCAAAUCUGCAAUGUUAAAAGUGGGACUAACCCCAAAAUCUGCAGGCAGCUCAAGUUUAUAUGCAUUAUCAUUUAUUUUCUCCAACGCCUUAAAGGGACCAUCAGCAUGUGGCAUUAGCUUUGAUUUGCGCAAAUCAGGAAAUCUAUCCUUACGCAAAUGUAACUAAACAAGAUCUCCAGGUGCAAACACAACAUGUUUUCUAGCCUUAUCUCCAGCAAGUUUAUAUUUAGCAUUCAUACGCUCAAUGUUUUCCUUAGUUAACUCAUGCAUUUUUAAAAUCAAUUCAGCACGUUGUUUAGCACUAAAAUUAACCUUCUCCGAAGAUGGAAGAGGCAACAAAUCAAUAGGUGCACGAGGUAGGAAACCAUACACAACUUCAAAAGGGCACAUCUUAGUAGUAGAAUGCAAUGAAUGAUUAUAAGCAAAUUCAAUAUGAGGCAAGCAUUCCUCCCACAUUUUCUUAUUAUUCUUCAAAACAGCCCUAAGCAUAGUAGACAAUGUUCUAUUGAUUACUUCAGUUUGUCCAUCAGUUUGGGGGUGACAACUAGUACUAAAAAGCAGUGUAGUCCCCCACUUAGCCCAUAAACAUCUCCAAAAGUGGCUAAGAAAUUUAGUAUCACAAUCUGAAACAAUAGUAUUUGGCACACCAUGCAAGCGAAUAAUUUCACGAAAGAACAAAUUAGCAACAUUAACAACAUCAUCGCUUUUAUGACACGGUAUAAAGUGUGCCAUUUUCGAGAAUCUAUCCACGACAACAAAUAUGCUAUCCCUCCCCUUCUUUGUUCUAGGUAAACCUAAAACAAAGUCCAUAGAUAUAUCCUCCCAAGGAACACUAGGUACAGGCAAAGGCAUAUAUAAACCAUGAGGAUUGAGUCAUGACUUAGCUUUUUGACAUGUAGUGCAACGAGCAAUUAAACGCUCAAAAUCCCGUCUCAUCUUUGGCCAAAAGAAAUGUGUAGCAAGUACGUCCUCCGUCUUCUUCACGCCAAAGUGUCCCAUUAGUCCUCCUCCAUGCGCCUCCUGCAACAACAAAAGACGAACGGAGCUAGCUGGAAUGCAUAGCUUGUUAGCACGGAACACAAAUCCAUCAUUAACGACGAACUUGUUCCAUGUUCUUCCUUCUUUACAAUUCUGCAAUAUAUCUUUAAAAUCAGCAUCAUGCACAUAUUGAUCUUUGAUGGUCUCCAAACCAAAUAUUUUGAAGUCAAGUUGUGAAAGCAUAGUAUAGCGACGAGACAAUGCAUCAGCAAUAACAUUUUCUUUACCCUUCUUUUGUUUAAUGACAUAAGAGAAAGUCUCAAUGAAUUCAACCCAUUUAGCAUGUCUACGAUUCAGUUUAGCUUGAGUUUUAAUAUGUUUCAAAAAUUCAUGAUCAGAAUGUAUAACAAAAUCUUUGGGCCAUAAAUAAUGUUGCCAUGUUUAUGAAGUCCGAACAAGAGCAUAUAAUUCUUUAUCAUAAGUAGAAUAAUUCAGACUAGGCCCACUCAAUUUUUCAGAAAAGUAUGCAAUAGGUUUGUCAUCUUGUAAUAAGAUACCUCCUAAUCCAAUUCCACUAGCAUCACAUUCAAGCUCAAAAGUCUUAUUAAAAUCAGGAAGUUGGAGUAAAGGAGCAUGUGUCAACUUAUCUUUCAAUACCGUGCAGGCUUCUUCCUGUGCGGUACCCCAAACAAAAGGCACAUCCAUCUUUGUAAGCUUGUUGAGAGGUGCAGCAAUGGUGCUGAAAUCUCUCACAAAACGCCUAUAGAAUCCAGCGAGGCCAAGAAAACUCCUCACUUGUGUGACCGUUUUGGGCUGCGGCCAACUCUCAAUAGCUUCAAUCUUGGCUUUGUCAACUUUAAUUCCCUGUGGAGUAACAACAUAGCCAAGAAAAGAUACUCGGUCGGUGCAAAAGGUGCACUUCCCAAGGUUACCAAACAAACGUGCAUCACGUAGAGCAAUAAAAACAACACGUAAAUGUACCAUCCUUUUUCGGCACUAGAAUAAUAGGAACAACACAAGGACUAAGGGAUUCGCGUAUAUAACCUUUGUCGAGCAGCUCCUGUACUUGACACAUAAUCUCCUUCGUCUCCUCUGGAUUGGUACGGUAUGGUGCACGGUUGGGUAAUGAUGCAUCAGGAAUUAAGUCAAUCUGAUGCUCAAUCCCUCGAAUGGGAGGUAAUCCCGGUGGCACGUCUUGUGGAAAGACGUCAGCGAACUCCUGCAAAAUGUUAGUGACAGCAGGAGGCAAAGAGGAAGGCACGUCCUCGAAUGAAAAUAAUGCCUCUUUGCACACAAAAGCAUAGCAAACAGAUUUGCUGAAAUCUAGCUCAUCAAUAUCAAAUUUAGUGGCAAGUAGACAUGCGCUUUUCAAUUUAAUUUCAGAAGCAACACUAGAUCGUUUACUAUUAGGCUUCAUUUGCUGCUCAAAUUCUUUCNNNNNNNNNNNNNNNNNNNNNNNNNNNNNNNNNNNNNNNNNNNNNNNNNNNNNNNNNNNNNNNNNNNNNNNNNNNNNNNNNNNNNNNNNNNNNNNNNNNNGGGGGGGGGAUUUCGUGGCCCUUGGUGGAGGGGUCCGAAAUCAACCCUAUCUCUUGUUUCCCUGCACAUACGGACUCUAAAAAUAGCCUAUACUUAUGUAUUUCGAAAUUACAUGGGCCUGGCCCAAUAAUAAGGUGACGCAGCACCUAGAAUAGCCUCGGGACGAAAUUUAUGAAGUGGUAUCUUGUAUAUUUCGUCCAAGGCUUCAUGCACCCAUUAUGGUGGCUUCAAAGUCCUGAAAUCAUCACUUGUAACUCCGUUCUUGUUUCCCUUGCGCAUGCCAUCAUCUCCAUGCUUGUUCUUGCUCCAAUGUUUAUCCUUCUCCAUGCUAGGCCCUUCAUUUGUAAGCAAAACAAAUGUAUCCAAUUUAGGCAACAUCAUAUUCUCAUGAACAUUAGAAUCAUUACCAAGAAAUGAAAGUACCUGGUAAUUUAGUUGGCGUGCGCGAGCUCUAGUAAUUGGUCCAGUAUGUAUAGCAGCAGGGGCUGUGGGUGUAACAAAGGUAUUGAUGUCCUCAUCAUCCUCCCCUUCUUGAAAUGAAGUCGUCCUCGACGGAAGUUCAUCUUCCUCACCCAAGUAAGGCUUCAAAUCUGCAAUGUUAAAAGUGGGACUAACCCCAAAAUCUGCAGGCAGCUCAAGUUUAUAUGCAUUAUCAUUUAUUUUCUCCAACGCCUUAAAGGGACCAUCAGCAUGUGGCAUUAGCUUUGAUUUGCGCAAAUCAGGAAAUCUAUCCUUACGCAAAUGUAACUAAACAAGAUCUCCAGGUGCAAACACAACAUGUUUUCUAGCCUUAUCUCCAGCAAGUUUAUAUUUAGCAUUCAUACGCUCAAUGUUUUCCUUAGUUAACUCAUGCAUUUUUAAAAUCAAUUCAGCACGUUGUUUAGCACUAAAAUUAACCUUCUCCGAAGAUGGAAGAGGCAACAAAUCAAUAGGUGCACGAGGUAGGAAACCAUACACAACUUCAAAAGGGCACAUCUUAGUAGUAGAAUGCAAUGAAUGAUUAUAAGCAAAUUCAAUAUGAGGCAAGCAUUCCUCCCACAUUUUCUUAUUAUUCUUCAAAACAGCCCUAAGCAUAGUAGACAAUGUUCUAUUGAUUACUUCAGUUUGUCCAUCAGUUUGGGGGUGACAACUAGUACUAAAAAGCAGUGUAGUCCCCCACUUAGCCCAUAAACAUCUCCAAAAGUGGCUAAGAAAUUUAGUAUCACAAUCUGAAACAAUAGUAUUUGGCACACCAUGCAAGCGAAUAAUUUCACGAAAGAACAAAUUAGCAACAUUAACAACAUCAUCGCUUUUAUGACACGGUAUAAAGUGUGCCAUUUUCGAGAAUCUAUCCACGACAACAAAUAUGCUAUCCCUCCCCUUCUUUGUUCUAGGUAAACCUAAAACAAAGUCCAUAGAUAUAUCCUCCCAAGGAACACUAGGUACAGGCAAAGGCAUAUAUAAACCAUGAGGAUUGAGUCAUGACUUAGCUUUUUGACAUGUAGUGCAACGAGCAAUUAAACGCUCAAAAUCCCGUCUCAUCUUUGGCCAAAAGAAAUGUGUAGCAAGUACGUCCUCCGUCUUCUUCACGCCAAAGUGUCCCAUUAGUCCUCCUCCAUGCGCCUCCUGCAACAACAAAAGACGAACGGAGCUAGCUGGAAUGCAUAGCUUGUUAGCACGGAACACAAAUCCAUCAUUAACGACGAACUUGUUCCAUGUUCUUCCUUCUUUACAAUUCUGCAAUAUAUCUUUAAAAUCAGCAUCAUGCACAUAUUGAUCUUUGAUGGUCUCCAAACCAAAUAUUUUGAAGUCAAGUUGUGAAAGCAUAGUAUAGCGACGAGACAAUGCAUCAGCAAUAACAUUUUCUUUACCCUUCUUUUGUUUAAUGACAUAAGAGAAAGUCUCAAUGAAUUCAACCCAUUUAGCAUGUCUACGAUUCAGUUUAGCUUGAGUUUUAAUAUGUUUCAAAAAUUCAUGAUCAGAAUGUAUAACAAAAUCUUUGGGCCAUAAAUAAUGUUGCCAUGUUUAUGAAGUCCGAACAAGAGCAUAUAAUUCUUUAUCAUAAGUAGAAUAAUUCAGACUAGGCCCACUCAAUUUUUCAGAAAAGUAUGCAAUAGGUUUGUCAUCUUGUAAUAAGAUACCUCCUAAUCCAAUUCCACUAGCAUCACAUUCAAGCUCAAAAGUCUUAUUAAAAUCAGGAAGUUGGAGUAAAGGAGCAUGUGUCAACUUAUCUUUCAAUACCGUGAAGGCUUCUUCCUGUGCGGUACCCCAAACAAAAGGCACAUCCAUCUUUGUAAGCUUGUUGAGAGGUGCAGCAAUGGUGCUGAAAUCUCUCACAAAACGCCUAUAGAAUCCAGCGAGGCCAAGAAAACUCCUCACUUGUGUGACCGUUUUGGGCUGCGGCCAACUCUCAAUAGCUUCAAUCUUGGCUUUGUCAACUUCAAUUCCCUGUGGAGUAACAACAUAGCCAAGAAAAGAUACUCGGUCGGUGCAAAAGGUGCACUUCCCAAGGUUACCAAACAAACGUGCAUCACGUAGAGCAAUAAAAACAACACGUAAAUGUACCAUCCUUUUUCGGCACUAGAAUAAUAGGAACAACACAAGGACUAAGGGAUUCGCGUAUAUAACCUUUGUCGAGCAGCUCCUGUACUUGACACAUAAUCUCCUUCGUCUCCUCUGGAUUGGUACGGUAUGGUGCACGGUUGGGUAAUGAUGCAUCAGGAAUUAAGUCAAUCUGAUGCUCAAUCCCUCGAAUGGGAGGUAAUCCCGGUGGCACGUCUUGUGGAAAGACGUCAGCGAACUCCUGCAAAAUGUUAGUGACAGCAGGAGGCAAAGAGGAAGGCACGUCCUCGAAUGAAAAUAAUGCCUCUUUGCACACAAAAGCAUAGCAAACAGAUUUGCUGAAAUCUAGCUCAUCAAUAUCAAAUUUAGUGGCAAGUAGACAUGCGCUUUUCAAUUUAAUUUCAGAAGCAACACUAGAUCGUUUACUAUUAGGCUUCAUUUGCUGCUCAAAUUCUUUCNNNNNNNNNNNNNNNNNNNNNNNNNNNNNNNNNNNNNNNNNNNNNNNNNNNNNNNNNNNNNNNNNNNNNNNNNNNNNNNNNNNNNNNNNNNNNNNNNNNNUCUGAAAUUCAUGAAACUUGGCAUGCUAUCAUGGAGCGGAAUCAACAUGUCGUGGUACAAAUUUUGUCCCAUUUGGGGCAGGUUUGGGUAUAUGCUUCUUCCAAACCGGAGCUUCUCACGACAAGCAUGAUGGUUUUCGGUAGGGAACGUCCCACCUUUGGGGACGAAACGAUAUCCAUUGCCUCUUAUUGCUUUCAAAUUUUUUUCUCGUGUCAACAUAGAACAACAUGAGUGUUGUUUGAAUUUUUGUGAUCUUUUGGGGUUCGUUUGGACAUUUUUUAUGCAUUAACUGAGUUUUCAAUGCAUUUAUGUGCGUAAUUCAAAUUUAAACUAAAUGCACAUGUUCCAGUGCAUAUAAAUUGGUCGAAAAAUCAAAUAUGUGUACUUGGGUGCAUGCUUAGGUCCCAUGCAAGAAAUGGGAAUGAAUUUCAAACACCAGGGCACCGUUGAUUGUCGGAAAAACAUUGGGAUGCCUGGUUUUUAAAUUCUAGUAAAUCCAAAACCCGUCUGAAAUUCAUGAAACUUGGCAUGCUAUCAUGGAGCGGCAUCAACAUGCCAUGGUACAAAUUUUGUCCCAUUUGGGGCAGGUUUGGGUAUAUGCUUCUCACAAACCGGAGCUUCUCACAACGAGCAUGACGGUUUUCGGUAAGUAACGUCCCACCUUUGGGGACGAAACGAUAUCCAUUGCCUCUUAUUGCUUUCAAAUUUUUUUCUCGUGUCAAGAUAGAAGAACAGGAGUGUUGUGUGAAUUUUUUGUAAUUUUUCGGGGUUCGUUUGGACAUUUCUAUGCAUUAACUGAGCUUUCAAUGCAUUUAUGUGCAUAAUUCAAAUUGAACUACAUGCACAUGCUCCAGUGCAUAUAAAUUGGAUGAAAAAACAAAUUUGUGUCCUUGGGUGCAUGCUUAGGUCCCACACAAGAAAUGGGAAUGAAUUUCAAACACCAGGGCACCAUUGAUUGCUGAAAAAACAUUGAGAUGCCUGGUUUUUAAAUUCUAGUAAAUCCAAAACUCGUCUGAAAUUCAUGAAACUUGGCAUGCUAUCAUGGAGCGGCAUCAACAUGUCGUGGUACAAAUUUUGUCCCAUUUGGGGCAGGAUUGGGUAUAUGCUUCUCACAAACCGGAGCUUCUCACAACAAGCAUGAUGGUUUUCGGUAGGGAACUUCCCACCUUUGGGGACGAAAAGAUAUCCAUUGCCUCUUGUUGCUUUCAAAUUUUUUUUCUUGUGUCAACAUAGAACAACAUGAGUGUUUUGUGAAUUUUUGUGAUUUUUCGGGGUCUAUUUGGACAUUUUUAUGCAUUAACUGAGUUUAUGUGCAUAAUUCAAAUUUGAACUACAUGCACAUGCUCCAGUGCAUAUAAAUUGGUCGAAAAAUCAAAUCUGUGUCCUUGGGUGCAUGCAUAGGUCCCAUGCACGAAAUGGGAAUGAAUUUAAAAUACCAGGGCACUGUUGAUUGCCGCAAAACAUUGAGAUGUCUGGUUUAUAAUUCUAGUAAAUCUAAAACAAGUCCGAAAUUCAUGAAACUUGGCAUGCUAUCAUGGAGCGGCAUCAACAUGUCAUCGUACAAAUUUUGUCCCAUUUGGGGCAGGUUUGGGUAUAUGCUUCUCACAAACUGGAGCUUCUCACAACAAGCAUGAUGGUUUUCGGUAGGGAACGCCCCACCUUUGGGGACGAAACGAUAUCCAUUGCCUCUUAAUGCUUUCAAUUUUUUUUCUCGUGUCAACAUAGACCAACAGGAGUGUUGUGUGAUUUUUUGUGAUUUUUUGGGGUUCGUUUGGACAUUUUUUUGCAUUAACUGAGUUUUCAAUGCAUUUAUGUGCAUAAUUCAAAUUCUAACUACAUGCAUAUGCUCCAGUGUAUAUAAAUUGGUCGAAAAAUCAAAUAUGUGUCCUUGGGUGCAUGCUUAGGUCCCAUUCGAGAAAUGGGAAUGAAUUUUAAACACCAGGGCACCGUUGAUUGCCGGCAAAACAUUGAGUUGCCCGGUUUUUAAAUUCUAGUAAAUCCAAAACUCGUAUGAAAUUCAUGAAACUUGGCAUGCUAUCAUGGAGCGGCAUCAACAUGCCGUGGUACAAAUUUUGUCCCAUUUGGCGCAGGUUUGGGUAUAUGCUUCUCACAAACCGGAGCUUCUCACAAUAAGCAUGAUGGUUUUCGGUAGGGCACGUCCCACCUUUGGGGACGAAACGAUAUCCAUUGCCUCUUAUUGCUUUCAAAUUAUUUUCUCAUGUCAACAUAGAAUGAUAGGAGUGUUCUGUGAAUUUUUGUGAUUUUUGGGCUUCGUUUGGACAUUUUUAUGCAUUAAUAGAGUUUUAAUUGCAUUUAUGUGCGUAAUUCAAAUUUGAACUAAAUGCACAUGCUCCAGUGCAUAUAAAUUGGUCGAAAAAUCAAAUAUGUGUCCUUGGGUGCAUGCUUAGGUCCCAUGCAAGAAAUGGGAAUGAAUUUCAAACACCAGGGCACCGUUGAUUGCCCGCAAAACAUUGAGAUGCCUGGUUUUUAAAUUCUAGUAAAUCCAAAACUUGUCUGAAAUUCAUGAAACUUGGCAUCCUAUCAUGGAGCGGCAUCAACAUGCCGUGGUACAAAUUUUGUCCCAUUUGGGGCAGGUUUGGGUAUAUGUUCUCACAAACCGGAGCUUCUCACAACAAGCAUGACAGUUUUCGGUAGGGAACGUCCCACCUUUGGGGACGAAACGAUAUCCAUUGCCUCUUAUUGCUUUAAUAAAUUUUUCUCGUGUCUACGUAGAACAACAGGAGUGUUGUGUGAAUUUUUGUGAUUUUUCGGGGUUCGUUUGGACAUUUUUAUGCAUUAACUGAGUUUUCAAUGCAUUUAUGUGCAUAAUUCAAGUUUGAACUACAUGCACAUGCUCCAGUGCAUAUAAAUUGGUUGAAAAAUCAAAUCUGUGUCCUUGGGUGCAUGCUUAGGUCCCAUGCAAGAAAUGGGAAUGAAUUUCAAACACCAGGGCAUCGUUGAUUGCCGACAAAACAUUGAGAUGCCUGGUUUUUAAAUUCNNNNNNNNNNNNNNNNNNNNNNNNNNNNNNNNNNNNNNNNNNNNNNNNNNNNNNNNNNNNNNNNNNNNNNNNNNNNNNNNNNNNNNNNNNNNNNNNNNNNCAUCCUUCUCCAAGCUAGGCCCUUCAUUUGUAAGCAAAACAAAUGUAUCCAAUUUAGGCAGCAUCAUAUUCUCAUGAACAUUAGAAUCAUUACCAAGAAACGAAAGUACCUGAUAAUUUAAUUGGCGUGCGCGAGCUCUAGUAAUUGGUCCCGUAUAUGUAGCAGUAGGGGCUGUGGGUGUAACAAUGGUAUUGAUGUCCUCAUCAUCCUCCCCUUCUUGAAAUGAAGUCGUCCUCGACGGAAACUCAUCUUCCUCACCCAAAUAAGGCUUCAAAUCUGCAAUGUUAAAAGUGGGACUAACCCCAAAAUCUGCAGGCAGCUCAAGUUUAUAUGCAUUAUCAUUUAUUUUCUCUAACACCUUAAAGGGACCAUCAGCACGUGGCAUUAGCUUUGAUUUGCGCAAAUCAGGAAAUCUAUCCUUACGCAAGUGUAACCAAACAAGAUCUCCAGGUGCAAACACAACAUGUUUUCUACCCUUAUCUCCAGCAAGUUUAUAUUUCGCAUUCAUACGCUCAAUGUUUUCCUUAGUUAACUCAUGCAUUUUUAAAAUCAAUUCAGCACGUUGUUUAGCAUCAAAAUUAACCUUCGCCGAAGAUGGAAGAGGCAACAAAUCAAUAGGUGCACGAGGUAGGAAACCAUACACAACUUCAAAAGGGCACAUCUUAGUAGUAGAAUGCAAUGAACGAUUAUAAGCAAAUUCAAUAUGAGGCAAGCAUUCCUCCCACAUUUUCUUAUUAUUCUUCAAAACAGCCCUAAGCAUAGUAGACAACGUUCUAUUGACUACUUCAGUUUGUCCAUCAGUUUGGGGGUGACAAGUAGUACUAAAAAGCAUUUUAGUCCCCAACUUAGCCCAUAAACAUCUCCAAAAGUGGCUAAGAAAUUUAGUAUCACGAUCUGAAACAAUAGUAUUUGGCACACCAUGCAAGCGAAUAAUUUCACGAAAAAACAAAUCAGCAACAUUAACAGCAUCAUCGCUUUUAUGACAUGGUAUAAAGUGUGCCAUUUUCGAGAAUCUAUCCACGACAACAAAUAUGCUAUCCCUCCCCUUCUUUGUUCGAGGUAAACCUAAAACAAAGUCCAUAGAUAUAUCCUCCCAAGGAACACUAGGUACAGGCAAAGGCAUAUAUAAACCAUGAGGAUUGAGUCGUGACUUAGCUUUUUGACAUGUAGUGCAUCGAGCAAUAAAACGCUCAACAUCAUGUCUCAUCUUUGGCCAAAAGAAAUGUGUAGCAAGUACGUCCUCCGUCUUCUUCACGCCAAAGUGUCCCAUUAAUCCUCCUCCAUGCGCCUCCUGCAACAACAAAAGACGAACGGAGCUAGCUGGAAUGCAUAGCUUGUUAGCACAAAACACAAAUCCAUCAUUAACGACGAACUUGUUCCACAUUCUUCCUUCUUUACAAUUCUGCAUUACAUCUUUAAAAUCAGCAUCAUGCACAUAUUGAUCUUUGAUGGUCUCCAAACCAAAUAUUUUGAAGUCAAGUUGUGAAAGCAUAGUAUAGCGGCGAGACAAUGCAUCAGCAAUAACAUUUUCUUUUCCCUUCUUGUGUUUAAUGACAUAAGGAAAAGUCUCAAUGAAUUCAACCCAUUUAGCAUGUCUACGAUUCAGUUUAGCUUGACUUUUAAUAUAUUUCAAAGAUUCAUGAUCAGAAUGUAUAACAAAUUCUUUGGGCCAUAAAUAAUGUUGCCAUGUUUCUAAAGUCCGAACAAGAGCAUAUAAUUCUUUAUCAUAAGUAGAAUAAUUCAGACUAGGCCCACUCAAUAUUUCUGAAAAGUAUGCAACAGGUUUGCCAUCUUGUAAUAACACACCGCCUAAUCCAAUUCCACUAGCAUCACAUUCAAGCUCAAAAGUCUUAUUAAAAUCAGGAAGUUGGACUAAAGGAGCAUGUGUCAACUUAUCUUUCAAUACCGAGAAGGCUUCUUCCUGUGCGGUACCCCAAAGAAAAGGCACAUCUUUCUUUGUAAGCUCAUUGAGAGGUGCAGCAAUGGUGCUGAAAUCUCUCACAAAACGCCUAUAGAAUCCAGCGAGGCCAAGAAAACUCCUCACUUGUGUGACCGUUUUGGGUUGCGGCCAACUCUCAAUAGCUUCAAUCUUGGCUUUAUCAACUUCAAUUCCCUGUGGAGUAACUGAUAGAGGCAAAGGUGUCCCGUCUUUCGAUGAGAUGAUGGAUAUCGCUUUGGUGGCAGUCGACUUUGACGAUCCGACUACGAACGUGCGUGGACGUCGCGCCUUAGCAAUCGCUAAACCAACUCCGAGAGGUUAUUGACCACGCCGGAGCACGAUCAACCUGACCACGAGGGUCUGUUUCCUGCGAGCAAACGAAGAACAAGCAAGAAACUGAGAUUGCAAUCUGGAUAUUGCGAAUAUAAGAUGAAAGCUUUAUUGAUCAAGGUGGGGUUCUGUGACGUCUUUGUCUGGUCGUUGAACACAAACGAAGUACGCGAAGUUGCAGCUAUGGCGAACUUUUAAUCUAAACAAAACCCAAAGUCUAAACGAUGCCCUAAGGGAUGUAUAUAUGGAGGAAGAGGGGGGGAAUUUCGUAGCCCUUGGUGGAGGGGUCCGAAAUCAACCCUAUCUCUUGUUUCCCCACACAUACGGACUCUAAAAAUAGCCUAUACUUAUGUAUUUCGAAAUUACAUGGGCCUGGCCCAAUAAUAAGGUGACGCAACACCUAAAAUAGCCUCGGGACGAAAUUUAUGAAGUGGCAUCUUGUAUAUUUCGUCCAAGGCUUCAUGCACCCAUUAUGGUGGCUUCAAAGUCCUGAAAUCAUCACUUGUAACUCCGUUCUUGUUUCCCUUGCGCAUGCCAUCAUCUCCAUGCUUGUUCUUGCUCCAAUGUUCAUCCUUCUCCAAGCUAGGCCCUUCAUUUGUAAGCAAAACAAAUGUAUCCAAUUUAGGCAGCAUCAUAUUCUCAUGAACAUUAGAAUCAUUACCAAGAAACGAAAGUACCUGGUAAUUUAGUUGGCGUGCACGAGCUCUAGUAAUUGGUCCAGUAUGUAUAGNNNNNNNNNNNNNNNNNNNNNNNNNNNNNNNNNNNNNNNNNNNNNNNNNNNNNNNNNNNNNNNNNNNNNNNNNNNNNNNNNNNNNNNNNNNNNNNNNNNNGACUACGUUAGUUUUUUCUGGGUUCUCACUUUUCCAUUCAUUUAAUUUCUUUUCUUUAAAAAAAUGUCUAAUUUUUUCAAUACAAGUUGUACAUUUUUCAUAUGCACAUGUGAUAAUUUAUCGACACAGAUUGACAGAUUUUCAAGUAUAUGAUGAAUAUAUUUUAAAAUAUAUGUUUGAAUAAUUGUCAAACAUUUUCAAAUACACGUUGUUUUUCUUUUUUUGCGUUACGUAAUUUUUCUGAUAUUAUACUAACAUUUCUAAAGAUAUCACAAACAAUUUUCUUGAAAUGUCACGAAUACAUUUUUUGAAACAUGUGAACAUUUUUUUAAAUGCCACGGACAAGUUUUUCUGAAUGGCAUAAUUUUUUCGAAAUUAUCUGUACAUUUUUUACAUUGUAUGGCCUAUAAAAAAUUGCCACAUGAAAAUAGCAGGCAGAUAUUUUCAAAAUCCCUUUCGUAGUAAAAAGGGUUCACAAUAUUUCUUAUAGAGCAGAAACAAUAAAAGCAAGCAGGGAAUCUUGGGACUGAUUUGUGAAGUUUCAGAACAGCUAUUUUUGAAAAGUAUCACAAAUAUAUAUGUUUGAAAUAACCGAACAUUUUUAAAAUGUCACGAACAUUAUUUUUAAUGUUAUGAACAUUUUCUUAAAUUUGCACCAAUAUUUUGUUAACACUGCAUCAUCUUAUUUUAUAUGUGUGACGAACACUCUUAAAUUUUGAAGUAAAUUAGAAUAUUUCAAAAACGUAAUCAAAAUAAGAAAACGAAAAAUGAAACCAAGAAACGAACGAAUCCGAGCUGGCGCCUACAGCCGCUGAAUCAUGGGCCGGCCCAUGUGGCGACAGACGCCCAGUCUCUCGCUAAACUCGCCCCGCCUGGUCCCUCCUCGAUCGAGAGCCCAGUUGACUUUAGAAAAAAAGAUGAAAACUUAAAACGAAAGAAUCACAAAAAAAGAGAAAAAAAUCGAGAUUUGAAAAAAGUUCACAGAUUUGGAAACCUUCAUCCAUUUUUGAAAUAAGUUCAUGAAAUUGGGAAAGAGUUCAUCAAUUUUGAAAUAAGUUCACCGAAUUUAAAAAAAGUUCAUCCAUUUUGAAAAAGAGUUCAUCGAUUUUGAAAAAGAGUUCAUCGAUUGUGAACAGAGUUCAUCGGUUUUGAAAAAGAAUUCAUCAAUUUAGAAAAAAAGUUCAUCGAUUUAGAAAAAGUUCAUCGAUCUUGAAAAAGAGUUCAUCGAUUGUGAAAGAAAGUUCACCGAUUUUGAAAAAUAGUUCUUUCAAAUUAGCAAAAGAAAUAUAAAACCAUUCCGAAAAGAAGAAAAAAGAAAAAGAACAAAAAACAUAAAAAAACCAUUUCGAAUAAAAAGGAAAAAGAAAUGGGAAAAAAGAAUGGUUGUAAAGAAAAGGUGAAGAAGCAGUAAUUUGGGCAACUAGUGCGUGUUAGUGCGGUGGUUAGUGCUGAGGCGAAUGACCGUGAGGUCGCGCGAUCGAUUCCCAUCCAAAGCGCGCCUUUUCUGUCCUCACGACAGGAAGGAAAGGAAAAAGAUGGGCCAGGCCCAGUUAAUGCGGCUGCAGGCGCCGGUUUGCGAAAACAACUAUAACCGGCACAUGCAGCGUUAAAUAGGAAAUGCCGAAGCGCACUUAAUCAUGGUGGUAGCUAGUUUAAUUUAAUGAUGUGGCCUGCCUGUAGCGUCAUUUUUUCUUCCUAAGUAAGGUACUUUAAUAAAUCUCCAUGCUUAUGAACAACACACAGUUAAGUUUUGGACAGAUACAACAGAAAAUGCUCAAAGUUCAUUAAUGUUGUAAAGCCAUUCUCCUAGGUAGUACUAGUAGAAAGAAAGUAAGCUUUUCGCCUAGGGUUGCAGCAAAUACUACUGUAUUAUUCUCUAGUUGUAGGGAAAAAUGAUUGAUUUCCCUACUUUCUUUCUUGAACAACAAAUUGCUACUAGUACUAACUAAUUUGCAUAUAUGCUCUGGUUUUCUUGUUAUUAAUUAGCUAGGUGCCUCCAAAUAAGUUGUUGGUUCAAAUUCUGCACGUUUCUUUGCAUUCUAUUUCUUAGUUCAUUAUUCAGGCUCUGCUUGCUACUUAUGGUGGUAGCUAGUUUAAUUUAAUGAUGUGGCCCGCCUGUAGUGCCAUUAUUCCCGAUGUUGUGUUAUAUUCUUUUAUGAGGUGAUUUUAAGAACAACAAAUAAUGGUGACAAAUGCAAAAAGUGAAAUAUGACCCAAAAAAGCCCGCCUACUAGCUGCAUACUACAUAAUUCAACGGCCAGCAUACUACUGACAGACCAAUCAUUUAUUGGGCCAGGAUGCAGGCCCGCCAGAUUGUGAUAGUAGGCAGCUAGUAGGCCCCACUAGGCAGGGACAGACGGGGUUAGGCAUGUGCUGCCCGCUUUAGAAAGGAACUCGAAAGGGGAAGCUGAUCAGCCUGGUAUAUAAACCGGUGCGAACUCCCCUCGCUUGGCGAGGUGGGACUAAACUCCCAGCACCGCUGGGAUGUGCCCGGCGCGACGCUCGCUUGGGCCUAAUUCGGGUGGGCCGUCGCAGGCCAGCGUCACCCGCAUGCAGAUUAUUACCACAUUUAAAACCGAGUUGCUUCAAUGUGUUAUAUUUCACUUAUUCAAUGUGUACGAAAAAUUAAUGUCUUAUAUUUCACUUAUUCACUUAAAUAUUUAUUUAUUUUUAUCUAUACAAUAAUUUAAAAUCUAAUAUAUUUUUACUCCUUCAGUUAUUCUCGCACUAUUAAAAUUCAAAAAAUGCAAUAUAAUAUGUUUCAUCUUUAUUAUAAUAUAUCUUUUCUGUUUUCUAUUUCAAAAAAGGUAUAUCAAAUAUACUUUUUCUUUGUCAUUUCUUCUUAGAGUUUUAAAAUUGAAUUAUAUGUUUUGUAUUUUAUUUCUUAUUAUGGUUGUAAAAAUGAAAAUUCCAUGAAUGUAUGUUGUGUUCUAUUUCACUUCUUAAAUAUAAUUUUCAUUCUAUUUUCAAAAUUCCAUUUGGUUGAGUCCAGAAAAACNNNNNNNNNNNNNNNNNNNNNNNNNNNNNNNNNNNNNNNNNNNNNNNNNNNNNNNNNNNNNNNNNNNNNNNNNNNNNNNNNNNNNNNNNNNNNNNNNNNNGUAGUAGUUGUAUUUGUGAGCAUACGACCGAUGAUAAAAGCACCUGCCUGCUUGGAUUGUCAAGUUGAACAAUUAUAAACGUGAAGAAUAAUAACUAAAUAAAAGAAGUGUUAGUUUGCUAGACAAUGAGUUACUUAAUUGUCUGAGUUUAAUAUUAGGAAAACAUACCAGUACAAGCGGGAAAAAGAAAUACCUUUAGACCAAACAUUUUAACAAAAAGCUCGCUAAUCAUACACGUGAAGAUAACUUCAAGUGAGCUCUUUUUUCUAUCCAGGGUCUUCUUUGCCAUCCGAACAUAUGCAAGUGGAUCAUCGUGUACCGCUAAAUGAAAUGGUAGGAGGAUGUAGCCUAUUUGAUUUCCCCAUGCCACGUCAUUACUUUUACCCGAUUCUAUCAUAUUAACAUAGGCCUGCACAUAGUUGUAAGAAAACAUUAGAUUAAAGUUAUGAUACACUACAGGUUUUAAUAAUAUAUUCUCAAGCUUGCAUUUGGAAACAAAUUAUGCAUCAGCAAAUGAGUAAUGAAACUAGCUACUCCAAGAGUGACCAGUAAUAUACAAAUUUUCUUUUUGCCUGAUCAUGUGAACAUAUGUAAAAUCAUUAGUUUGUCAUAUUUUCAUAGAUCCCAUGAUUUAUAUUCUUUUACUAAUCGUGUGGAUUUUAUGACCAAAUUUGGAAACGUCAUCUAAUUACAUAAGGAAGAGGAGUGAUAUUUUGGUGACAGAGAUAUAUAAAUGAAAAAAAAUCAAUAACUAAUGACAUGCAUUUGAAAUUUCAUGCAUAUUUCCAUAAAGAAACUUACUUGUAGGCUAGCUGUUGGCCUUGUAUUUACAGGGAGGACACAUCGCAAACAUAGCUUGCGUGUCUUAGGGUAACCUAACAUAAUUUGCAGAUAAGUUGCAGAAACAUGUACAGUAAAAAACAACAGAUUGUCACAAUGUACAUCUCUUACCAGACUUACGAAAGUAAUAUUGUGAUAGAGCAGCAGAAGUGACUCCGACUAGCACAUCAUUAACAGUCUGUGGAAAGAAAAUAAAAAUACAGAAAAUGACGCUUCAACAACUAGUUUAAUCUGGCUCGAAAGAGAUGAGCUUGCUGAUAGCUAUAGGUCAUAUUAUCAUAUACUCCCUCCAUUCCAUAAUAUAUAAAAUUUUCAAACACAGUGUCAAAAAACGUCACAGAGGUGGUAUAUACUUACGCAGUUCAUGGCAUUCUUGAUGAACUUGACGUCGUCCAAGCUAAAGCUCCGGUGCACGAAGCGCCUGCGGGGGUUCAACGUAACUUGACUGUCCCCGCGUCUGAAGAGUGUGUUCGGGUCUCUCAGAAACACAAUCGUCGCAGCAAAGAAGAUGACGUCCACCACGGUGUUCCAUGCAAGCGCAAGAUACGGCCAAACCCAUGCGACGAACGCCGCCAGGGCGCCCGAGGGCAGCGGCUGCCGGUGCCGCGGCUCGUAGAUGGCGCCCGUGCGCGCCGGCUGCUCCGGCAUGGCCGGCAGGCGUGUCGGGUCCGCGGCGCUGCGGGCAGACGCCAGGAGGAGCGUGAUCAGCGACAUCCCGUCACCGAGGGAGUGGUGGACGCGGAACACCACGGUGGAGGUGGCCUCUGAGGUCGGGAAGUCGAGGAAGUGGAACUCCCAGAGCGGGCGGGAGCAAUCCAUGGGGAGUGCCUGCAGCGAGGCCACGUAGUCCUCCACGGCCCGGUCCGGGUCAGCCUCCACGGCGGCGGGGUCCAGCGUCGGGACGAUCAUGUGGUCGUCGACGUUCACCUCCGUGCACGCCCACCGCGGGCUCUUGCACCCGUCUGUCACCUGACGUGCAUGCUCACGGAUUAAAUUGAAACUAGUGACAGAAUAUCUAGGCAGUACUUAAAUUGAACUGUGUCCCGUACUUGAAUGCUACGGAAGCGUGGGUAACGAGCAAGUUGGGCUGCGAUGCCGGCGCUGAAGAUGGCUAGGUUGACGGGCGAGCCAAGGCCGACCAUAACCACGAUGUAUAUAGCUUCGAAGAGUCUUGCACUAGGGGUCACUGGCUCCUCCUCCGCUGCCGCCACCGCGGAAUCGUCGUCCGUCUUCCAUUCGGCCGGCGCUGACCUUGGCGUGCGUAUCGGGGGUAGCAGGCCGCUUGUUGGUAGAGCGGCUACCGAGGGGCUACCAGUACUACCCAUGGCUACUUUAGUUUCAAGGGUCGUUGGCUACUCGAUCGAUCGACACUCCAUGCUAGGUGUAAUAUAUAGGAUGACAAAAAGUUUUUUGCUAAUAAAAGCGGCAAGGAUGACAAUCAAUGGCACUACUAUACACACAGUUGAAGAUCAUCAUCAUAAGGGAUCUGGUAUAGUCCCUACCGGCUUGCUGCUGAUGUGGUCCCACAUUGCACACUGUUGUUCAAGAAUAAACAUGUGCGAUGUGUUUCACAUCACAAGAAGAUGAGCACACUGAAGCGUGCAUUGAGUACCUCACUGAAGAUGCUCUGCCUAGUUGAACCCAUACAACUACAAUUUUGUGGUGUGCAAUAUCGAGAAGGCUUGAGCCCCGCUUUAUAGAUAAAACAGCAACCGAGCAUUACAACCUGACACUGCACCACACAACAAGGAAAACGGAAAGAUACAACGGUGCCGAGGAUAGCAACAAAGCCCAAGAAAACAACAAGCACACAACGAAAGAAAGAAUCGAGCACUGCUUGGAGUCCCUGGAGCCCUCGUCCAUGCUCAGGUAACCAGAGUAGAGAACAUAAUCAACUUGAAGGGGAGACUAGCCAGCAGAGGAGGACAUGCCGUUGCCAACACUUGGAAGACAAGCACCACCACGCCAAUAAGCUCCAUCGCCAAAAGAAGGCCCCUGCCCGCUCACCCUGGAUCAAAGGGCGCCGCACCGUCGAACGAUGAAGGCAUGCACCCAAGUGCCUGGCCAGGAACGGAUGACGAGGUCCCAAGGUGAGGCCUUCGGACACAAUUCUUCACUUGAAAGCAUCACCAUCACAACCACAGAACCAUCAACGCUANNNNNNNNNNNNNNNNNNNNNNNNNNNNNNNNNNNNNNNNNNNNNNNNNNNNNNNNNNNNNNNNNNNNNNNNNNNNNNNNNNNNNNNNNNNNNNNNNNNNACAAAAGGAGAGAUUUUUAUCUUUUUUUCCAGAAAUACAAUGUCUUUCUUCAUAUUUGUAUUUCCAGGGAAAAAAUUAUAUAUGCCUAUUUUCUUUGGAUUUGGAAGCUUUCUCACCAGGAAACAGUGAUAAUUAUCUUCCCCCAUCAAUACCAGGGUUUCUAAAGACCAAUGUCUUAUAAAAGCUACAACUCCUAUAUCUCUAUCUCCUUUACAUACAUACACAGUACAUCCAUAUAAUGUAUCAGCAAACAAAAAGCACAAAAGAGGAUGAUUUUCUUUUGCUUCCCAAUUCAAGCAAAUAUAAGAAUGAUCUGUUCAAAAAUUCAUUCAUGCAUAGUAUUCGGACUCAUAAAUUAUCUCAUUCGUGUACAAAAUUUUGGCUCGAUGGCCAUGGACACACAUAGCAUUAGAGAGAGCAGAGGAGGAACCAGUGGCUUACAUAUGCCGGAGGCGUCGGGGUGGGUGACAGAUAAGGAGAGAUCCAAUACAUUAAUAAAUCCAGUCGGGGUUGUAGAUAUGGCAGUAGAAACCAUUAAGGAUGGGCUGCUUCACAUCUCUAGGGAUGCUGAUGUCAUCCUCUGCAAUUAGACUAGUCGCAGUAAACAAGCAGUGGUACUAACAAGGAAAGCAAUGACAAACUUGACCGCAACAAUAAAAGGGCGAAAAAUCAAUCAAAAUUGUCCCUAUUCUACCAAGUGAGGAAAAACGAAUUCAAACAAACACGGAGAGCAGCGUGAGAGAGAACAUGUUGUUCAAGUUUAACCCACUCAUCCAACUUCCUAUUGACUGCAGUUUCUAAAUAAGGUGUUUGAUACUCAUUCGGUGAUUGCUUUGCCAUUUCAUAACACUGAAUAUAAUAGAACAAAAACAAAUUAAACCAUGAGUCCAUCAUGAACCCAGAUAAGCCAGGCCAAGACCAAGCAUAAAUCUGUUCUGAUCUUUAGGAUGACUGGGGAUAGAUAGAUAGUAACCUUACAAAGGGUAGACAAAUGAAUCAGCCAUAUGAAAGUCACAAAGGAGAGAUUUUUAUUGUAUUUCCAGAAAAAGUUCAAUAGCUCCUCCUAUUUUCUUCGUAUAUAGACACUUUCUAACGAGGAAACAGUGAUCAUUAUCUUUCCCCCAUUAAUACCAGGAUUUCUAAAAGCCAAUGUCUUCCUAACAGCUACAACUCCUAUCUUUCUCUAUCUCCUUUACAUACAUACACAAUACACCCAUACGAUGGAUCGGCAAACAAAAAGCACAAAGGAGAUGAUUUUAUUUGGAUUCCUAAUUCAAGCAAAUAUAAGGAAGAUCUGUUCAGAAAACCAUUUAUGCAUGCUGUUUGGAACUCAAAAAUUAUCUCAAAUGUACAAAAAUUGGCUCGAUGGUUGUGGGCACACAAAGCAUGGGAGAGAACAGAGGAGGAAUCAGUGGCUUACCUAUGCCGGAGGCGUUAGAGUGAGCACCAGAUAAGGUGAUAUCCCAUACAUUGAUAAAUCCAGUCAGGGUUGUAGAUAUGGCAGUAGAAACCAUUAAGGAUGGGCAGCUUCACAUCUGUAGGGAUGCUGAUGUCGCCCUCUGCAAUUAGACUAGUCACAGUAAACAAGCGGUGGUACUAACAAGAAAAGCAGUGAUGAACUUGACCGCACCAAAAAAUAGGCGAAUAGCUCAAUCAAAAGUUGUCAUGAUCCUACCAAAUGAGGCAAAAAAAAUCAAACAAACGUGGAGAGCAGCAUGAGAGAGAACAGAUUGUUCAAAUUUAACCCACUCAUCCAACCUCCUAUUGAGUGCGAAUGCAGAACAAUUUAAUACGGAUCAAUAAGCACGAAUAAGUCGAUGAACUAAAACAAGCUGUACAGGCACCAUUCUACAAGCCCUCCAAAGAAUAGGCCAGAAAAAUGGUUUCAUGGAUCUGCCUAUUUUUUCGUAUUUGGACGGUUUGUAAAAAGGACACAUUGAAAAAAAAACUCGCAUUUGUAUUUCAUCAUUUGCAGUUUAGAUUGCUUCAAAAAUCAUAUGCAAUUAGAGGACAAUCACUGAUAUUUAGAUAUGUGUAACAAAUUUAAAAAAAAUCAUCAGCAUGAAAAGAAAGACAAUGCAACUGAAAAUCCCAUCUACAGGUAGUGUAUGCCCUACAAAAUGACAAGUGCAAACAUAUACGGUGUAGUUGUUCCUUUAAAACACGACUAUGUUGUUCUCCUGAUUGCCAGCAUUACAUAUAAGGCUAUCAUAUAGAUAAACUCCAUACCAGAAAUAUAAGAAAAUAUUGUCACUUUACAGGUGUGAGCAGACUAAUUAGUACUCCCUCCGUCCCAUAAUAUAAGAUGUUUUUUGACACUAGUGUAGUGUCAAAAAACGUCUUACAUUAUGGGACGGAGGGAGUAAUUACUACAUUACAUAUCUUUUUUUCCCUCUAUGUGUCAAAGCCUAUAUUUUAUCUGUUGCUCAAUUUAAUUCAUUCUCAACAUUUGGGAACUCAAAACAGUUAGCCAAAGUAGAUACAUCAUAGUUUGUGUUUCCACAGGAAAAUGAUAUUGACCUUAGUUUAACAAAGAAAAUAAAAACAUAAAAAAUCAAAGCAUUCCAAGCAGUAUUAUCAUGAAUGAUUCUUUAAAGUAGUAGGGGAACAAUAUGAAAUCCACUCACAUCAAAACAUAAGUCCAAGGAAGGCGUGACUGGAUGAAUUACCCUGAACGGUGUCAGGCAUGCCAACGUCCAUCUUGACGUCCUCCAGGAGUUACAGAUAGACAGGUAGCAUGCCAAGGUCACCAGUAGCAUGGAGGGUGUUCCUGACCAUGUAGGUGGUGUUGGCCACUGUUAACCAAAAAGGGGACACUUUUAGUUACCAAUCAUGAAAAGAAUGUUGAAGUAUCAGAGGAACAGAAAUAUAAUAAGUUACUCGUGACUUUAAUCUUCAAAAGAAAGAUUAAUAGCUUUGCCUAUCUUCUUCAUAUUUGGAAGCUUUCUAACUAGGGAACGGUGAUUAUUAUCUCUCCCCAAUAUGAGGAUACUAAAAGNNNNNNNNNNNNNNNNNNNNNNNNNNNNNNNNNNNNNNNNNNNNNNNNNNNNNNNNNNNNNNNNNNNNNNNNNNNNNNNNNNNNNNNNNNNNNNNNNNNNAGUUCUACGCCAAGUUCUCCAAGUGUGAAUUUUGGCUCGAUGAGGUUCUUUAUCUUGGUCAUAUCAUCUCUGCCAAGGGCAUUGCCGUGAAUCCUGAGAAGGUGUCUACAAUUGUGAAUUGGGAACCUCCUCAGAACGUGAAGCAACUCCGUAGCUUCCUCGGUCUCGCAAGCUAUUGCCGAAGAUUCGUUGAAAACUUCUCUAAGAUCGCGAAGCCUCUCUCAAAUCUUCUCCAGAAGCACGUCAAGUACAUUUGGUCUCCGGAGUGUGAUAUUGCUUUCAACACUUUGAAAGAGAAAUUGAUCACUGCUCCAGUUCUGACUCCGCCUGAUGAAUCCAAGCCAUACGAGGUCUUUUGUGAUGCCUCUCUCCAAGGUCUUGGCGCAGUAUUGAUGCAAGAGAAGAAAGUUGUUGCUUAUACCUAUCGCUAGUUGAAGCCUAAUGAGAAGAACUACCCCACUCAUGAUCUCGAGUUGGCGGCAGUUGUGCUUGCUCUUUUGACUUGGAGACAUCUUCUAUUGGGAAGAAAAGUGGACAUUUUCACUGAUCACAAGAGUCUCAAGUACAUCUUCACUCAGCCUAAUCUCAACCUCAGGCAAACUCGAUGGGUCGAAAUGAUUCAAGAGUAUAAUCCGAGUAUCGAGUAUACUCCAGGCAAGGCCAAUGUGAUUGCUGACGCAUUGAGCAGAAAGCUUACUGCAACAGUCUGAUUCUUAAGCCUUAUCAACCCAAGCUUUGUGAAGCUUUCCGCAAACUUAACCUGCAAGUUGUUCCUCAAGGUUUCCUUGCCAACCUUCAAGUCUCUCCUACAUUGGAAGACCGGAUUCGCCAAGCCCAGCUUCUUGAUGCUAUGGUGAAAAAGGUGAAGAUUGGGAUUGCCAAGAGUCAACCCAAGUACAAGUGCUACCGCCUUGAUGACAAGGAUACUCUCUUCUUUGAGGAUCGUAUUGUUGUACCCAAAGGUGACCUUCAUAAAGUGAUCAUGAACGAGGCUCACAAUUCUCUCCUCUCCAUCCACCCUGGGAGCACGAAGAUGUAUCAGGACCUCAAGCAAGCUUAUUGGUGGACUCGAAUGAAGCGCGAGAUCGCUCAAUUCGUGAAUGAAUGUGAUGUCUGCAGAAGAGUGAAGGCAGAACACCAAAGGCCAGCUGGUCUCCUCCAACCUCUUGCCAUUCCAGAAUGGAAGUUUGACCACACUGAAAUGUACUUCGUGACUGGGUUUCCAAAGUCCAAGCGUGGCAAUGAUGCUAUAUUCAUUGUCAUCGACAAACUCACCAAAGUGGCUCAUUUUCUGCCUAUCAAAGAGUCGAUCACUGCAGCUCAAUUGGCGGAACUCUAUACCUCUUGUAUUGUCUCUUUGCACGGUAUUCCACAAGUGAUCUCUUCAGACCGUGGCAACAUAUUUACCUCAAAGUUUUGGGAUUCUUUUCAGAAGGCCAUGGGCACCAACAUCCACUUCAGCACUGCUUUCCGUCCUCAAACUAGCGGUCAAGUCGAGCGUGUCAACCAGAUUCUUGAAGAUAUGCUCAGGGCUUGUGUGAUCUCCUUCGGCAUGAAAUGGGAGGAUUGUCUUCCUUAUGCUGAAUUCUCCUACAACAAUAGUUUUCAAGCAAGUUCGGGCAAGGCCCCAUUUGAAAUUCUGUAUGGCAGGAAGUGCCGUACCCCUCUCAACUGGUCUUAAACCGGUGAACGUCAGCUUUUGGGUAAUGACUUAAUCACAGAGGCAGAAGAAAUGUGCAAAGUCAUUCAUGAUAAUCUCAAAGCAGCCCAAUCCCGCCAGAAGAGCUACUAUGAUAGUAAGCACCGUGAUUUGGCUUUCGAGAUCGGAGAUCAUAUUUACCUCCGCGUCUCUCCUAUGAAAGGUACUCGUCGCUUCGGUAUCAAAGGGAAGCUUGCCCCUAGAUAUGUGGGACCUUUCAAGAUUGUCAGCAAGAGAGGCGACCUCGCCUAUCAACUCGAGCUUCCUUCAAACUUUGCAAAUGUUCAUGACGUGUUCCAUGUCUCUCAGCUUCGAAAGUGCUUCAAGACUCCUGACCGCACCGUCAACUUUGAGGACAUUGAGCUCCAAGAAGAUCUCUCUUAUCGUGAGCAUCCAGUUGCUAUUCUUGAAGAGACUGAACGCAAGACUCGCAACAAGUCAAUCAAAUUUGUCAAAGUCAAGUGGUCACACCAUUCCGACCUGGAAGCUACCUGGGAACGCGAGGAUCACCUCCGUUCUGAGUACCCGGUGUUCUUUCAGUCCUAGAUCUCGGGACGAGAUCCUUUCGUAGUGGUGGAGUGUUGUAACACCCCGGAUGUAACUUUCCCAAUUUGUACUUCCAACUCUUGCCGUUUUCGGCGUUAAGUUAAUUUAUUUUCUCGGGUUCGGGUUUUUGUCUCCGUGUGUUGUUGUCGUUGUCAUGCAUCUCAUAUCAUGUCAUCAUGUGCAUUGCAUUUGCAUACAUGUUCGUCUCAUGCAUUCGAGCAUUUUCCCCGUUCUCCGUUUUGCAUUCCGGCGCUUUGUUCUCCUCCGGUGGUCAUUUAUAGCUUUCUUUUGUGUGUGGGGAUUAAACGUUUCUCUAUUGGACCGAGACUUGCCAAGCGGCCUUGGUUUACUACCGGUAGACCGCCUGUCAAGUUUCGUAUCAUUUGGACUUCGUUUGAUACUCCAACGGUUAACAGAGGGACCGAAAAGGACUCGUGUGUGUUGUAGCCCAACACCCCUCCAAUUUGGCCCAAAACCCACCUAAACCUGCUCCAUCAUCUAGAUCGUUCGAUCACGAUCGCGUGGCCGAAAACCGCACCUCAUUUGGACUCUCCUAGCUCCUCCUAUGCCUAUUUAAACACCCCACUCCAAAUUCGCGGAUCUCCUCUCCCCGAAACCCUAAAUUUCCACCCCGCCACCAACGGACAUUGUCCGCCCUGCGCCGGACAUCCGCCGCCGCCAACCGGGAGCCGCCACAUGGCGCCCCCGGACCACAUCGCCGCCGCACCCCGCGCGGGCCCGCUCGGCCCGUGGNNNNNNNNNNNNNNNNNNNNNNNNNNNNNNNNNNNNNNNNNNNNNNNNNNNNNNNNNNNNNNNNNNNNNNNNNNNNNNNNNNNNNNNNNNNNNNNNNNNNGGGGGCACCUCUAGGAACAACAAUUGAUCUCUUAAUCUCUUAGCCGUGUGUGGUGCCCCCCUCCACCAUAGUCCUCGAUAAUAUUGUAGCGGUGCUUAGGAGAAGCCCUGCAACGAUAGAAUAUCAAGAUCAUCACCACGCCGUCGUGCUGACGGAACUCUUCCCCGACAUUCUGCUGGAUCGGAGUACGGGGAACGUCAUCGAGUUGAACGUGUGCUAGAACUCGGAGGUGCCGUAGUUUCGGUGCUUGAUCGGUCGGGCCGUGAAGACAUACGACUACAUCAACCGCGUUGUUCUAACGCUUCCGCUUUCGGUCUACGAGGGUACGUGGACUACACUCUCCCAUCUCGUUGCUAUGCAUCACCAUGAUCUUGCGUGUGCGUAGGAAUUUUUUUGAAAUUACUACGUUCCCCAACAGUGGCAUCCGAGCCUGGUUUUAUGCGUAGAUGUUAUAUGCACAAGUAGAACACAAGUGAGUUAUGGGCGAUACAAGUCAUACUGCUUACCAGCAUGUCAUACUUUGGUUCGGCGGUAUUGUUGGAUGAAGCGGCCCGGACCGACAUUACGCGUAUGCUUACGCGAGACUAGUUCUACCGACGUGCUUUGCACACAGGUGGCUGGCAGGUGUCAGUUUCUCCAACUUUAGUUGAACCGAGUGUGGCUACGCCCGGUCCUUGCGAAGGUUAAAACAACACUAACUUGACGAACUAUCGUUUUAGUUUUGAUGCGUAGGUAAGAGCGGUUCUUGCUCAGCCCGUAGCAGCCACGUAAAAUUUGCAACAACAAAGUAGAGGACGUCUAACUUGUUUUUGCAAGGCAUGUUGUGAUGUGAUAUGGUCAAGACGUGAUGCUAUAUUUUAUUGUAUGAGAUGAUCAUGUUUUGUAACCGAAGUUAUUACCAACUGGCAGGAGCCAUAUGGUUGUCGCUUUGUUGUAUGAAAUGCAAACGCCCUGUAAUUGCUUUACUUUAUCACUAAGCGGUAGCGAUAGUCGUAGAAGCAAUAGAUGGCGUAAACGACAACGAUGCUACGAUGGAGAUCAAGGUGUCGCACCGGUGACGAUGGUGAUCACGACGGUGCUUCGGAGAUGGAGAUCACAAGCACAAGAUGAUGAUGGCCAUAUCAUAUCACUUAUAUUGAUUGCAUGUGAUGUUUAUCCUUUAUGCAUCUUAUCUUGCUUUGAUUGACGGUAGCAUUUUAAGAUGAUCACUCACUAAUUAUCAAGAAGUGUUCUCCCUGAGUAUGCACCGUUGCGAAAGUUCUUCAUGCUGAGACACCACUUGAUGAUCGGGUGUGAUAGGCUCUACGUUCAAAUACAAUGGAUGCAAAAUAGAUGCACAAGCGGAAUACUCAGGUUAAACUUGACGAGCCUAGCAUAUACAGAUAUGGCCUUGGAACACGGAGACCGAAAGGUCGAACGUGAAUCAUAUAGUAGAUAUGAUCAACAUAGUGAUAUUCACCAUUGAAAACUACUCCAUCUCACGUGAUGAUCGGACAUGGUUUAGUUGAUUUGGAUCACGUGAUCACUUAGAUGACUAGAGAGAUGUCUGUCUAAGUGGCAGUUCUUUAGUAAUAUGAUUAAUUGAACUUAAAUUUAUCAUGAACUUAGUACCUGAUAGUAUUUUGCUUGUCUAUGUUUGUUGUAGAUAGAUGGCUCGUGCUGUUGUUCCGUUGAAUUUUAAUGUGUUCCUUGAGAAACCUAAGUUGAAAGAUGAUGGUAACAAUUACACGGACUGGGUCCGUAACUUGAGGAUUAUCCUCAUUGCUGCACAGAAGAAUUACGUCCUGGAAGCACCGCUGGGUGCCAGGCCUGCUGCAGAUGCAACAGACGACGUUAAGAACGUCUGGCAGAGCAAAGCUGAUGACUACUUGAUAGUUCAAUGUGCCAUGCUUUACGGCUUAGAACCGGGACUUCAACGACGUUUAGAACGUCAUGGAGCAUAUGAGAUGUUCCAGGAGUUGAAGUUAAUAUUUCAAGCAAAUGCCCGGAUUGAGAGAUAUGAAGUCUCCAAUAAGUUCUAUAGAUGUAAGAUGGAGGAAAUAGUUCUGUCAGUGAACAUAUACUCAAAAUGUCUGGGUAUAAUAAUCACUUGAUUCAACUAGGAGUUAAUCUUCCUGAUGAUAGUGUCAUUGACAGAAUUCUUCAAUCACUGCCACCAAGCUACAAGAGCUUCGUGAUGAACUAUAAUAUGCAAGGGAUGGACUAGACUAUUUCCGAGCUCUUCGCAAUGCUAAAGGCUGCAGAGGUAGAAAUCAAGAAGGAGCAUCAAAUGUUGAUGGUCAAUAAGACCACCAGUUUCAAGAAAAAGGGUAAAGGGAAGAAGAAGGGGAACUUCAAGAAGAACAGCAAGCAAGUUGCUGCUCAAGAGAAGAAACUCAAAUCUGGACCUAAGCCUAAGACUGAGUGCUUCUACUACAAGCAGACUGGACACUGGAAGCGGAACUGCCCCAAGUAUUUGGCGGAUAAGAAGGAUGGCAGGGUGAACAAAGGUAUAUGUGAUAUACAUGUUAUUGAUGUGUACCUUACUAAUGCUCGCAGUAGCACCUGGGUAUUUGAUACUAGUUCUGUUGCUAAUAUUUGCAACUUGAAACAGGGACUACGGAUUAAUCGAAGAUUGGCUAAGGACGAGCUGACGAUGCGCGUGGGAAAUGGUUCCAAAGUCGAUGUGAUCGCGAUGGGCACGCUACCUCUACAUCUACCAUCGGGAUUAGUUUUAGACCUGAAUAAUUGUUAUUUGGUGCCAGCGUUGAGCAUGAACAUUAUAUCUAGAUCUUGUUUGAUGCGAGACGGUUAUUCAUUUAAAUCAGAGAAUAAUGGUUGUUCUAUUUAUAUGAGUAAUAUCUUUUAUGGUCAUGCACCCUUGAAGAGUGGUCUAUUUUUAUUAAAUCUCGAUAGUAGUGAUACACAUAUUCAUAAUGUUGAAGCCAAAAGAUGCAGAGUUGAUAAUGAUAGUGCAACUUAUUUGUGGCACUGCCAUUUGGGUCAUAUUGGUGUAAAGNNNNNNNNNNNNNNNNNNNNNNNNNNNNNNNNNNNNNNNNNNNNNNNNNNNNNNNNNNNNNNNNNNNNNNNNNNNNNNNNNNNNNNNNNNNNNNNNNNNNCGAUGACAAAGGGAACAACGUAUGUUGUUAUGCGGUCUGACCGAUAAAGAUCUUCGUAGAAUAUGUAGGAGCCAAUAUGGGCAUCCAGGUCCCGCUAUUGGUUAUUGACCAGAGACAUGUCUCGGUCAUGUCUACAUUGUUCUCGAACCCGUAGGGUCCGCACGCUUAAGGUUACGAUGACAGUUAUAUUAUGAGUUUAUGCAUUUUGAUGUACCGAAGGUUGUUCGGAGUCCCGGAUGUGAUCACGGACAUGACGAGGAGUCUCGAAAUGGUCGAGACGUAAAGAUUGAUAUAUUGGAAGCCUAUAUUUGGAUAUCGGAAGUGUUCCGGGUGAAAUCGGGAUUUUACCGGAAUACCGGGAGGGUUACCGAAACCCCCCGGGAGCUAUUUGGGCCAUAGUGGGCCUUAGUGGAAAAGAGAAGGGGCUGCCCUAGAUGGGCUGCGCGCCCCCCCUUCCCCUAGUCCUAUUAGGACUAGGAGAGGUGGCCGGCCCCCUCCUCCUCUUUUCCCCUCCGAGGAAUCCUAGUUGGACUAGGAUUGGAGGGGGAAUCCUACUCCCAGUGGGAGUAGGACUCUCCUGCGCCUCCCCCCCUUGGCCGGCCAGCCUCCCCUCCUCUCCUCCUUUAUAUACGGAGGCAGGGGCACCUCUAAACACACAAGUUGACACAAGUUGAUCCACGUGAUCGAUUCCUUAGCCGUGUGCGGUGCCCCCUGCCACCAUAUACCUCGAUAAUACUGUAGCGGAGUUUAGGCGAAGCCCUGCUGCUGUAGUUCAUCAAGAUCGUCACCACGCCGUCGUGCUGACGAAACUCUUCCCCGACACUUUGCUGGAUCGGAGUCCGGGGAUCGUCAUCGGGCUGAACGUGUGCUCGAACUCGGAGGUGCCGUAGUUUCGGUGCUUGAUCGGUUGGAUCGUGAAGACGUACGACUACUUCCUCUACGUCGUGUCAUCGCUUCCGCAGUCGGUCUGCGUUAGGUACGUAGACAACACUCUCCCCUCGUUGCUAUGCAUCACAUGAUCCUGUGUGCGCGUAGGAAAUUUUUUGAAAUUACUACGAAACCCAACAGUGGCAUCCGAGCCUAGGUUAUUGAUGUUGAUGUUAUAUGCACGAGUAGAACACAAGUAAGUUGUGGACGAUACAAGUCAUACUGCCUACCAGCAUGUCAUACUUUGGUUCGGCGGUAUUGUUGGACGAGACGACCCGGACCAACCUUACGCGUACGCUUACGCGAGACCGGUUCCCUCGACGUGCUUUGCACAGAGAUGGCUUGCGGGCGACUGUCUCUCCAACUUUAGUUGAACCAAGUAUGGCUACGCCCGGUCCUUGCGAAGGUUAAAACGGAGUCUAUUUGACAAACUAUCGUUGUGGUUUUGAUGCGUAGGUGAGAUUGGUUCUUACUUAAGCCCGUAGCAGCCACGUAAAACAUGCAACAACAAAGUAGAGGACGUCUAACUUGUUUUUGCAGGGCAUGUUGUGAUGUGAUAUGGUCAAGGCAUGAUGCUGAAUUUUAUUGUAUGAGAUGAUCAUGUUUUGUAACCGAGUUAUCGGCAACUGGCUGGAGCCAUAUGGUUGUCGCUUUAUUGUAUGCAAUGCAAUCGCGAUGUAAUGCUUUACUUUAUUACUAAACGUUAGUGAUAGUCGUGGAAGCAUAAGAUUGGCGAGACGACAACGAUGCUACGAUGGAGAUCAAGGUGUCGCGCCGGUGACGAUGGUGAUCAUGACGGUGCUUCGGAGAUGGAGAUCACAGGCACAAGAUGAUGAUGGCCAUAUCAUAUCACUUAUAUUGAUUGCAUGUGAUGUUUAUCUUUUAUGCAUCUUAUCUUGCUUUGAUUGACGGUAGCAUUAUAAGAUGAUCUCUCACUAAAUUAUCAAGAAGUGUUCUCCCUGAGUAUGCACCGUUGCCAAAGUUCGUCGUGCCCAGACACCACGUGAUGGUCGGGUGUGAUAAGCUCUACGUCCAUCUACAACGGGUGCAAGCCAGUUUUUGCACACGCAGAAUACUCAGGUUAAACUUGACGAGCCUAGCAUAUGCAGAUAUGGCCUCGGAACACGGAGACCGAAAGGUCGAGCGUGAAUCAUAUAGUAGAUAUGAUCAACAUAACGAUGUUCACCAUUGAAAACUACUCCAUCUCACGUGAUGAUCGGUUAUGGUUUAGUUGAUUUGGAUCACGUAAUCACUUAGAGGAUUAGAGGGAUGUCUAUCUAAGUGGGAGUUCUUAAGUAAUAUGAUUAAUUGAACUUAAAUUUAUCAUGAACUUAGUACCUGAUAGUAUCUUGCUUGUUUAUGUUAAUUGUAGAUAGAUGGCUCGUGCUGUUGUUCCGUUGAAUUUUAAUGCGUUCCUUGAGAAAGCAAAGUUGAAAGAUGAUGGUAGCAAUUACACGGACUGGGUCCGUAACUUGAGGAUUAUCCUCAUUGCUGCACAGAAGAAUUACGUCCUGGAAGCACCGCUGGGUGCCAGGCCUGCUGCUGGAGCAACGCCAGAUGUUAUGAACGUCUGGCAGAGCAAAGCUGAUGACUACUCGUUAGUUGAGUGUGCCAUGCUUUACGGCUUAGAAUCGGGACUUCAACGACGUUUUGAACGUCAUGGAGCAUAUGAGAUGUUCCAGGAGUUGAAGUUAAUAUUUCAAGCAAAUGCCCGGAUUGAGAGAUAUGAAGUCUCCAAUAAGUUCUAUAGCUGCAAGAUGGAGGAGAACAGUUCUGUCAGUGAGCAUAUACUCAAAAUGUCUGGGUAUAAUAAUCACUUGAUUCAAUUGGGAGUUAAUCUUCCGGAUGAUUGCGUCAUCGACAGAAUUCUCCAAUCACUGCCACCAAGCUACAAGAGCUUCGUAAUGAACUAUAAUAUGCAAGGGAUGAACAAGACUAUUCCCGAGCUCUUCGCAAUGCUGAAAGCUGCGGAGGUAGAAAUCAAGAAGGAGCAUCAAGUGUUGAUGGUUAACAAGACCACUAGUUUCAAGAAAAAGGGCAAAGGGAAGAAAAAGGGGAACUUCAAAAAGAANNNNNNNNNNNNNNNNNNNNNNNNNNNNNNNNNNNNNNNNNNNNNNNNNNNNNNNNNNNNNNNNNNNNNNNNNNNNNNNNNNNNNNNNNNNNNNNNNNNNCAUCUGAAUAGUUGCAAAAGCUAGUUCAAUAUUUGGCGUCUCAAAAUCAGCUUCUAAAUAGGUCUUUUUGCCCUCCAAAGUUCGCGUAUACACUUUGUUCCAAUUUUUCAGGCGAGUUUUAAAAUUGACUCCUCAUAUCAAUUCGGAAUUGAAUGAUUCUUUUUGCAUUGGAAAACUUGAGUUAGUAGCAAACUUUUCAAGAGGAAAGUUGAAGAGAGAGUUGUUAUAUAUCCUGCUUGGCAGUUGUUAUUCAUCAUUAUCUUUAUUGCCGUUGUGAUCUUCACUUAUAUCUUGCUGUCCAGAGCUACUUAUCCUUCAUUGAUGCUAGUUGUGCUAUGCCGUGACCUCAUUAGUGUUCUAGGCUCGCGUCUCUAAUUCGGUCUAGCCUAGGACCAGCACAGUACCGUCGUUGAGCGUUUAUUCAACAUUGCAUCUUUGAAUUGAUUAUUGCUAAUCUUUUGCUACCAUAUAUAGCCAACCCAGCUCCACAUAUUUCUACACCGUGUAUACGUACGUUCCCCUGGCAAUCGCUCUACACAAUCAUCAGAGUUAUUUGACACCGCUGGUUGCCUGUCACCACCUGUCGCAUGGUAAGAACUUGUAAGAUAUUGAUAUUUGCUUUACUGUGAGCACGUUACAACCACAUCCUAGUUGUUCAUAGGAACAUUAUUCUCGAAUUUUGUUUCUUGUUUCUACUAAUCAUGACAGGUUCCGGAGAAAGAAGUUCUUGGACGACGAACACAUCCUCACCAUCACGAGAGUUGGGACAACACACACAAGCACAUGGUCAGCUUAUCUCUUUACCAUCAUUUGAGGGUAGAUUUAAUCCUGCUAUUUAUCUAGAUUUGGAGCUUGAAGUAGAACAAGUUUUUAGUUACCAUGACUUUUUUGAACUUGAGCGAGUACGAGCUGCCACUAGAGCAUUUACUAGUUUUGCUUCUGUUUGGUGGAGUGUGCAUUGUAAGAAAAACAUUGAUAACCAACCCACAACUUGGAAAUAUUUGAAACAUGUAAUGAGACAACAAUUUUUCCCUCCUUACUAUCGUCGUGAAUUGCUUCGCAAAUUUGAACAAUUUAAACAAGGCAAUAACACUGUUCAUGCUUACUACCAAGAGUUCAAAUCUUAUAUGCAUCAUUGUGACAUAGAAGAAUCUGAGGAUGAUACAAUGAAUAGAUUUUUUGGUGGUUUGAACCAUGAUAUCCAGGCAAGAUUUAGGUAUAUUCCUCGUUGCAUUACUGGUAUGUAUGUUCGUGCUUGUACCUUUGAGAGACAGUUACAGGAGGAUGCAUCGGGUGACUACAACAACUACUAUUCCAAUUCAUGCUCACUAUCAUCGGUUGAUUCCUCCACCGUUGCACCUACUAGAGCAGCCACACCUUAGAUUGUGAGUGCGACAUCAUCUCAAGUGUAUGGUACAUUGUCAUUGUCCAUACCGACAUCAGCUACAUCUUUGCGAGAAGGUAAUAGUAAAGGUAUUGAUUAUAUAACUUCAUAUGAGAAUGAUGCAUCCCUAAUUAACUUAAAUACAUCAUGUGUUGAGUUACCUGUUGAUUUGAGCACGCCAUCUAUUUUAGAGAAUCGUGUUACUAUCAUGAAUGAAUCAUGUGAUCAAACAACUGAAAUACCAACAAUUUUGAGUGCACCCAUUGAAUUAACUAUUGAUGCAAAAGAACCAAUGUUUAAUCAUUUUGAUGUGACCUCUAAUCUUGGUGAUGAUUCUAUGUCCAAUGACUUACUGCAUGUUUGCUUAUUUAAGCAUGUUGUAGCAUGUAAAUUUGAUGCAAGUAAGGUUUAUUCACCAAUGUUGGGAUGGUUUAAUGAUGAAUAUUGUCAAUCUUUUGAUAUGAAUAAGAGCUUCACUUAUAUGUGCAAACUGAGUUGCAAUAUUUUCAUGCCUUCUACUUAUGAUAAUAUUUUAGCUUUAUAUUUUAUGAUCUAUGAAAGUUACUCAUGUAUACAUGUGUCAUAUGUGCAAAAACCAAGGGAAGUAAAAAUGGAUGGCAUAUACAUAUACAACAUGUAUACUUUGUCUCUUUUGUUAGCCACAUUUCAGAUUAAGCAACGCCGAGGACGGCUUUGUUUUCAAAAAGGGGAGGAUGAUGAGGACAUGACUACCUUGGACACGACCAAAAAUAUUGCAUACAUGCAUAUUUGUCAGGUGAUUUCUAGUGCAAACUAUUCAAUAAUCUAUUUAGGUUAUCCAGAACAAAAAUACUUCACACACUUUUGUGUUUUGUCUAAUUGCAGGUGUAUGGGAUAUUUGUACAAUUCACAUAUGAAGAUAAGGGAGAAAGAGAUGUUUAAGUGCUGUUCAAAAAGUUCUCUCACGUCACUUUUGGGCCAAGAGAAGAUAGAGUCCAAGUCUCUCACGUUCUGGAUUCAGAUUCGGACUGCACAGACAUACCUGACUCAAAACGCCAACAACUUUUUCAUACGGACUUCGAAUUGGGUGAUUCUUUUUUUGUUGGAUUCUAGAUUUUGUGCUCUUUCCAGCCCAAUUAGAUUCACAUUCAAAUUCGUCCAGAGCGUUGAGAUAUCGACGAAACAAUCAGACGCUGCAGCAAAAUCCGAGUCAAACAACAAGUCCAAAGGUGUUGCAUCACCUCCACUUGGGCCCAUUGGCCUUGUACGACCUAGGGUUGCUUUUAGGAUGCCUUGGGACGUUCUCCCACCUCCUUGGCCGCCACCCCUUCCUCCUAUAUAAGUAGAUCCAUCUAGUAGCUUUUUCCUUGGAAUUUAUUUAGUUAAAAGUUAGCCAACGCAACUUCGUGUACUUUGUUUGUGUCCAACGACCAGACCAAGACCGCUUUCGGAUCCCCACCUUUAUCAAUACUUCAUACAUAUUUGCAAUAUUCAGAUUGCUUUUAUCAUAUUCUUGCUCGUUCUUCGAUUGCUUGCAGGAAUAGACCUUCGUGGUCAGGUUGAUCGUGCACCGGCGUGGUCAAUAACCUCUGGAGAUUGGUUUAGCAAUUGCUAAGGCGCAACGUCGUGCACGUUNNNNNNNNNNNNNNNNNNNNNNNNNNNNNNNNNNNNNNNNNNNNNNNNNNNNNNNNNNNNNNNNNNNNNNNNNNNNNNNNNNNNNNNNNNNNNNNNNNNNGAGGCACAUUGAUUGUCCUCAUUAAGACGGUCCGAAAUAUUCUCCUGCACGGUCGGACUGAUCAUGCACAACGGCAAUGAGGAAGAACACGAGGCUUCAUCGCUGUUCUUGUCAUGAAAACUCAUGGAGGUUAUAGGAAUGAUAUUAAAUUUACCCAGCUCCUUAGUAGAGGCCUGAAUGAUUGACGUGUCCAGGAAGACCGGAUGGUUGUAACGAAUGGCCAUAGGGCUGCGCGCAGCAAUGGGCUCCAGAUGUUCAUCAACAUGCCAUUGAUGUUCAAAAUGUUUGUACCCAUUGAAAUGACCAUUGAAAAGAUGAAAAUGACAUAUAAAAUCCGGCCAAAUACAAUCUUUGAGCCCAUGAAUGAAAUGACCCACUUUGUUACCAAAUACAGAGAAGCGAAAAGAUCUGUCACUGAGCUUAACCACCUUGAACCCCUUGGGAUGACCCCCAAUACAACAUUGCAAAGCCACACUCACAGAAUCUUCAGUAAGGGGAAAGGAGGCCGAGGAGAAAGAAACCACCAAGAAGAAUUCCUUGGUAUUGCGAGAUGGAGAAAAGUGAACAGUUUCUCCAAAUCUUCAACGUACAUGUUCUGAGACUGCAAGACCAGGAUUGAAAUCCCAGUGUAGUAGGCCUUCCAUGGUGAGGAUUAGUGGUUAGAUCCAUGGUGGAGAGGAAGCAGGUUGGAGAGAGGAGAGGAGAGGAGCCAUUCUACCACGAGAAAUCUGUGGAGGGGGGCACCGUAGGAUUUACUGAGGGAAUAGUGGUACUGGGGGAGGCGAGUGAGGCGAGGGUACGCGGGGGCACAGUGAGAUGAUGAAUAGUGACCUUAGGAUCUCCGGCGACACGGAGAUGGAGAUGGAGUGGUGCUAGGGGAGAGGGUGACGAGGUGAGGCAUGCUAUACAGCGGCAGUGAUAGUGACUGCACAGUGCACAAGGUGAGGCUGACUUUGGUAACCCGAACACGCCGCCUGGACUGGUGUCACCUCGAGCGCAAGGGCCUGUCAGUUCACUGUGAGGACCGGAUGAAUAAUAUUUUGACCAUCAAGUGUACCACAGUUGUACUACUACUACUAGUAGGAGUAGUAGGAACAUGAGUAUUAUUGUAUAGCGGAAAUAGGUCUCCCACGCUAGCAUGCCUUUGGGUUCACUUCAUCCUCUAGGUAUCAUCCAUAAUGCGAGCAGAACCAAAUUCUCGUGCAUGCGGAAGCGCGAAGAAGGCCUUUUAUUUUUUGAGGAUAACUGCGUAUUCUUAACUAGAAAAAUGUUGUGUCUCCCAUGCACAUGCCAAUAUCCAUCCGAACCAGCUACGACACAUUUUUUAAAUCCGUUUGCAUAGGUCCCACCUGUCAGUGGCACAUGUAGCGCUCGAAGGAUGGGCACGUACAGGGAAAGGUACCACUCCUCAGAUUACCGACAUAUCCUUUUCGUUUAGUCUAUGUAGCCAUCUAAUCAACUGCCUGCAGGCCACUUCUCCCAUUUACUUCUCCAUCAGGAACCGACUUUCCUCGGCUUCUUCACUACUCCUUCAUCUUCAUUUGCAUCCAAACCACACUGCAUUCACAUUGUUUUAACAUCUUCACAUUCUCCUAGAGUAAUUCCGAAGCCCCUUUAAAUAAUAAUCUUCUUUAGCUAGACUAGCCAUCUAAUCCUAAUUCCUCAAACCAUAGCCCUCCGGUCCAGCGGUUCCAAAUAGCGAAAGAGAUCGAGACGCAGGUUUUUAGUGUCCAACAUGUCCUCGUCAAAGGCUCAUUGAGCAUAGUUGCCACAAUCACCGACCACCCAAGGGUUGUUCGGAAGUGGAUCAACAAUGUAUCCAACUCCCUCCAAAAGGUGGGGAUGAAGGUCAUCGGUCUCGACGCAGAGUACACGGAGCAUGCCACUUGGAAGAUCCAACGUGCCGCCGUCCUUCAGUUGUGCCUCGGAGAUGAUGUUUUGGUGUACCACAUCAUACACGCGCCCUUCAUACCAGGUGAGCUUCACGAUUUCUUGUCUCGGGAGGACAUAUACUUCUGUGGGGCAGCCAUCACAGGGGACAAACAGAAGUUGGAGCCGUACAACCUUGAUUUGAAAAGCAUCACUGGCAUUCAAACCAAAAUAAAAUUUCCUGUAGAACAUUGUGAUAAACCGACGCCAUCACUAUUCGACAUAGCAAAUUUUGUGGUCAGAACAAAUCUUCAGAAGGGUGACGAGAUGCUGGCAUUAAGGUCGUCUAGAUGGGAGAAAUUAUCCCUUGUCAUACGAGCGGAUAAAAUAUGCUGCCUCCAUGCCCGUGUGAGAUUCGAGAUAGAUGCAAGGUCCAAAGAGCUUGUUGCGAAGCUGUCUCCCACAUAAAAUGAGAAGAAGAAGCUGCACCAGCAGCAGGGCAUUAUGGAUGGAUGAACUAUUUCCUCUCUUGUAAAGAAAAUUAUUCCCUCUCUCUGUAUAUUGAUAUAGAUGGGACCUUUCCUAAAAAUAGGACAUAUGAGUUUGCUCGAAAUUCACCGAAACGGAAAUAAAUCGACAUUUCGGUAAAACAUAAGCAACUCGAGGGCAUGUCACUAGCACAAAUCUCUCCAUGUAUGUAUAUAUAUAUAUAUAUAUAUAUAUAUCCCAAACACACAUAUUCUCACUCACACACAUAUUCGCAUUCUUGAAAUGAACAACUUUUUACUCACCUAUAUAUAUCUCCCGGGAGGGACCGAGAGCAGGCGGUUAAUUAGAUGAUGAGAGAGAACGAUCGACAGACCACGUGUGGUUGGCUAAAUAGCUAGCUACAUCUAGUUGUUUGGAGGAGAGGUGAAUCUAGCUAGCUAACUAAUGGAGAGGGGUUACGGUGGAUGGGGGCAUUAAUGGGGGAGACAGGAGAGGUGUAGGAGAAAGAGAGAGGCCAUUUAUGGAGGAGUGUGCCAUUAAUGAGGAGAGAAGAGAGGUAGGAGGAAGAGAGAAGAAGAGAAACAACGGUGGAGCUAGAGUGGAGAGGGGAGAGGGGAAAGGAGGGCGAGAGAGGGCAAAGNNNNNNNNNNNNNNNNNNNNNNNNNNNNNNNNNNNNNNNNNNNNNNNNNNNNNNNNNNNNNNNNNNNNNNNNNNNNNNNNNNNNNNNNNNNNNNNNNNNNUUACAAAAGCUAACCCUUAAACCGCUCGCGACCAUCCGGACAUGUUUUGCCAUCCAAUACGGUCCUAUAUCGGCCCACAGGCCGGUCUGGAUGUGCAUUUUCCUGUAAACCAAAAACAAACUACGGGGCUUUGUGGGCGUCUGGACCGCUGCCACGGCCGCUUCUUACUCCCCUGGCCCACCAAAAACACCUGUCCCGCGCCCGCACCCCUUCACAUGAGAAGCAGUUAGGUACCAGUGCUCCAGAGCACCGGUACCUCAUUCAUGCCUAUUUGGAGUAGCCGCGAUGAAUAUACUCAUGUUGAGGAGAAGUACCAGCCACAAAAAUCAAUGUAAUUGAUUGAUGAAUUGGAUGCUUCUCUGGAAAUAAUUGAUCAAGGGCAAGCCAAGGAUGUGGAUAGUCCUUACUACUUUAAUAAUACUCCAUUUGAAAGUCCAAGGAAAUACUUCAAUUUAAUUCAAAUUUCAGACUCAUUUUGUUAUCUUUAGAUUAAUGCAACAUAAAUAUCUACUUAAUGCAUAAUAUAUAUAAUUAGGGGUGAACUUGUGAGUGGGCACAUGAGUGGAACUCAAACAAACAAUCAUAUGUAGACAAGAGAUGUGUUUGUCUUUUAUUCCCAUGUUUGAACUAGUAUAGUUCGGGUUCUUACAUGAUAGUGCAUGUCACUUUAUUUUUUCACCGCUACAACGACCAAACCAUGGACUAAGAAAACGGUGUAUCAUAUAUCUACUACUAGAGUUCUUCUAUUCUCAGUUAGUACCGAAGAUGCCAACUGGAGCAAUGGUGCAAUAUGGAGGGAUAUAGACAUUGCACAUUGCAGGUAGCGUCUCUAGCGCUAGGUUCCUUAUUUCCUCAAACUGGGGCAGUUGUUGAGGCUGGACAGAGCCCUGGGCCUGUGGGUUUUGCUGAGAUGGCUGGAAGGAGCCCUGGCCUGAUGGAUAUUGUUGUUGAGACUGUUGGAAGCAGACCUGGCUCAACGGUUGUUGUUGUUGUUGUUGUUGUUGUUGUUGUUGUUGUUGUUGUUGAUGCAGAAUAAUAGCAUGAACAACAUUGUGGAUGGCUUGGCACCGCGACUGCUCGGGGAUCUGCCAUAGCUGCUGACAACACAAUUGUUGCACCAGCUGGUAAGUACUUUGUUGCAAAACUUGUGAGCUUCCAUGCGCUAUGCUGUGUUGUUGCAAUACAACAUCCCUGCAUGGAAUCAGUUGUUGUUGCAAAAUUUGUUGAAGGAUCUGUUGUUGUUGUUGUUGUUGCUGCUGCUGCUGCUGCUGCUGCUGCGAAAUUGGUUGUUGUGGUUGCGAAUACUGUGGUUGCGGUUGUGGAUAUGAUUGUUGUGGUCGAAAUGGUUGCGGCUGCGGAUAUGGUAGUUGCGGCUGCGGAUAUGGUAGUUGCGGCUGCGGAAAUGGUUGCAGCUGCAUAUAUGGUUGUUGUGAUGGAAAUGGUUGCAGCUGCGGAUAUGGCUGUUGUGGUGGAAAUGGUUGUUGCUGCCCUGGAAAUUGUUGUUGUUGUACCAAUGGAACUUGCUUUUGUGGUUGUUGCUGAGAUGGAUUUUGUGGCUGCAAUUGUGGCACUGGAACUCUAACUGCAAUUGUGGCGGUGGUUGCUACAAUAGCACGGAGGGCAAGGAUGAGAAAGGUCUUCAUGGUGGAUUUGUAUUGAGCACUGCUUGCUUGGCUUAAAUGAUGCGCUCUACUUAUGAGAAUGAUGGAUGAGGAAGGAUGAUCAUCAUGCUACGGGCCUAUUUAUAGCUGCCAUGGAAUGAUCUCUUUCACAAUUGGCAUUUGCUUGUGUGGAAGUGCUUGGAUGCUUCUCAAAAUCAUAAUUUGGUAUGUUGUGUUCGGUGGCACUACUUACAAGUGUAUUCUUGAACUGGUCAUUAAAGUUCCUUGUUGUUGCACUAUCAUUCCACAACCAAAAAGGUGUGAUAACACGCAUGACUCAUUUUAUUCACUUUACAGCUCAAACACUAAUCUAGAUUGCCUAUUUUUCUGAAACUAAGUUUGUAAUUUUCUGCAAAUUGUUACGCAUAAACUAGAUAAGCAUGGCUGGCACAGAACUUGGUUUGUAAUCUUGUGUGGCCUGUUAAGGUAGAUAAGACUAGUAAUAUAACUUGCUUUAGUAGGCCAUGACUCAUCAAAUUCCCUUUACAUGUCAAGUGUUGUAGUGUUCUAGAAGUUAUUAGCAAACAUAAAUUUUGUAAUGUUCUACAAGUUGUUACAUGUAAACUAGAUAAGCUUGACUUGCACACAAACAAGAUUUUAAUCAUGUGUGACCUGUUAAGAUGGAUUAGACUAGUAAUGUGGCUUUGAUAGACCAUGACUCAUCAAAUUGCUUUUACUUGUCUUAAGUGUUGUAUAUGUUGUACAAGUUAUUAACACUUAUCAGCUUAGUAUGGCUUGCAAUGUGUGUGCAUGCCAAUGUACGUUCUAGCUUCUAUUCAUUUGUAGAUCUUAUUUUGUUUUACGCAAAUUGUAUAAAUUAUCAUCUACGCUAAGGCUUGCGAGUGCAACUGCAACAAUGUUGGCAGGGUGGGAGGGAGGUUGUGGCAUGGCAUGAGUUCUUAUGACAACCGUUCAUUAUGUGUGAAAAGAUACGUGUUAUGUUUUUCAUGCGUGCUAAGAAAUAGAUGUUUUUAAAUACAAUUUAUAUUUUGAUUAGCAAAGUUCUCGGAAAAGUUGACAUGACCUCUACUCAUUAUUUAUCUUUUGGAUCAAAUUCAAAUAAUAAUAAAAUAAAUGGAUGUGAUUCCAUCAUGGCCAUUUCAAAUAUAUUUGAAAGUAAAAUCCAAACAUUAUCCUCAGAUUACAAUACAAAUUACACGUCAACUGUUUCAGAUAAAAAAUAUAAAUGAUCUAUUAUAUUAUUAAAAGAAGAAAAAUGAGUUAAAAAGAAUGGAUGUGAUUUGCUUGAAAGAAUGUGUAUGCAUGUCUCCUUAUCCCGCGAGUUUCCAGAAAAACAACGCUAGGCUCGUCCUAUUGGAAUCAGUCGGAUGAAUAAANNNNNNNNNNNNNNNNNNNNNNNNNNNNNNNNNNNNNNNNNNNNNNNNNNNNNNNNNNNNNNNNNNNNNNNNNNNNNNNNNNNNNNNNNNNNNNNNNNNNGGGUUACGUCAAAAACUGGAUGCACUUCGCGUACAAAACGGACGAUCUCUUUCAAAGUAUCAGGAUUUCAUACGGAAACUCGUCUGUUACAAUGGAAUUUCAUUUUUAAAACUUAUUUGAACUCCUGACUUUUUGUGUGUUCAAAAUUAAACAUUCAAAUCCACAUCAUCAUUUUUCAAUCCUUUCUGACUUCAUUUGUUAUUUUUCAUGCAUUUACUAAUUAUUUUGAGCUAUAAGACCAUAAAAUUGAAAAGCAUUUCAAAUGAACUCUGAAAAGGUUGAAAGUUGGCAUGGUAUCAUCAUUUCAUCCACAUAGCAUGUGCAAGAUAGUUGAGAGGGUUACGGCAAAAACUGGAUGCACUUCGUGUACAAAAUGGACGUUCUCUUUCAAAGUAUCAGGAUUUCAUACGGAAACUCGUCUGUUAGAAAGGGAUUUCAUUUUUUUAAAACUUAUUUGAACUCCUGACUUCUUGUGUGUUCAAAAUGCACCAUUCAAAGACACAUCAUCAUUUUUCAAUCCUUUCUGACUUCAUUUGUUAUUUUUCAUGCAUUUACUAAUUAUUUUGAGCUAUAAGACCCUAAAAUUGAAAAGCAUUUCAAAUGAACUCUGAAAAGGUUGAAAGUUGGCAUGGUAUCAUCAUUUCAUCCACAUAUCAUGUGCAAGAUAGUUGAGAGGGUUACAAAUAACUGGAUGCACUUCGUGUACAAAACGGACAAUCUCUUUCAAAGUAUCAGGAUUUCGUACGGAAACUCGUCUGUUACAAAGGGAUUUCAUUUUUUUAAACUUAUUUGAACUCCAGACUUUUUGUGUGUUCAAAAUGCACCAUUCAAAGCCACACCAUCAUUUUUCAAUCCUUUCUGACUUCAUUUGUUAUUUUUCAUGCAUUUACUAAUUAUUUUGAGCUAUAAGACCAUAAAANNNNNNNNNNAUUUUUUUAAACUUAUUUGAACUCCUGACUUUUUGUGUCUUCAAAAUGCACCAUUCACAGCCACACCAUCAUUUUUCAGUCCUUUCUCACUUCAUUUGUUAUUUUUCAUGCAUUUACUAAUUAUUUUCACCUAUAAGACCCUAAAAUUGAAAAGCAUUUCAAAUGAACUCUGAAAAGGUUGAAAGUUGGCAUGGUAUCAUCAUUUCAUCCACAUAGCAUGUGCAAGAAAUUUGAGAGGGUUACGGUAAAAACUGGAUGCACUUCGUUUACAAAACGGACAAUCUCUUUCAAAGUAUCAGGAUUUCGUACGGAAACUCGUCUGUUACAAAGGGAUUUCAUUUUUUUAAACUUAUUUGAACUCCUGACUUUUUGUGUGUUCAAAAUGCACCAUUCAAAGCCACAUCAUCAUUUUUAAUCCUUUCUAACUUCAUUUGUUAUUUUUCAUGCAUUAACUAAUUAUUUUGAGCUAUAAGACCAUGAAAUUGAAAAGCAUUUCAAAUGAACUCUGAAAAGUUUGAAAGUUGGCAUGGUAUCAUCAUUUCAUCCACAUAGCAUGUGCAAGAAAGUUGAGAGGGUUACGGCAAANNNNNNNNNNGGAUUUCAUACGGAAACUCGUCUGUUACAAAGGGAUUUCAUUUUUUUAAACUUAUUUGAACUCCUGACUUUUUGUGUGUUCAAAAUGCACCAUUCAAAGCCACAUCAUCAUUUUUCAAUCCUUUCUGACUUCAUUUGUUAUUUUUCAUGCAUUUACUAAUUAUUUUGAGCUAUAAGACCCUAAAAUUGAAAAGCAUUUCAAUUGAACUAUGAAAAGGUUGAAAGUUGGCAUGGUAUCAUCAUUUCAUCCACAUAGCAUGUGCAAGAAAGUUCAGAGGGUUACGGCAAAAACUGGAUGCACUUCGAGUACAAAACGGACAAUCUCUUUCAAAGUAUCACGAUUUCAUACGGAAACUGGUCCGUUACAAAGGGAUUACAUUUUUUAAAACUUAUUUGAACUCCUGACUUUUUGUGUGUUCAAAAUGGACCAUUCAAAGCAACAUCAUCAUUUCUCAAUCCUUUCUGACUUCAUUUGUUAUUUUUCAUGCAUUUACUAAUUAUUUUGGGCUAUAAGACCCUAAAAUUGAAAAGCAUUUCAAAUGAACUCUGAAAAGGUUGAAAGUUGGCAUGGUAUCAUCAUUUCAUCCACAUAGCAUGUGCAGGAAAGUUGAGAGGGUUACGGCAAAAACUGGAUGCACUUCAUGUACAAAACGGACAAUCUCUUUCAAAGUAUCAGGAUGUCAUACGGAAACUCGUCUGUUACAAAGGGAUUUCAUUUUUUAAAACUUAUUUGAACUCCUGACUUUUUAUGUGUUCAAAAUGCACCAUUCAAAGCCACAUCAUCAUUUUUCAAUCCUUUGUGACUUCAUUUGUUAUUUUUCAUGCAUUUACUAAUUAUUUUGAGCUAUAAGACCCUAAAAUUGAAAAGCAUUUCAAUUGAAUUCUGAAAAGGUUGAAAUUGGCAUGGUAUCAUUAUUUCAUCCACAUAGCAUGUGCAAGAAAGUUGAGAGGGUUACGGCAAAAACUGGAUGCACUUCAUGUACAAAACGGACAAUCUCUUUCAAAGUAUCAGGAUUUCAUUCGGAAACUCGUCAGUUACAAAGGGAAUUCGUUUUUUAAAACUUAUUUGAACUCCUGACUUUUUGUGUGUUCAAAAUGCACCAUUCAAAGCCACAUCAUCAUUUUUCAAUCCUUUCUGACUUCAUUUGUUAUUUUUCAUGCAUUUACUAAUUAUUUUGAGCUAUAAGACCCUAAAAUUGAAAAGCGUUUCAAAUGAACUCUGAAAAGGUUGAAAGUUGGCAUGGUAUCAUCAUUUCAUCCACAUAGCAUGUGCAAGAAAGUUGAGAGGGUCACGGCAAAAACUGGAUGCACUUCAUGUACAAACCGGACAAUCUCUUUGAAAGUAUCAGGAUUGCAUACGGAAACUCGUCUGUUACAAAGGGAUUUCAUUUUUUAAAACUUAUUUGAACUCCUGACUUUUUGUGUGUUCAAAAGGACCAUUCAAAGCCACAUCAUCAUUUUUCAAUCCUUUCUGANNNNNNNNNNNNNNNNNNNNNNNNNNNNNNNNNNNNNNNNNNNNNNNNNNNNNNNNNNNNNNNNNNNNNNNNNNNNNNNNNNNNNNNNNNNNNNNNNNNNAUAUAUAUAUAUAUAUAUAUAUAUAUAUAUAUAUAUAUAUAUGGCAUAACUGAGUGCUGAUGAUGGAGAGAAAAGGACCACAGAUUAAAAAAAUAUGGUCAGUACACUUAUUAUCAUAUAAUUAGAUUUAUUUUCCAGUCCAAAUGACACCUCCAGUUUCCUUGAGGAGAUGUUAUAUAUUUUCGCAGUCUAUUUUCUUUGUUCUAAGCAACAUGGCCACUUAUAUAUCUUAUAUCUGCUCUGCAGUAGUUUUUGGGUCACAGAGAGUCUGAACUCUGAACACGCUAUAACACACGUGUUAACUGAGCCAUUAGUCUGGCCGCAUUGGAGCAAGUAGCUAAAAGAAUUUUUUUCCUAGAACUUGCACUGGCGUCAUGGGCAGAUGGCCUGACCGCAACACAACCCAUAACAGUUUUUACAUGGGAAGAAGUGAUGAAUGUUAACAUAUAAGGACGAACUUGUAAAUCUGCUGGUCUUGUUUCAAACGUGUGAUAAGCUUUGUUGGUUCUCCAAUGUGUUGGGCGGCCGGCACCUUUUCCUGCAAGCUGCGACUAAUUUCGUGACAUGGAAGACCACUAAACUGAAUUCCAAACAUCCUGAAUAUCCAAAAACCUAUUUGUAAAUCUUUGUCACAGGGUGCUAGACAAUGCUAGACUGAUCUUUAACACUUAAACUGUUUCCAAAUUUAGUAUAGAAAAAAUAGUCGGAAGGGCCGUGAACGAUCUGUGUCAGCAGCAGCUACAAUCAAACAUAAGCUAAUCGCAUUAGUGGAGUCAAAUCAUAACAACGCACUCACCUAGACCAUGUUGAGUCGUCUCUUAUUGAGAAUUGACCUUCAGUGGGCGUGAAGCAUCAGCCAAACCAUGUAGAAGCCCUGCGAUAGCAUGUACGCUAGCUAGCUCCAUGCCUCUAGCAACGUUUAUCGAAUAGGAUAUGGACCGCGCUCUUCAACUUCUGCUGCCCGAGGAUGCUGGUGAACAGUUUCGCUACUACUCCUGUCUAUAAAGAUACCACGGCAACCGCGGGCGCUGGCGCGGAGUACUGGAUCUCCCAAUAUGUACGUGCAGUUGUGCACCAUACUGCUCGUGUUUGGACCUGCAGCACAGGAGAUCGUGGAGGCUUCAACAGGAGAAGAACGCGCGUAGCCAAGAUCAUGCUGGUGGAUAUCCUCGUCACGUGAUGCGGACAUCACAUGCCGAGAUGUACUCACGGUAAUGGACUCGUGUCUGCGCUACUGGGUAACUGGAGGCCGGACGGUGCCACUGCUCAUGUAUGACUGGUCAAUGAGGAGGCUGGCGGAUGGAGAGGGCAACGGAUGGAGGCAGGCCGGAUGAUGGGACUCCCGCAUAGAGAAGGAAUCAACAAUUAGAAAUCUGCAUCCACCUUGCAAUAGCAUAGCAAGAACCAACCGGAGGUAGGCCCCGAUGAUAGGAGAUCUAUUCGAUUUCUUUUAGGAAAAGAAAAGAUGGAGGUCAAUAGAGGUAGGAGUGCUGCACGAUGGCUACUACGUGGUAUGCCUUUUUUUUUGCGUGGACAGAUUUUUUACCUAGAUUGAAUCUCAUCCCAUGAUUUUUCUGGACUCUUUAUUUCAUUCAGAUAGACGUGAGAGAUUAAAAGAGUUGGGUUCUGUGAUACACGAUUCAUGUACGUAUUUUUUUUAUGAAUCGAUCUGGACCGUAAUAAUUCGGUCCCACCAGAUUAACGGCUCGUAAAAUCUAAUUAACGUGAGAGUUUUAGGAAGUCAAGAAUUAGUAUAGGUAUAGAGGUAUUGAUAGAUAGAUAGAUAGAUAGAUAGAUAGAUAGAUAGAAGUGUUCUCCUUGAGUAUGCACCGUUGCGAAAGUUCUUCGUGCUGAGACACCACGUGAUGAUCGGGUGUGAUAGGCUCUACAUUCAAAUACAACGGGUGCAAAACAGUUGCACACGCAGAAUACUCAGGUUAAACUUGACGAGUCUAGCAUAUACAGAUAUGGCCUCGGAACACUGAGACCGAAAGGUCGAACGUGAAUCAUAUAGUAGAUAUGAUCAACAUAGUGAUGUUCACCAUUGAAACUACUCCAUCUCAUGUGAUGAUCGGACAUGGUUUAGUUGAUUUGGAUCACGUGAUCACUUAGAUGACUAGAGAGGUGUCUGUCUAAGUGGGAGUUCUUAAGUAAUAUGAUUGAUUGAACUUAAAUUUAUCAUGAACUUAGUCCUGGUAGUAUUUUGCAAAUUAUGUUGUAGAUCAAUAGCUUGCGUUGUUGCUUUCAUAUGUUUAUUUUGAUAUGUUCCUCGAGAAAAUUGUGUUGAAAGAUGUUAGUAGAAAUGAUGCGGAUUGGAUCCGUGAUCUGAGGUUUAUCCUCAUUGCUGCACAGAAGAAUUAUAUCCUUAAUGCACCGCUAGGUGACAAACCUAUUGCAGGAGCAGAUGCAGACGUUAUGAACGUUUGGCUAGCUCAAUAUGAUGACUACUUGAUAGUUUAGUGCACCAUGGUUAACUGCUUAGAAUCGGGACUUCAAAGACGUUUUGAACGUCAUGGACCAUAUGAGAUGUUUCAGGAGUUGAAGUCAAUAUUUCAAGCAAAUACCCGAGUUGAGAGAUAUGAAGUCUCCAACAAGUUCUAUAGCUAAAGGAUGGAGGAGAAUCGCUCAACUAGUGAGCAUGUGCUCAGAUUGUCUGGGCACUACAAUCGCUUGAAUCAAGUGGGAGUUAAUCUUCCAGAUAAGAUAGUGAUUGACAGAGUUCUCUAGUCACCAUCACCAAGUUAGUAGAACUUUGUGAUGAACUAUAGUAUGCAAGGGAUGACGAAAACGAUUCCUGAGCUCUUUGUGAUGUUGAAAUCAACAAAGAUAGAAAUCAAGAAAGAGCAUCAAGUGUUGAUGGUGGACAAGAUCAUUAGUUUCAAGAAAAGGGCAAAGGGAAAGAAAGGGGAACUUCAAGUAGAAUGACAAGCAAGUUGUCACUCCCACGAAGAAGCCCAAAGCUGAACCAAAGCCUGAAACUGAGUGCUUCAACUACAAANNNNNNNNNNNNNNNNNNNNNNNNNNNNNNNNNNNNNNNNNNNNNNNNNNNNNNNNNNNNNNNNNNNNNNNNNNNNNNNNNNNNNNNNNNNNNNNNNNNNGAUGUGGGCGCGGCCCACGUGGCGCGCGCGGACUGGACGGGUGGCGGCGGCGGAUGUUGUCCGGUCCGAUCCGGACACGUCCGUCGGUGGCGGGGGUUGAUCUGUUUUUUUUUCGGAGGAGGACGGGGAGGAAUCUGAGAUCCGAAAGGGGGGGUGUAUAUAUAGGCAUAAGUGGAGCUAGGAGAGUCCAAAUGAGGUGCGGUUUUCGCCCACGCGAUCGUGAUCGAACGAUCUAGGACAUGGAGCAGAGUUUGGUGGGUUUUGGAAGAAAUUUGGGGGUGUUGGGCUGCAACACACACGAGGCCUUUUCGGUCCCUCGGUUAACCGUUGGACUAUCAAACGAAGUCCAAAAGGUACGAAACUUGAUAGGUGGUCUACCGGUAGUAAACCAAGGCCGCUUGGCAAGUCUCGGUCCAAUCCGGAAAUGUUUAAUUCCCAGACACGAAACAAAGCUAGAAAUGACCACCGGAGGAGAACGAAGCGCCGGAAUGCAAAACGGACAACGGGGAAAAUGCUCGAAUGCAUGAGAUGAACACGUAUGCAAAUGCAAUGCACAUGAUGAAAUGGUAUGAGAUGCAUGAAAACGAAAACAACACACGGAGACAAAGACCCGAACCUGAGAAAUAAAUAUAACUUGACACCGGAAACGGCAAGAGUUGGAGUACAAAUAGGGAAAGUUACAUCUGGGGCGUUACAACACUCCACCACUACGAAAAGAUCUCGUCCCGAGAUCUAGGACUGAAAGAACUCCGGGUACUCAGAACGAAGGUGAUCCUCGCGUUCCCAGGUAGCUUCACGGUCGGAAUGGUGUGACCACUUAACUUUGAGAAAUUUGAUUGACUUGUUGCGAGUCUUGCGUUCAGUCUCUUCAAGAAUAGCAAAUGGGUGCUCACGAUAAGAGAGAUCUUCUUGGAGCUCAAUGUCCUCGAAGUUGACGGUGCGGUCAGGAGUCUUGAAGCACUUUCGAAGCUGAGAGACAUGGAACACAUCAUGAACAUUUGCAAAGUUUGAAGGAAGCUCGAGUUGAUAGGCGAGGUCGCCUCUCUUGCUGACAAUCUUGAAAGGUCCCACGUAUCUAGGGGCAAGCUUCCCUUUGAUACCGAAGCGACGAGUACCUUUCAUGGGAGAGACGCGGAGGUAAACAUGAUCUCCGAUCUCGAAAGCCAAUUCACGGUGCUUACUAUCAUAGUAGCACUUCUGGCGGGAUUGGGCUGCUUUGAGGUUAUCACGAAUGACUUUGCACAUUUCUUCUGCUUCUGUGAUUAAGUCAUUACCCAGCAGCUGACGUUCACUGGUUUCAGACCAGUUGAGAGGGGUACGGCACUUCCUGCCAUACAAAAUUUCAAAUGGGGCCUUGCCCGAACUUGCUUGAAAGCUGUUGUUGUAUGAGAAUUCAGCAUAAGGAAGACAGUCCUCCCACUUCAUGCCGAAGGAGAUCACACAAGCCCUGAGCAUAUCUUCAAGAAUUUGGUUGACACGCUCGACUUGACCGCUUGUUUGAGGAUGGAAGCUGUGCUGAAGCGGAUGUUGGUGCCCAUGGCCUUCUGAAAAGAAUCCCAAAACUUGGAGGUAAAGAUGCUGCCACGGUCUGAAGAUAUCACUUGAGGAAUACCGUGCAGAGAGACAAUGCGAGAGGUAUAGAGUUCCGCCAAUUGAGCUGCAGUGAUCGACUCUUUGAUAGGCAGAAAAUGAGCCACUUUGGUGAGCUUGUCGAUGACAACAAAUAUAGCAUCAUUGCCACGCUUGGACUUUGGAAACCCAGUCACGAAGUCCAUUUCAAUGUGGUCAAACUUCCAUUCUGGAAUGGCAAGAGGUUGGAGGAGACCAGCUGGCCUUUGGUGUUCUGCCUUCACUAUUCUGCAGACAUCACAUUCAUUCACGAAUUGAGCGAUCUCGCGCUUCAUUCGAGUCCACCAAUAAGCUUGCUUGAGGUCCUGAUACAUCUUCGUACUCCCAGGGUGGAUGGAGAGGAGAGAAUUGUGAGCCUCGUUCAUGAUCACCUUACGAAGUUCACGUUUGGGCACAACAAUUCGAUCCUCGAAGAAGAGAGUGUCCUUGUCAUCAAGUCGGUAGCACUUGUACUUGGACUGACUCUUUGCAAUACCAAUCUUCACCUUCUUCACCAUAUCAUCAAGAAGCUGGGCUUGGCGAAUCUGGUCUUCCAAGGUAGGAGAAACUUGAAGGUUGGCGAGGAAACCUUGAGGAACAACUUGCAGAUUCAGCUUGCGGAAAGCUUCACAAAGCUCGGGUUGAUAAGGCUUGAGAAUCAGACUGUUGCAAUAUGCUUUUCUGCUCAAAGCGUCAGCAAUCACAUUAGCCUUGCCUGGAGUAUACUCGAUACUCGGAUUGUACUCUUGAAUCAUUUCGACCCAUCGAGUCUGCCUGAGGUUGAGAUUAGGCUGAGUGAAGAUGUACUUGAGACUCUUGUGAUCAGUGAAAAUAUCCACUUUCCUUCCCAAUAGAAGAUGUCUCCAAGUCAAAAGAGCAUGCACCACUGCCGCCAACUCGAGAUCAUGAGUGGGGUAGUUCUUCUCAUUAGGCUUCAACUGGCGAGAGGUAUAAGCGACAACUUUCUUCUCUUGCAUCAGUACAGCACCGAGACCUUGGAGAGAGGCAUCACAAAAGACCUCGUACGGCUUGGUUUCAUCAGGCGGAGUCAGAACUGGAGCAGUGAUCAAUUUCUCUUUCAAAGUGUUGAAAGCAAUAUCACACUCCGGAGACCAAACGUACUUGAUGUGCUUCUGAAGAAGAUUUGAGAGAGGCUUGGCGAUCUUAGAAAAGUUUUCAACGAAUCUUCUGCAAUAGCUUGCGAGACCGAGGAAACUGCGGAGUUGCUUUACGUUCUGAGGAGGUUCCCAAUUCACAAUUGCAGACACCUUCUCAGGAUUCACGGAAAUGCCCUUGGCAGAGAUGAUAUGACCAAGAUAAAGAACCUCAUCGAGCCAAAAUUCACACUUGGAGAACUUGGCGUAGAACUGAUGUUCCCUGAGCUUGUCANNNNNNNNNNNNNNNNNNNNNNNNNNNNNNNNNNNNNNNNNNNNNNNNNNNNNNNNNNNNNNNNNNNNNNNNNNNNNNNNNNNNNNNNNNNNNNNNNNNNGUGUUCGAGCGCUAUGUCGAGCAGGAUCACGACAUCGGCAUCCUCCUCGACAUUCACCAGGGCGAGUGCGGGCACGACGCCGCAUCGCGAUCCCUGGUGGCCAAGGCGUUCCGCCACGGUUUCUACUGGCCCACGGCCCUCGAAGACGCCGAGUCACUCGUCCUCAAGUGCGAGGGGUGCCAACACUUCAGCAAACGCAGCCACCAGCCGGCGUCAGCACUCCGCACCAUACUGAUCGUCUGGCCUUUUGCGGUCUGGGGACUCGACAUGGUGGGACCCUUCAAAACCGCUCGAGGCGGCAUGACGCACUUGCUGGUGGCAGUGGACAAGUUCAAAUUGGAUCGAGGCAAGACCUAUCAAGAAACUGGACGGGCCAACAACCGUCCGGUUCAUCAACUACAUAGCAGUGUGCUACGGCAUGCCGAACAGCAUCAUCACCGACAACCGCACCAACUUCGCCAAGGGCGCGCUCGAGCAAUACUACUCUGUCUCUGGCAUCCGCCUCGACCUGGCCUCCGUGGCACAUCCGCAGUCCAACGGGCAGGUCGAGCGGGCCAACAGACUCAUCAUGUCCGGCAUCAAGCCGCGACUCGUCGAGCCACUCAUCCGCUCACCCGGAAGUUGGCUUGACAAGUUGCCUGCAGUUCUCUGGAGUUUACCCACCACGCCGAACCGGUCGACCGGGUUCACCCCGUUCUUCCUCGUUUAUCUAUGAAUAAUAUUGGAAUCUUCUCUGAAUUCUUUUACGGUGUGUUUGUCGAGAUCCGAUGAAUUUUGGGUUUAUGAUCAAGUUUAUCUAUGAAUAAUAUUGGAAUCUUCUCUGAAUUCUUUUAUGUAUGAUUGAGUUAUCUUUGCAAGUCUCUUCGAAUUAUCAGUUUGGUUUGGCCUCCUAGAUUGAUCUUUCUUGCCAUGGGAGAAGUGUUUAGCUUUGGGCUCAAUCUUGCGGUGAUCUUACCCAGCGACAGAAAGGGUUGCAAGACACGUAUUGUAUUGUUGCCAUCGAGGAUAACAAGAUGGGGUUUAUAUCAUAUUGCAUGUGUUUAUCCCUCUACAUCAUGUCAUCUUGCUUAAUGCGUUGCUCUGUUCUUAUGAACUUAAUACUCUAGAUGCAGGCAGGAGUCGGUCGAUGUGUGGAGUAAUAGUAGUAGAUGCAGGCAGGAGUCGGUCUACUUGUUAUGGACGUGAUGCCUAAAUACAUGAUCAUGCCUAGAUAAUGUCAUAAUUAUUAACUUUUCUAUCAAUUGCUCGACAGUAAUUUGUUAAGCCCACUGUAAUAUUUAUGCUCUCGAGAGAAGCCUCUAGUGAAACCUAUGGCCCCCGGGUCUAAUCAUUUUUGCUUUCAAUCUCACAAAAUACCAAAAAUAUUAUUAUCUCUCUAUCAGAUAUCACUUUCGUAAGUGACUGUGAAGGGAUUGACAACCCCUUUAUUGCGUUGGUUGCGAGUUCUCAGUUUGUUUGUGUAGGUGCGUGGGACUUUUGAGGAGCCUCCUACUGGAUUGAUACCUUGGUUCUCAAAACUGAGGGAAUUAUUACGCUACACUUCGCUGCAUCACCCUCUCCUCUUCGGGGAAAACCAACGCUAACUCAAGACGUAGCAAGAAGGAUUUCUGGCGCCGUUGCCAGGGAGGUCUUCGCUCAAGUCGAGACAUACCAAGUACCCAUCACAAACUCAUCUCCCACGCAUUUACAUUAUUUGCCAUUUGCCUCUCGUUUUCCUCUCCCCCACUUCACCCUUGCCGUUUUGCUCGCCCUCUCUUUCCCAAUCUCCUCCUCUCUUUUCCGCUUGCUUUUUCUGUUUGCUUUUGUGUUGGAUUACUUGUUGCCAUGGCGCAAGAUAAUACCAAAUUGUGUGAUUUCUCGAAUACCAAUAAUAAUGAUUUCCUUAGUACUCCGAUUGCUCCUCUUAAUGAUGUUGAGUCUUGUGAAAUCAAUGCUGCUUUGCUGAAUCUUGUUAUGAAAGAUCAAUUCGUCGGCCUUCCUAGUGAAGGUGCCGCUACCCAUCUAAACAAUUUUGUUGAUUUGUGUUAUAUGCAAAAUAAGAAAGAUACGGAUAACAAUAUUGUCAAAUUGAAGUUAUUUUCGUUUUCACUUAGAGAUCGUGCUAAAGUUUGGUUUUCAUCUCUGCCUAAAAAUAGUAUUGAUUCUUGGAACAAGUGCAAAGAGCUUUUAUCUCUAAGUAUUUUGCUCCCACUAAGAUCAUCACUCUUAGGAACGAUAUUAUGAAUUUUAAACAACUUGAUCAUGAGCAUGUUGCCCAAUCUUGGGAAAGAAUGAAAAUGAUGCUUCGCAAUUGCCCUACUCAUGGUUUGAAUUUAUGGAUGAUCAUACAAAAAUUUUAUGCCGGUUUGAAUUUUGCUUCUAGAAAUCUCUUAGAUUCGGCCGCGGGAGGCACCUUUAUGGAAAUCACAUUAGGAGAUGCUACAAAACUUCUUGACAAUAUUAUGUCUAAUUAUUCUCAAUGGCACGCCGGAAGAUCUUCUAGUAAAAAAGUGCAUGCUAUAGAAGAAAUCAAUGUUUUGAGUGGAAAGAUGGAUGAACUUAUGAAGAUGUUUGCUACUAAAAAUACUCCUCUUGAUCCUAAUGAUAUGCCUUUGUCUUCCUUGAUAAGAAUAAUAAUGAAUCUAUGGAUGUGAAUUUUCUUGCUAGGAAUAGUUUUGGAAACAAUGCUUAAAGAGGAAAUUUUAAUGCUAGACCGUUCCCUAGUAAUUCCUCUAAUAAUUAUGGAAAUUCCUACAAUAAUUAUUAUGGUAAUUUUAAUAAGAUGGCCUCUGAUUUUGUGAAUAUUGUGAAAGAAUUUAUGAUUUCUCAAAAGAAUUUUAAUGCUUUGCUUGAAGAAAAAUUGCUCAAAGUUGAUGAUUUGGCUAGGAACGUUGAUAGACUUUCGCUUGAUGUUGAUUCUCUUAAACUUAGACCUUCUCCUCCUAAGCAUGAUAUCAAUGAGUCUCUCAAAAUAAUGAGAAUUUCCAUUGAUGAGUGCAAGGAAAGAACCGCUAGAUUNNNNNNNNNNNNNNNNNNNNNNNNNNNNNNNNNNNNNNNNNNNNNNNNNNNNNNNNNNNNNNNNNNNNNNNNNNNNNNNNNNNNNNNNNNNNNNNNNNNNGUGUUCGAGCGCUAUGUCGAGCAGGAUCACGACAUCGGCAUCCUCCUCGACAUUCACCAGGGCGAGUGCGGGCACGACGCCGCAUCGCGAUCCCUGGUGGCCAAGGCGUUCCGCCACGGUUUCUACUGGCCCACGGCCCUCGAAGACGCCGAGUCACUCGUCCUCAAGUGCGAGGGGUGCCAACACUUCAGCAAACGCAGCCACCAGCCGGCGUCAGCACUCCGCACCAUACUGAUCGUCUGGCCUUUUGCGGUCUGGGGACUCGACAUGGUGGGACCCUUCAAAACCGCUCGAGGCGGCAUGACGCACUUGCUGGUGGCAGUGGACAAGUUCAAAUUGGAUCGAGGCAAGACCUAUCAAGAAACUGGACGGGCCAACAACCGUCCGGUUCAUCAACUACAUAGCAGUGUGCUACGGCAUGCCGAACAGCAUCAUCACCGACAACCGCACCAACUUCGCCAAGGGCGCGCUCGAGCAAUACUACUCUGUCUCUGGCAUCCGCCUCGACCUGGCCUCCGUGGCACAUCCGCAGUCCAACGGGCAGGUCGAGCGGGCCAACAGACUCAUCAUGUCCGGCAUCAAGCCGCGACUCGUCGAGCCACUCAUCCGCUCACCCGGAAGUUGGCUUGACAAGUUGCCUGCAGUUCUCUGGAGUUUACCCACCACGCCGAACCGGUCGACCGGGUUCACCCCGUUCUUCCUCGUUUAUCUAUGAAUAAUAUUGGAAUCUUCUCUGAAUUCUUUUACGGUGUGUUUGUCGAGAUCCGAUGAAUUUUGGGUUUAUGAUCAAGUUUAUCUAUGAAUAAUAUUGGAAUCUUCUCUGAAUUCUUUUAUGUAUGAUUGAGUUAUCUUUGCAAGUCUCUUCGAAUUAUCAGUUUGGUUUGGCCUCCUAGAUUGAUCUUUCUUGCCAUGGGAGAAGUGUUUAGCUUUGGGCUCAAUCUUGCGGUGAUCUUACCCAGCGACAGAAAGGGUUGCAAGACACGUAUUGUAUUGUUGCCAUCGAGGAUAACAAGAUGGGGUUUAUAUCAUAUUGCAUGUGUUUAUCCCUCUACAUCAUGUCAUCUUGCUUAAUGCGUUGCUCUGUUCUUAUGAACUUAAUACUCUAGAUGCAGGCAGGAGUCGGUCGAUGUGUGGAGUAAUAGUAGUAGAUGCAGGCAGGAGUCGGUCUACUUGUUAUGGACGUGAUGCCUAAAUACAUGAUCAUGCCUAGAUAACGUCAUAAUUAUUAACUUUUCUAUCAAUUGCUCGACAGUAAUUUGUUAAGCCCACUGUAAUAUUUAUGCUCUCGAGAGAAGCCUCUAGUGAAACCUAUGGCCCCCGGGUCUAAUCAUUUUUGCUUUCAAUCUCACAAAAUACCAAAAAUAUUAUUAUCUCUCUAUCAGAUAUCACUUUCGUAAGUGACUGUAAAGGGAUUGACAACCCCUUUAUUGCGUUGGUUGCGAGUUCUCAGUUUGUUUGUGUAGGUGCGUGGGACUUUUGAGGAGCCUCCUACUGGAUUGAUACCUUGGUUCUCAAAACUGAGGGAAUUAUUACGCUACACUUCGCUGCAUCACCCUCUCCUCUUCGGGGAAAACCAACGCUAACUCAAGACGUAGCAAGAAGGAUUUCUGGCGCCGUUGCCAGGGAGGUCUUCGCUCAAGUCGAGACAUACCAAGUACCCAUCACAAACUCAUCUCCCACGCAUUUACAUUAUUUGCCAUUUGCCUCUCGUUUUCCUCUCCCCCACUUCACCCUUGCCGUUUUGCUCGCCCUCUCUUUCCCAAUCUCCUCCUCUCUUUUCCGCUUGCUUUUUCUGUUUGCUUUUGUGUUGGAUUACUUGUUGCCAUGGCGCAAGAUAAUACCAAAUUGUGUGAUUUCUCGAAUACCAAUAAUAAUGAUUUCCUUAGUACUCCGAUUGCUCCUCUUAAUGAUGUUGAGUCUUGUGAAAUCAAUGCUGCUUUGCUGAAUCUUGUUAUGAAAGAUCAAUUCGUCGGCCUUCCUAGUGAAGGUGCCGCUACCCAUCUAAACAAUUUUGUUGAUUUGUGUUAUAUGCAAAAUAAGAAAGAUACGGAUAACAAUAUUGUCAAAUUGAAGUUAUUUUCGUUUUCACUUAGAGAUCGUGCUAAAGUUUGGUUUUCAUCUCUGCCUAAAAAUAGUAUUGAUUCUUGGAACAAGUGCAAAGAGCUUUUAUCUCUAAGUAUUUUGCUCCCACUAAGAUCAUCACUCUUAGGAACGAUAUUAUGAAUUUUAAACAACUUGAUCAUGAGCAUGUUGCCCAAUCUUGGGAAAGAAUGAAAAUGAUGCUUCGCAAUUGCCCUACUCAUGGUUUGAAUUUAUGGAUGAUCAUACAAAAAUUUUAUGCCGGUUUGAAUUUUGCUUCUAGAAAUCUCUUAGAUUCGGCCGCGGGAGGCACCUUUAUGGAAAUCACAUUAGGAGAUGCUACAAAACUUCUUGACAAUAUUAUGUCUAAUUAUUCUCAAUGGCACGCCGGAAGAUCUUCUAGUAAAAAAGUGCAUGCUAUAGAAGAAAUCAAUGUUUUGAGUGGAAAGAUGGAUGAACUUAUGAAGAUGUUUGCUACUAAAAAUACUCCUCUUGAUCCUAAUGAUAUGCCUUUGUCUUCCUUGAUAAGAAUAAUAAUGAAUCUAUGGAUGUGAAUUUUCUUGCUAGGAAUAGUUUUGGAAACAAUGCUUAAAGAGGAAAUUUUAAUGCUAGACCGUUCCCUAGUAAUUCCUCUAAUAAUUAUGGAAAUUCCUACAAUAAUUAUUAUGGUAAUUUUAAUAAGAUGGCCUCUGAUUUUGUGAAUAUUGUGAAAGAAUUUAUGAUUUCUCAAAAGAAUUUUAAUGCUUUGCUUGAAGAAAAAUUGCUCAAAGUUGAUGAUUUGGCUAGGAACGUUGAUAGACUUUCGCUUGAUGUUGAUUCUCUUAAACUUAGACCUUCUCCUCCUAAGCAUGAUAUCAAUGAGUCUCUCAAAAUAAUGAGAAUUUCCAUUGAUGAGUGCAAGGAAAGAACCGCUAGAUUNNNNNNNNNNNNNNNNNNNNNNNNNNNNNNNNNNNNNNNNNNNNNNNNNNNNNNNNNNNNNNNNNNNNNNNNNNNNNNNNNNNNNNNNNNNNNNNNNNNNAUUAUAGUAUUUGAAAUAUAACAGCGCCAUUUGUGUCUAGCAGGAAGAGGAGCAGCGGGACUAUAUCCGGGGAUCCCGCCAAUCACGCCUCCACCAGUCGGGUUCCAGAAUCGGCUUCGAGGGCGGAGGCGGACACGAGGCCAGUUCCGCAUAGUUCUCCGACAGAGGAUGCGGAUAUGUUGUCGGCUACGAACUCCGAAGUGGAGAGCGCCAUGAAUCACCGGCGUCGGAGGGCCGUGCUUCGAAACAACAUCUUUUUCGAAGAGGCAUUUAAUGCCUUCAAUUCGGGGGAUGCAUAUAUCCGAGUAGCUCAAGGCGGGCUUGCCCAAGCGACGGACCAGUAUACCAAAGAUAUACGGGUAAGAAAUUUUGAUAAGCAUGUAUAACAGUAGCCCCUGAGACUUGAAAUGGUUGGAACAACUGUUUGAAGGAUCAAUUUAUGCACAGGUCCUUGUAGAUAAGAAUGAACAAUUGGCUCAGGAGCUGGAGGAAUGCAAGGCCCAGUUGAGGGACACGGCUGCCAAGUUAGAGGAAUCCCAAAAGGCCUCAUCUGGUAACAUUUGUCUCAAUUGUACGAAGAUGCACCAGUUAGUAAAUGGUUGGUAUAACAAGUCUAACAGAGAAGUCUGCAGACAAUCCCGGGCUGAAUCUGGAGGGCGUAAGGGAUGACGACUCGCAUCUCAAAAGGCAGCUAAAGGCUGGCGAGUGCAUUCUUACGCAAGUUAGGUAGGAGAAGAACAAUCUUCAAGAUGCCAAAGUCCAGCUGGACGUGGAGUUAAAAGACGUCCGUGCUCAGCUGGCGGACUCCGUGAAGGAGAACAAAAGGCUUCGACGCGACAUUUAUGGUAAGGGCAUAGACGAACUGUAGUAUAGUUCGGCGAGGAAGUAUAUUGAAAGAAUUUUGCUCGCAGGAAUGUUAACGGGUCACCCUGAAAAGGAUAUGCCCUCAUCUGCAAGUGAUUUACUACAAGACCUCUCGCAAUUGCACGAGCGAGCUCGACAAGUGAUGCAGGGUGUUGCUCAGGCCUUGUGGCCACCAAGCUUACUGCCGAAUGGCAUGGGGGAGCUUGUGGACAUGCUUCAAGGAGCACGGCGGCGCUUCCGAUUGUGGAAGAUGUCAGCUUGCCGGCAAGGUGCGAGAGAAGCCUGGGCUAUGGUGAAGACGCGCUACACCAAGCUAGACCCGAACCAUAUGGCCGAAGUAGGACUGGCGGGGCCCGAUGGGCAAGAAAUUCCUGUGAGUCUAGUAUAUGACCAGGUAGUGUUAGCCGCCAAGUAUUCUCAACAGGAUUGUAAGCUAGAUAGCCUGUUGGAUGGUAUAGAGGAGGAAUAUAGUCAGUCCAAGUGACUGUGUAAUUCAAUGGACGUAAUUAGUCCCUAGCCGGAUUAAAAUCAUUUGUCAUGGCGGACCUUUUCGCUUCAGCUCCCGGAUCCUAUAGUCUGGGGUGUGUCCGAAUACCCGCUCAGUUAUACAAAACCGGGGUAUGCAUGGAAACCAGGCAUAGGGGUCAUAAGUGCUUGAACUGACAAGUACCCAACUAGUUAUGUUAUAUUACAUGGAUAGUAAGAAACAUCUUCCAGGGAGAAUAGUUCCGUUAGGGGUUCCUUUCCCAGGGUACGCAUGCAACAAUGUACAUGUCCGGACUGUGAACGAUGGCGCAGGAUACAAGACUUCUGGGGAUUUACGUUGUAACAAACGAAUACAUCCUUUGUUCACCGACCGAAUAUUCUCUUAUAGAAACUAGCUUUCGACUUCACCUAGUCUGAGGUACACAUCCGGCUGAACCGGCAGUAACAGUCGCAGAGGUGCUCCCCUUAUGCCCUAGCCGAAUUAACGGGAACGUAGGCAUAAACACAAGAGCCAGGCAACCCAGCUUGGCCACAUCUUAAGUCAUAUCGAUGCAUAUAAUGGUGAAUAAAAGGCACAUAUGGAAAAAGAAAUGCAUAUGUGAUAGGAGAAAAGCCAUUAGAGUAUUUAUUGUUAGCUUCCAUAUAGGAAGCCCCCAGGUAUUGCUUACACACAUAGUGCGUCCGGAGUGAUCCGGAAGUCCGUAUUGUAUUAAAUACUUUGUGUGGAGAGGAAGAAAAAGUCGAGAAAGGAGAAGGGAUGGAGCAUAAAUAAAAGGGAGGGAGUAAGGAGACGAACAUUGUGUUCAACGUUAGGCGUAGAAUCUCUGGAGUCUGGCCGAGUUCCAUGGGUUCGGCUCGAGCCUGUUAUCGGAUGCAUUACGUAAGCGGUACGCUCCUCCGGUGAGAACUUUGUCGAUGACAAAGGGACCUUCCCACUUGGGUUUGAGCUUGUCCUUCUUCUUCUCCGGUAGGCGUAGAAUGAGUUCGCCAAUAUUGUAAGUUUUGGCCCGUACUUCUCUGCUUUGGUAUCGUCGAGCCUGCUAUUGAUAGAAUGCGGAGCGGGUCUUUGCGACGUCGCGCUCCUCCUCCAGGGCAUCCAAGUUAUCUUGCUGAUCUAGCUCGGCUUCCUUCUCUUCGUACAUGUGUACGCGUGGAGAAUCAUGUAUUAUGUCGCAUGGUAGUACUGUUUCCGCGCCGUACACCAUAAAAAAUGGUGUGUAUCCGGUGGUGCAAUUCGGCGUGGUCCGUAGCCCCCAGAGUACGGAGUCGAGCUCUUCGACCCAGUGCGUGUCCGACUCUGUCAAGGAUCGCACUAGCCUGGGUUUGAUGCCACUCAUGAUGAGACCGUUUGCCCGUUCGACCUGGCCGUUUGUUUGGGGAUGGUAGACGGAAGCAUAGUCGAGCUUAAUGCCCAUUUUGCCGCACCAAGUUUUUACUUCAUCGGCUGUGAAAUUGGAGCCAUUAUCAGUGAUGAUGCUGUGGGGGACACCGUAUUGGUGUACGACCCCGGAUAUGAAGUCUAUUACUGGUCUGGAUUCGGCCGUUUUGACUGGUUUGGCUUCUAUCCAUUUGGUGAACUUGUCCACCAUGACCAAUAAGUAUUUUUUUUCUUAUGGCUUCCCCCUUUAAGAGGUCCGACCAUAUCCANNNNNNNNNNNNNNNNNNNNNNNNNNNNNNNNNNNNNNNNNNNNNNNNNNNNNNNNNNNNNNNNNNNNNNNNNNNNNNNNNNNNNNNNNNNNNNNNNNNNUCCUUGGCCGCCACCCCUUGCUCCUAUAUAAGUAGAUCCAUCUAGUAGCUUUUCCUUGGGAUUUGUUUAGUUAAAAGUUAGCCAUUGCAACUUCGUGUACUUCGUUUGUGUCCAACGACCAGACCAAGACCGCUUCCGGAUCCCCACCAUUAUCAAUACCUCAUAUAUAUUUGCAAUAUUCAGAUUGCUUUAUCAUAUUCUUGCUCGUUCUUCGAUUGCUUGCAGGAAUAGACCUUCGUGGUCAGGCUGACCGUGCUUCCGGCGUCGUCAGUAACCUCAGGAGAUUGGUUUAGCGAUUGCUAAGGCGCAACGUCGUGCACGUUUGUAGUCGGAUUGUCAAAGUCGUCUCCACCAAAUCGAUAGUUAUCAUCUCAUCGAAAGAUCGGGACCCUCGCCUCUAUCAAGUGGUAUCAGUUUUCAGGUUGCUCGGUGAGAAUUUCCAGUUUUCCUAGAUUAAAUUUAUUUUCUUACCUAUUGUCCAAGAAAAAGCCACACAAAAAAAAAAGUUAGAUCUGUUCAUCCUUUAUCCAAGCCAGUCUGAGCCUUUGCAAUUUUCUAUUCAUUGCUUGCAUAGUUGAAUUAUCGGUUGCAUCGUCGUGUCAGUUGCUGGUCUUAGCGUCUAGCUCCUUUAGAAUUUCGAGUUCUGUUCACAUUAGUCACGCCGCCGCUGCAUCAUUAUCCCUUCCGCUGUCCACCAUCCCAUCUAUUAAUUUCCAUCACGUGCUACGCACUGUUCAUUGUCAUAAUCAUAGUUGAGGUCAUUCACAUCUUGGCCUGAUCCAAUAUGCAUCUUAUCUAGUUUGUCUUGGAAAGAAAAAAAAGAUAGAGAAAAAAAAAGAGAAAAAAGGAAAGAAAAAAAAAGAAAAAGAGAGAGAAGAAAAAGAAAAAAAGGGUGAGAAAAAAAAGAGAGAAGAAAAAAAAUUGGAUCUAUCUAGAAUCAAUCUCGUACCUGAAUUCGGAUUGGAAUCUGUUUUGCGCACUGUUCAGUAAAACAGGUGUAUCUUCCUCAUACGAAGUCCGUUUUGGCUCCGUGAGUACUCAAAUUGAAGCUAGCAACAAGCCGCAUCUAAAUAGUUGCAGAAGCUAGUUCAAUAUUUGACACCACAAAAUCGGCUUCUAAAUAGGUCUUUUUGCCCUCCGAAGUUCGUGAACACAACUUGUUCCAAUUUUUCAGGCCAGUUUUAGAAUUCUUUGACUCCUCAUAUCAACUCGGAAUUGAGUGAUUCUUUUUGCAUUGGAAAGCUUGAGUUACUAGCAUUCUUUGAAAGAAUUUAUCAGAAAAUUGUCUCAAACUUUUCAAGAGGAAAGUUGGAGAGAGAGUUGUUGUAUAUCCUGCUUGGCAGUUGUUGGCGAGUUCACCUUAUCUUCAAUAGCCUUAGCUCGGGCUCGUGUCAUGGGUCCAAGAGGUGUUGAGGGAGAUGUAGGCACGUCCAUGGGGAUGAGUGAGGGAUGCUCCGCAUCACAUGGGCCCUUGGCCCGCUCCCUGCGCAUAGGCAGGUGCCGGAUGUCCGGGCUGGGGGCUGGACGUCCGGCGGCUCGGGAAGAGCCGGAUGUCCGGGCCUCUGGCCGGAUGUCCGGGCUGACGGGGUUCAGCUUCGGGUGCGUUCUGUGAUGGGCGCCGGAUUUCCGGGGUCGGGCCGGAUGUCCGGGCUGGUCCGGAUGUCCGGGCUGGGGCCGGAAGUCCGGGGCCUGUAGUAGCUGGCUCUUCUUCCUUCUCCUCUUCAAUGCUUGGCCUUGGUCCUUUGAUUCUCCAUGGUCAUCUCGGUUGUACCUGAGUAUAGGCAAGGUCCAUGCAUGAGGUAGUAGCCAUGUCUCACAUGUGGAAAGUGAUGGUUCGAAGAGGAGUGAAUUCACCUUGUGUCCAAUGGCAUAUGUUUGAGGUCUCGUCAUAUGUCCUCUUGGGGCUUGGAGAGUAGUCAGAGUGUACAUGGGGAUGAACGUGGGACGCUCCGCAUCUGGGAGUAUAUAUAGUCUAAGGGGCGAAGGGGUACAUGGGACUCGGCCCAGAUGUGCUGCACGCAGGCAGGGGGGACGAAUGUCCGGGCGUCAGGCCGGAUGUCCGGGCCUUCUCGAGAUGCCGGAUGUCCGAGCUGGCGGGCCGGAUGUCCGGGCUGGAAUGGCCGAUUCUUCUGCUCUCUGGAUAACUUGAUGAGGACAUGACUACCUUGGAUAUGACCAAAAAUAUUGCAUAUAUGCAUAUUUGUCAGGUGAUUUCUAGUGCAAACUAUUCAAUAAUCUAUUUAUGUUAUCCAGAACAAAAAUACUUCACACACUUUUGUGUUUUGUCUAAUUGCAGGUGUAUGGGACAUUUGUACAAUCCACAUAUGAAGAUAAGGAAGAAAGAGAUGUUUAUUUGCUGUCCAAAAAGUUCUCUCACGUCACUUUUGGCCCAAGAGAAGAUAGAGUCCAAGUCUCUCACGUUCUGGAUUCAGAUUCGGACUGCACAGACAUACCUGACUCAAAACGCACACAAAUUUUUCAUACGGACUCGAAUUGGGUGAUUCUUUUUUUGUUGGAAACUAGAUUUCGUGCACUUUCCAACCCAAUUGGAAUCACCUUCAAAUUCGUCAGGAGCGUUGAGUUGUGGACGAAACAAUCUGAUGCUGCAGCAGAAUCCGAGUCAAACUACAAGUCCAAAGGUGUUACAUCACCUCCACUUGGGCCCAUUGGCCUUGUACGACCUAGAUUUAGUUUUAGGCUGCCUUGGGACGUCCUCCCACCUCCUUGGCCGCCACCCCUUGCUCCUAUAUAAGUAGAUCCAUCUAGUAGCUUUUCCUUGGGAUUUGUUUAGUUAAAAGUUAGCCAUUGCAACUUCGUGUACUUCGUUUGUGUCCAACGACCAGACCAAGACCGCUUCCGGAUCCCCACCAUUAUCAAUACUUCAUAUUUAUUUGCAAUAUUCAGAUUGCUUUAUCAUAUUCUUGCUCGUUCUUCGAUUGCUUGCAGGAAUAGACCUUCGUGGUCAGGCUGACCGUGCUUCCAGCAUCGUCAGUAACNNNNNNNNNNNNNNNNNNNNNNNNNNNNNNNNNNNNNNNNNNNNNNNNNNNNNNNNNNNNNNNNNNNNNNNNNNNNNNNNNNNNNNNNNNNNNNNNNNNNGCAUUCAGUUUGGAUAAAGUUCAUUUGAACCAAGGGUUCAAAUGCAACUCUAUAUUAAACCCUUUAAAAUGACAUUUAUGUGUUUUCGUAUAUUUAGUAGGUAUAGUUUGGUUUAUCAUGCAUGAAAAUGGUGCAGAUGGAUAGAUUUAUUUUUUCUGAUAAUUUUUCAUAUUUAAAUUAUUUCCAACUAAGGCACUGAUGAAUUCCUAUGAAUUUUUGAAUUUUUUUUAAAAUUUCUAGGAUUUCCUGAAUUAAAUUAAACCCAGAAAAACAAUUACUGUGUCAUGCUUGCAUCAGCAAGUCAAUAACGCUGACCAGGUCAAACCUCACAUGUGGGGUCCACACGUCAGUGACACAAGGUUUAAACAAGGGUUAUUUAGUCUAAUUAAAUGGUUAGUGGGCAUUGGGGCCCGCCGUCAACAUCACAGGGGGUGGAUUAGCACUAAUUAGGUACCUAACUGGUGGGGGCCAUAUUGGUCAGUGGCUUAGGCCGGCAGAGUGCGCUUUUCCGGCGACGAGGGCGGCGGCUGAGGGCACCGGGAUGUAGCUCGUGCUCUCCCGCAUCCUGUGGGGUAUGUGGGAGGCUGCGGGGUGAUACGUCUCCAAUGUAUCUAUGAUUUAUGAAGUAUUCAUGCUAUUAUAUUAUCUGUUUUGGAUGUUUAUGGGCUUUACUAUACACUUUUAUGUUUUUUUUGGGACUAACCUAUUAACCGAAGGCCCAGCCCAUAUUGCUAUUUUUUUUUGCUUAUUUCAGUGUUUCGAAGAAAAGGAAUAUCAAACGGAGUCCAAACGGAAUGAAACAUUCGGGACAGUUAUUUUUGGAACGGAAGCAAUCCAGGAGACUUGGAGUAGAUGUCAGGGAAGCUUAGAGGUGGCCAUGAGGGUCAAGGGCGCGCCCUACCCCCUGGGCACGCCCCCCACCCUCGUGGGUCCUUCAUGGCUCCCCUGACCGACUUCUUUCGCCUAUAUAUAUCCAUAUACCCUAAAAACAUCGGAGAGCACAAUAGAUCAGGGGUUCCGUCGCGGCAAGCCUCUGUAGCCACCAAAAACCAAUCAGGACCCUGUUCCGGCACCCUACCGGAGGGGGGAUCCCUCACCGGUGGCCAUCUUCAUCAUCCUGACACUCUCCAUGAUGAGGAGGGAGUAGUUCACCCUCGUGGCUGAGGGUAUGUACCAGUUGCUAUGUGUUUGAUCUCUCUCUCUCUCUCUCUCUCUCUCUCUCUCUCUCGUAUUCUUGAGGUGAUACGAUCUUGAUGUAUCGCGAGCUUUGCUAUUAUAGUUGGAUCUUAUGAUGGUUCUCCCCCUCUACUCUCUUGUAAUGGAUUGAGUUUUCCCUUGAAGUUAUCUUAUCAGAUUGAGUCUUUAAGGAUUUGAGAACACUUGAUGUAUGUCUUGCUGUGCUGAUCUGUGGUGACAAUGGGAUAUUCACGUGAUCUACUUGAUGUAUGUUUUGGUGAUCAACUUGCGGGUUCAGUGACCUUGUGAAUUUAUGCAUAGGGGUUGGCACACGUUUUCAUCUUGACUCUCCGGUAGAAACUUUGGGGCACUCUUUGAAGUACUUUGUGUUGGUUGAAUAGAUGAAUCUGAGAUUGUGGGAUGCAUAUCGUAUAAUCGUGCCCAUGGAUACUUGAGGUGACAUUGGAGUAACUAGGUGACAUUAGGGUUUUGGUGGAUUUGUGUCUUAAGGUGUUAUUCUAGUACGAACUCUAUGAUAGAUCGAACGGAAAGAAUAGCUUCGUGUUAUUUUACUACGGACUCUUGAAUAGAUCGAUCAGAAAGGAUAACUUUGAGGUGGUUUCGUACCCUAUAAUAAUCUCUUCGUUUGUUCUCCGCUAUUAGUGACUUUGGAGUGACUCUUUGUUGCAUGUUGAGGGAUAGUUAUAUCAUCCAGUUAUGUUAUUAUUGUUGAGAGAACUUGUACUAGUGAAAGUAUGAACCUUAGGCCUUGAUUCCUAGCAUUGCAAUACCGUUUGUGCUCACUUUUAUAAUUAGUUACCUUGCUGUUUUUAUAAUUUCAGAUUACAAAUACUCAUAUCUACCACCCAUAUUGCACUUGUAUCACCAUCUCUUCGCUGAACUAGUGCACCUAUACAAUUUACCAUUGUAUUGGGUGUGUUGGGGACACAAGAGACUCUUUGUUAUUUGGUUGCAGGGUUGCUUGAGAGAGACCAUCUUCAUCCUAUGCCUCCCAAGGAUUGAUAAACGUUAGGUCAUCCACUUGAGGGAAAUUUGCUACUGUCCUACAAACCUCUGCACUUGGAGGCCCAACAACGUCUACAAGGAGAAGGUUGUGUAGUAGACAUCAAGCUCUUUUCUGGUGCCAUUGCCGGGGAGGUGAGUGCUUGAAGGUAUAUCUUUGGAUCUUGCAAUCGAAUCUUUUAGUUUCUUGUUUUAUCACUAGUUUAGUCUAUAAAAGAAAACUACAAAAAAUGGAAUAGAGGGUGCCUCAUAUGCUUCAUCUUUUUAAUGUCUUCUCUGAAAAUAAGGAUUCCGACAAUUGUGCUCAAGUACUAGAAGAAGAAUUACAUAGAAUGCUUGGCAUAAAAUAUGUGAAUGUUGAGCAUGAUUGAAAUGUUGUUAGUAUGAAUUCUUUGAAUACCCAUGAUGCUAAUGAUAUGCCAAGCCACAAGCUUGGGGAUGCUAUGUUUGAUGAAUAUGAUAUUUUUUGUCCCCCAAGUUUUGAUGAGAAAAUUUAUUAUGAUGAAAGCAUGCCUCCUAUUUAUGAUGAUUAUUGUGAUGAUACAUAUGCCAUAAAGAAUAAACAUAACCAUGAAACUUGUCAUCAUGAUUUUAAUUUUCAAUUGGAUUAUGCUUCAUAUGAUAGUUAUUUUGUUGAGUUUGCUCCCACUACUAUUCAUGAGAAGAAGUUUGCUUAUGUGGAGAGUAGUAAAAUUUAUAUGCUUCUGCAUCAUGAAAAUAAUGCUUUAUGUGAUGGAUAUAUUGUUGAAUUCAUUCAUGAUGCUACUGAAAAUUAUUAUGAGGAAGGAACAUAUGCUNNNNNNNNNNNNNNNNNNNNNNNNNNNNNNNNNNNNNNNNNNNNNNNNNNNNNNNNNNNNNNNNNNNNNNNNNNNNNNNNNNNNNNNNNNNNNNNNNNNNGGGAGCAGUUCUUGCGUUCCCUACUUGUACUCUUGUAACUCUGACCAUGCAAUACAAUUGACUGUGGCUUGACUCAUCUCUCAGCUCUCACUAGUCCCAUUAUAUGUCUUAAAACGUUAAUUUCUUUUAUUACAUAACAGUACAUAUUUUACCAUCUCACUAGUCCCACUAAUAAUACAAUUCAGUUUCUUCAGAUGGAUGAUCAAGGCAGGAUGAUAGACUUUGGUAUUCAAGGCCAUGAGUUCAGUCAAAGGACUACAAUACCUUGUCCAAAUAUUGGUCACCAUCAGGACAAUGGUACAAUUUCUCUUAUUCUUAUUCAAUUUAAUAUGGUAAAAUUUAAUCAUGGAAACAAAAUUGCAUAAUGUUCAAUAUAUUCAAGGACUUGAUGACCUGGAGUUUACUCAAGGAGCUACAGGACAUCAAACAAAUAUUGGUCAGGACAAUGGUAUUGAUUCUCUUAUUCUUGGUUAAGUUAAUUUGGUGAAAUUAAUACGGAAGCACAAUUGCAUAAUAUUUUGUGUAUUUCAGGACUUGCUGAUUUGGAGUUCAGUCAAAGGAUCAUAGGACGCCGUCCUAAUUUUGGUACGCUGCAACGUUGUGAUGACCUCGACUUUGACCAAAGGAGUGCAAGGCAGCAUGAGGAUAGUGGUACAAGAUCUCUUAAUCUCAGUCUUGUUAAUGUGGUAAAUUACUGAAAUUUAAUCAUGUAUGCUAGAUUCGCAUCAUUAGAUUCGUUUUGAAAUGUACUUUAUAGGAAAAACUAGUAGCAUUUAUGGCACUAGAUUCGCAUCACUAGAUUCGUUUUGAAAUGUACUUUCAUAAUAUACCAAUUUGAUGUCAUGUAUGCUACUACUUUUUUCUAUAAAGUUUGUCAAAAUUAUAAAACUUUGACUUUGUACAAAAGGUAGAUGUACACUUAUUCACAGGGAACGAGUAUCUUAAAGCCAACAUUUCAGCACUAAAAGCAUUUCUAGCUUUUCCAUAAACUUAACUCCUCAAAUCACCUUCUAUAAUUAAUAUUUUUGGGACCGUUUAUUUAAUCGGUGCCUAAAAAAUGUUUUCAAGAGUCACUUUCUUUCCCGACCAUCAGAUCAAUAUCCAACGGCUUCAAUCAUCCUACGGACUGUUCAACUUCUUCCUCCCGACGACAAUUUCUCCUCCCCCGACAGCCUAUCUCGCCAGAUCCGCCUGCCUCCAUCCCCCGUGGUCGGCGGGCGCUACCGUACACCGCCUCGCCGCCCCACUCCCCCCCAACUCCCAUCCACCAUCGUUGCUGCCCCACCGCAUCGGCCAUCCUUCUAAGCCCCACACCACUGGUGAAAACUCGGGCGACUCCCUUCACCCCAUCCCUAAGAUAGAUAAUGGGGUUGUGACUCCCCUUGAAAUAGAUAGUGGGGCUAUGGCUUUCUCCGGCGAGCUCAGAAUGAACUAGAGAAAGUGACAUACGUGAAGAAAAUUUUCGGGCACCUGAGAUAUAGCAAAAUCGAACCUUUUUAAAUUUUGUGAAGCUAAACAUUCUUGCACCUAGCCCUUCUCCUAAUCUUUAGUCACUAUAUGUUCUACCUAUCUCAUCCAUCUUUCUACAUAGGCAUUUCCACACCAUUUCAUGUUUUCAACAAUAUUCUCAUUAGCACCACUACCACUAGUGUAACCACCAAAGAACCUCGACCUUGCCAAGAUCUCUCCAGGAACAAUUUACCAAUCUUGUCUCAUCCUUUCAUUCAUACUCGGUUAUUGGCACUACACUGGUCGGUGAGUUGUUCACUUGCUCAACACAAUCGGACCAUCAAUGUCACUGAUCUUGGAUGCUACUUCAGCGAUGAGCAGAGAUACCCAUGCGUGUGAUUGGAUGGAAUCAAAACAUUGUGUGAAUAUUAUUGCUCAAUCCUCCUCUAAAUUAUUUCCUUGGUUUGAUCGACUCCUCCAGCCCUGGCGUCAAGAGAGACAUGUUCAUUCAAGCAUUGCACAAAGUUAUGUCCUCCUCAACCUUGUAGUUCACUGACCUUGUUAGCUCUCUCUUCAUGGUAUGUGUGUGUGGUUACCCUCUAUUUCGACACUAUGUCUCUCUCCUUGGCUUUCAUCUGCCACAGAAAUGACAACAUCAUUGAGGUCAAUGGCGUUCCUUUCAUCCAGCGCCAUGAAUUUUUCCAGGUCACCCAACUCGUUUUGCAUAGUACGAUGUCAAAAACCAUCACCAAAUUUCAAUGUCACAUGAUCCAAGAUUUUGAGAAAAAAUAAUAAUACAAAAACACUUACCUAUCUCGCAUUGUGUCCAACACCUCGCGAGCAUAGGAUCAUUCUCAUCACAUGAACUACCAUAGAUCGUUUUGCAAAAUUAAACAAUCCAACAUUCUCGAUCACAACACACGAUUUUUGCACCAAUAAACAACCAAACACUUCUAAUGGGAGGGAUGACUGCAAAAACCAGAAGUGCUACUCAAACUAUACACUAAACAAUAACAAGAAGCUCUUCUCAAACUACAUGACCAAAGUAAACUAGGGAUACAAAUGCACUAUGACAAGUAGUGCUGAUCGCACAACCAUGGAACUAAACCUGAUAUACAAUCCAUAAGACAUCUAGUACGACAUCAUCGUGGAUCCUAGGUUGUCGUGACCUCCGUUCCUCGCGCAGACGACUCCCCCAGGGAAGACAAUCCACCUAGUCUCAGUGUCCAUACCUACAAGAGCCCUGAUCACCUCAAAUUGCUUCAUAAUGACUUUUUAUGAUAUGCAAUAUAUACUUAUGAAAAAUACUUAUACUCUGAUAUUCAGUUGUUGGGGCCAAUGUAUCUGAGCUAAAACCACAACAUUGUCGAACAAUGAUGUUUUCACGAUGGUGUGGUUAUGUGACGUGAUUGCAGCUAGGACACACUCUGUGAUGAAUGUGAAUGAUAACACAAAGGAAAAAAUUCCUCCAUACCUGCGACAGCGAUGUAACACUGCAACAUGCACUGACGCAGGUCUAGAUGAAUUUUUUCUUGAUGGGUGAAGGGNNNNNNNNNNNNNNNNNNNNNNNNNNNNNNNNNNNNNNNNNNNNNNNNNNNNNNNNNNNNNNNNNNNNNNNNNNNNNNNNNNNNNNNNNNNNNNNNNNNNAAAAACAAAAGAAUAAAUAUAACAGAAAAGAAAAAAGAAACUAUAUAGAAAACUACUCAGAAAUGAAUAGAAGCAAAAAAUAGUUGUGGUUAACUGUACUAAAAAAGGAGCAUAUAUCCUUAUUUUUAAUGGCUUAUUACAACUCAGAAAUAAAAAGAAAAAAAUAAAUAUAGCAGAAAAGAAAAAAAAUAUGAAAAACUACUUAGAAAUGAGCAUAGAUGCGCUUAUAGAGGAAAAUUAACUUAAAUUCAUAAUGAAUUUCAAACGAAAUCCAUAUGAAUUUAGGCGAAUUUCCCUAUAUAAGGGCAUCUAUUUUCAUUUUCAGAGGAGCUCAAUAUGGCAGAGAGGGAGGGGCUUAUAAACCGGUCCGAUUCCCCUUCGGUUGGCGAGGUGGGACUAAACUCUGGCCGCAACAAGGACCAACCCUUCGGUCCCGGUUCGUACCACCAACCGGGACCAAUGGUGGUGGGCCAGGAGCGGGGCGCAUUGGUCCCGGUUCGUCCCACCAACCGGGACCAAUAGGUCCAGCCGAACCGAAACCAAUGGCCCACGUGGCCCUGCCGGCCCCCGGGGCUCAAGAACCGGGUCCAAUGCCCCCAUUGGUCCCGGUUCUGGAUUGAACCGAGACUAAUGGGCUGGACCGGCCUGGACCAUUGCCCCCUUUUCUACUAGUGAUUCUCCCACUCACCUUUUUGAAAGAACCAUUCUCUUUAAAAGCAUACCGUUUCGUGACAAAACUAUUUGCCUUGGUAUAGUGAGGAAGGAGUACCCAAUGACUUGGGAUAACCUACAAAGUAGCACUUGUCUGAUUUGGAAUAGGUUUGUAACCUUUUACACAAGCCCCAUAUUCCAAAUGUUUAAGAAAAGAUAUAACAUGGUUGGGCGUACCAUACCAUGGUGUCAUUUCAACAGACCCGAUGGAGCUCUUUUCAGCGUAAAAGCCGCAGUAUCUAAAGCAUCACUCUUUAAAAGGGAUAAUGGCAAAUUUAUUGAUGUCAUCUUUGAUCUUACCAUGUCAUAAAUGGUUUGAUUACAUCUUCACAGACUUUCCACUUGCAGUGGUAUUCUGGGAAGUGCAAGUUAUGAAUCCCCUUUCACAACUCAUCAGACAUUCGCUAAACUUGUAACUCAAAUAUUCCUUUCUGCAAUCAAAUUGUAGAAACAUAAUUUUCUUGUUACAAUAACUUCUACUUCAUUUCUGAAAACCUUUCGAAUGAUUUCAAAAGAUCCAGACUUACGUCUCAUCAAGUAAAUAUCCAUAUAUCUACUUGAGCCAUUUCUGAAGAUAGAUAAAUCCACUACUUGCAACAUUUAUCGGACUACAUACAUCAAAUGUAUGAUCACCAAUAAGUUUGCUGUUCAUUCUUUAUUGCCUGUGAAUGGUAUUUCAGUCACUUCACCUUUCGGAGGAAAGUUGCAAGUGUCAGAUGAUUCAAAAUCAAAUGACUUCAAAAUCCAUCAUAAUGGAAUUUUCCAUGCGGGUUUCCCCAAAUGUGACCAAAUGUAGUGCCACACUUGUGUGGUAUUCUUUUAGUCUUGCGACAUUUAGCGUCAGUGUUAUGGAUGUAUCAUAUUACCAUCAAUAUUCAUAACAUACAUCCCAUCUUGGAUGGAAGCAUGGCCCUUCAUGUUAUUCAUAAUACUGAACAACAAUUGUUGUUUUUAUGAAUAACCUCUCUUGCAAAAACAUUGUGCAAUGGGCUAGAGUGUAUGAAACUCUAAAAUGAAUUAUGAAAAUAAACCUAGAGGUAAUGUAUUAUUAUCAAUAUUCAUAACAUACAUCUCAUUCAUAAUGAAAGUAUGGCCCUUAUGUUAUUCAUAACAUCGAACAUAAAAAGUUCUCUUAUGAACAACCUUCUUGCAAGAUACCUUAUGCAAUGGGCUAGAGUGUGAAACUCUAAAUGAAUUAUGAAAAUAAAUACAGACGGUAAUACACCGACAAAAAGUAUAGUAACAUUUACCAUGUUCCCUGUGUAUACCUAAACCUCAUUCCUGGCUAGUCUUUCAGGCCAUAGCAGUUCUUACAUCGAGUUGCAACAGAAUGCAAUCGAGUGGGUAUCUUUGUGAUUAACUCACAAUACCCAAAACUCAAUGAUUAACAUUUUAAUCAUAAUUCCCAAGAACUAUAUCUUUGACCAGCCUUCUAUACAUAAAAAACUUGUAUGACAUUCAUACAUGAGCUGGAUAUUCCAGUCUUCAUUCUUUUUGCCUUUAUACUUCUAACAGUUUAACUUUUAGUAUUUCUCCUACUCUCAGAAGAAGCACCCAACUUAAGAGUGGCUUUAGCCCUGGACUUCCUAGGCGUGAAAGUCUCACUAACACCCUUCGGACACUUCCUUUCUCUUUAAGUUGUUGUUUUAUUCACCUUUCAUCAUAUGACAGGCGUUCUUCUGGAUCCCUCUCUUAUCAGUCUAAUGGAUAGUAAACUCCUUUACUAAUAGUUUGCAAACAAACAUUUCUUUGGAUAUCUCAUAUCUUUUAGCCUUUGUCUGUCUCUGAAAAUGAUUUUCAGAUUCCAUGAAUAUCACAUAACUAUCCAAACUUUCGAAGUUCGGAUCUCAUGGAAGCAAACAUAUUGCACUUGACUAAAAUGGAAUUCUAGCUUUUGGAUCGAAAGACGGGAGUCACAUGAUCCAUAGCAUAAGCGAGAGAAUACCAAAAGUAUGCGAUAGGACAAAGUCCUUCUUGGCACUUUUGAGGACAAUCCUCACAUUACGUUACCAAUCGUAAAGUUUUAACCAGAUAUUUAACAGCUAUUCAAUUUUAACAGGGAAGGUGGAAAUGCGAGCCAUUAUUCUACAACUAUUUUGCAAGAAACACUUAGACAGUGUUCAUAAUUAAUUGCACUGAGAAUUAAACAUGUUAAUUCAACAGUGCGCACCCACACAAAUCAAUAUCUCUCAUAAUUAAUUUUGAGUGAUACAAGAUCCAGACUUCAAUUCAUCGCCAUAGAAUCAUCAUCUCAUAACGGGAAUUUUAAUCGGUAGGCCAACUUGNNNNNNNNNNNNNNNNNNNNNNNNNNNNNNNNNNNNNNNNNNNNNNNNNNNNNNNNNNNNNNNNNNNNNNNNNNNNNNNNNNNNNNNNNNNNNNNNNNNNAUUCCCAUCUGCCACAUAACCACGGGCACGGCUCUCAAAAGUUUAUAACCUGCAGGGGUGUGCCAACUUAGCCCAUCACAAGCUCUCACGGUCAACGAAGGAUAUUCAUUCUCCCAGGAAGACCCGAUCAGUCUUGGAAUCCUGGUUUACAAGACAUUUCAACAAUGGUAAAACAAGACCAGCAAAGCCGCCCGAUGUGCCGACAAUCCCGAUAGGAGCUACACAUAUCUCAUUCUCAGGGCAACACCGGAUGAGACUAGCUACGAGUAAAACCAGCCCUCAAGUUUCCCCGAGGUGGCCCCGCAGGAAGCUCGGUUUGGACCAGCACUUAGAGAAGCACUGUCCCGGAGGGGCUAAAAUAAAGAUGACCCUCGGGUUGGCCGACCCAAGGGAAAGGUAAUAGGUUGUUAGGCAAAUGUAAAACCAAGGUUGGGCCUUGUUGGAGGAGUUCUAUUCAAAGCAAACUGCCAAUGGGGACCCAUAAAUCACCCAACCGCGUAAGGAACGGAAGUCAAGGAACGUAACACCGGUAUGACGGAAACUAGGGCGGCAAGAGUGGAACAAAACACCUGGCAUAAGGCUGAGUCUUCCACCCUUUACCAAGUAUAUAGAUGCAUUAAUUAAAUAAGAGAUAUUGUGACAUCCCAACCAUAAUCCUGUCCACCAUGAAGCAAUCUUCAACUUCACCUGCAACUAACAACGCUAUAAGAGGGGCUGAGAAAAAUGCUAACAUAGCCAAACAACGGUUUGCUAGGAAGGUUGAAAAAGGUUAGAGGCUGACAUGGCAAAUUGGGAGGCUUGAAGAACAAGUGAUAGGUAGCACAGCAUAGCGAUAGAACAAAGGAACUAGCAUAGCAAUGAUAGUAAUGAGAUCCAAGGUGAUGGUCAUCUUGCCUAAAAUCCCGCUAGGAAGAAGAACGAGUCCAUGAAGAAGAUGAAGCCACGAAGACGAAUCAAGCGUAGAUGAACAAAUCCUCACGAUCGCAACGAAACGGGAACUAUCGAGAAGAAGCACACAACAUGGUAAACACACCACACAUAAACAUGACAAGAUGCUCAACCAAGCAUGAUGCAUGACAAAGGCUACAUGAAGCUACUCAUGGCAAGAAAUGAUGCAUACAAGAGCAACCCAUCAAGGCAAGUUUAAAUGAGGCCGGAAACAACAUAUAACAAUUCCGGUAAGUCCUCAUAUGCAAAUUUCGAAAUUGGUCCAGAUCUGAUUAGAACACAAUGUUGAAGUUUUUAGACAGCAAGUUAAGAUGCACCAAGAUGAUCUACACAAAAUUCUAAUCAAGUUACAUAUAAAAUUCAUUUAGUUCGGAGCUACGGCCUAGAAGAUAUGAGCAAAACAAGUGGAACAUUGCUUUGAUGCAAAAUACAUUCAAACAUCAAGAAAACACUAUCAAACCAUGGAUUCAACAUGGCAUGAUGAAACUACAUGCAAUUCUAAGCAAGUUUCAUAUAGAGCAUGCUCAAAACGGAGAAACGGUUAAACACAUACACUCCAAACAUAAUAUAACAACAAGCUGUCCAAAAACAGCAACUAGGCAUCUAGCAAGCAUCAAAACAAGAUGCUAAAGCACCUCAACAUGAAAUCAAAAGGCGUGGACAUGAUGUACAGGUAAAGCAUGACAAAACAUGAACAAUGAGUUAUCUCCAGAAAUCACUAGAACAUGCUAAAAAGGGCAUGGCAAGAUUGCAAAUAAUAACAGUUCACAGACUUAGCAGAAAUCACUGGACAUGGCAGAAAUAACACCAGGUUGCAAUGUUUAGAGCUAUCAAACAACAUGUUAACAGGAACUUAUCAUGGCAACCAAAGGCAUGGCAUGCUAAUACUAAAGACAAAGAACAAAACACCGUUAGUGAACUUAUUCCAAAGAUCAACAGAAAAGAUGGUAGCAUCCAUGCAAACAUGGCAAACGAUAUGAUAGAUUCAGACAUGGAAGGAACAACAAUAAGUAGGCAUGUUAGUGAGCUUGUAUAAAUCACCAUAGGCAAUACAUGGCAUGGCAUGGUGACCAACAGUAAGCAGACAUGCUUUUGAAGCUAGGAAUGGCAAGAGAAAGUUCAUAGGGUGCACAGAUCACUAGCAAAGCUCAUGGAAAAACGGAACUUAAUGUUAACAGGCUGACGGCAACAUUAUUUAGCAAUUUGAGAGUAAGAUUACGACAAGCUAUAGCAGGCUAUAAAUGCAACCAGGGGCAUGGAUGGAUAUAGCAUAACAAAACACCCUUAGUGAACAUCUCCAGAUUAUUCAUAGAAUGACUUGUAGCAGCAGGUUUACAUAGCAUCGUGAUAUAGCAGAAUCAGCCCAGCAAAACAGAAACAGCAAGUAUCCUACUUCACAAGCUUGAUGCACUCACCAAAAGGCACAAAAAAAUACAUGGAUUGCACCAUUGCAGAAAUAACAUGAUGUAGCUCAAAACUCAUUUAGACAUCAAGCUCAUAGGAUGCGCACACAAAAUGCAAUGAAAAAGACAAAUCACCAAGUUCUGUUAACAGACAACAGUUAACAUCAUAUAGCACUCUUGCAACGAUUAUUAGGGCAUAAAGAUCAACUCAAACAAGCAUGGCACAAUGGAACAAAAUUAGGAGCACCUCACAAUGAACAAUUUGACAUUUCAUUCAACUCAAACGGACAAGCAUGCAUAGAGUUAUAACCAUUCAAACAUGCAUACAUAAAGUUGAAAAUUCGGGACUUGGACAUAUUUCACCUCGCGAGAGACGGGAUCGGGCGGUCCAGCGGGAUGGAGGGAUCCGGGCGCGGGGCGCGGUUGGAUGGCCGGCCUGGUGGAUCUCGUCCACUCGUCCGGAUCCGGGGCCGGCGCGGGUCAGGGAGGCCUCCGGGGACGAGGAAGACGACGGGGCCUCCGAGCGGCGGCACAGAGGGCGGCGACCGACGGCGGGGUCGCGAGGCGGCGGCGGAGCUCCGGCGGGGAGCUCGCCGGACGGUGCGGUGGAACGGCGCGGAGGCCCGCGGGCGACGGGGUCGGAGCNNNNNNNNNNNNNNNNNNNNNNNNNNNNNNNNNNNNNNNNNNNNNNNNNNNNNNNNNNNNNNNNNNNNNNNNNNNNNNNNNNNNNNNNNNNNNNNNNNNNCCCCCCCCUUGGGCCCAUGCGCCUAGGGUUGGGGGGGGGGGAACCCUAGAGGGCGCGCCCCCUUGCUUGGGGGGCAAGUUCCCCCUCCCUGGCCGCCGCCCCCCCUCUAGAUCCCAUCUAGAGGGGCCGGCCCCCCUUGCCCCUUCCCCUAUAAAUAAAGGGGUGAGGGGAGGGCUGCAUACACAAGCCAAGGCGCAGCCCCUCCCCUCCCCAACACCUCUCCUCCUCCGUCACGAGCUUGGCGAAGCCCUGCCGGAGUACUGCUUCUCCACCAACACCACGCCAUCGUGCUGCCGUGGGAGCUGUCUUCCUCAACCUCUCCUUCCUCCUUGCUGGAUCAAGACGGAGGAGACGUCGUCCGUUCCGUAUGUGUGUUGAACGCGGAGGUGCUGUUCGUUCGGCACUUGGUCAUCGGUGAUCUGAAUCACGUCGAGUACGACUCCAUCAUCAUCGUUCCCUCGAACGCUUCCGCAUGCGAUCUACAAGUGGUAUGUAGAUGCAAACUCACUCCCUUGACUCGUUGCUUAGAUGAACUCAUAGAUGGAUCUUGGUGAAACCGUAGGAAAAAUUUUAAUUUUCUGCAACGUUCCCCAACAAUAUAUACCCUGUACAAGGGUGGUUUACAAAAAGAGGCAGUUGUCAAAGAGACAACCGACAUAGCAGGGAUUAACAUAUUAAUUAACUUAAUUAAUUAAUUCCUAACACUCCCCCUAAUCAAUGCUUGUCCUUGUGAGUAUGCAUCAUCUUGAUAAAUAAUACUCCUUGUAUGUCUUUGCCUUUGAGAAUGCUCAUCAUCUUCAUCUUGAGAAAUCCAUGUAUAAUCUUUAAAGUCUCCUCCAAAAACCCUAUGGGAAAAAUAUGAGGAGACUAGUGUAGAUAUGUUGCUAAAACUCCUUUAAACCCAGUGGGAAAAAUAAUAAGGAGAGAUGCAACAUAUAAUGAUUAUUGUCUCUUCAUAACUCAUAUGAGGAAAACCUUUGAAGAAGGAGAAAACUCAUUGGUGAGUUUAGAGAACAAUAAAUAUGCUUUCUAUACUUUCCUUUAAAAAUCCGAUGGGAAAAAAACUUGAAAGUAUAGCAUAUAACCUUAAAAAGAUAUUACCUCAUUAAAUUCCAUUAUGAGAAACUUUGAGAGAAAACUCAUAGAGGAAAAGAGUGCGAUCUGAUAUGUCAUUGAAAACUCCUUUAAAACCCAACGGGGAAAUAUAAGGAGAAAAUGAUGUGACAUAUGUAAACACUUGUAUCAAUAUUGUCUCAUUAAAAACCUUUUAUGAGAAACCAUGAGGGAAAACUCAUGAAGGGAAAAAGAGUACAAUAUAUGCAAUCUGAUGAUUGUUAACAGGUUAUAGUUUGGGAGAUUACUCCCCCUGAACUUUGCAAAUCUCGAGGAUGUCUCAUACCAAUUGCAUUGACAUGAUAAUGCCAUUGUGAAUAAUCUGUUGGAUUUUCACAGUAUUUUCUUUGAAAAUUGUUUCCUCACUUUUCUAUAAUUCAUGAGGAUAAGUGAUCUUCGAGCAAUGUGAUUUAUGAUAUUGCUCUUCAUAUAACCUGUAGGUAUUGAGUAACACAAGUGGUAGCAUCUUGAUAAAAUCAAGUUAUGUGAUUGUUAUGAAUCUCAACCACAUGAUUUUGAGUGUGGUUAAUCAUUCUACCGAGACAUGCAUAUUAUGCGAUUCUUUUAGAUAAAGCAAUUAUGUCAGAAUGAUAAGUGGAAAUAGUCAUCAAAGUUUAUUUGGAUGACUUUCAUGAAAAGACUAUUUAUAGUGAAUCCAGUCAUUGAGAUGGCAUUAUUGGGAUCAAAUAAAGAGCCAAUAUCAUUACAUCAUAUCAUGGUCAUAUCUUGAUUUCGUGAUGGAAAUGCCCAAGAUGUAUUGUGAGCAUGAGAUAUAAGUUCUUAUUUCUUAUAUCUACCAUAUACCUUUUGUUGGGGGGUUGCACUCUGGACAAAGAUAGCAAAUAUAGUGUCAGGCUUGACGUAAUAUGCAAUUAUAUGAGUACGUUGGUGUUAGUGAGACGUAGAACUUUAGGUUCUGAUAUCACUACAUUAUCACCCCUAGGUAUGAAUGGAUUUGUAGCCUAUUAGGGGUAGUAUGACCAUAUUGCAUGUCUUUUAUUGGUAUGAUAUAUCCACAUUAAACUUCUCGUAUAUGUAUUGGAUAUAUGGAGACUGAUAUGUAUUCUUGAGAGAAUGCUCAAGUUGUAAACUUAAGUUAAAUUUGGUUGAAUCAAAAUUUUCCUUCUUGAGAUGAUUUUGUGUAUGUUUAGGUCUUGUAUAGACAUUGAUGAUGAGGUCAUCAAUAUACACUGAGGUGAUGAAAGGAAAUCAAAUUUGAGAUUCCUUUAUUAAACAUGUAACUAAUCAUCAUUAUCGAGUAAUCCUUUUGAAGAAGGAACUCAUCUCGUCCGUAGUACCAUAUGAUUUCUGACUAUUUCAAGUCAUAGAGUGACUUAUGAAGUUUUACACAAAACUUGUUGCGAUUUGCUUUUGGAUUCGGAAGUAUAAACCCUUGAGGGACUUCAAUAGAGAUUUCUUAAAUGAGUGACUCAUAUGAGUAUGUAGCCACUUCAUCCAUCAACUGCAUGGAUAAUAUUAUCAUUUUUAUUGCCAAUGAUAUUUAGUAUUGAAACAUAAUUCCACUCAUACCAAGAGGUUAUGUUACAUCAUAAUCGAUGUCGGGUCUCUGCGUGAACCCUUUUUGCUACAAGCCUCGCUUUCGCACCACCUCAUUGACUUUGUCUAUGAAUGAGAAGUUUUUAGUAUUCCAUAUGGAAGAUCCUUAGAGGGUAUCUUUGGUGAACCUAGGUGUAUCCUUCAAUACAAACGGUACAACACUUUCUCAACAAAUUCGCCCUCCGACCUAUUUGGUUCGACUAUCAAAUCUGUCACCGGUGUGAGUCGCCGCCCCGCGCUCACCAUUCCACACCAAAAUUGAUCACUGAGACGGACUUGAUAUUGUUGCUGAUGUGAUCCUCCUGCCGAUCAACAUGGCGUGCCUCNNNNNNNNNNNNNNNNNNNNNNNNNNNNNNNNNNNNNNNNNNNNNNNNNNNNNNNNNNNNNNNNNNNNNNNNNNNNNNNNNNNNNNNNNNNNNNNNNNNNUGCGCUUGAAUGUCUUAUAAAUUUUAGGCAGAGUCAUACAUACUUGCAAAUAAUUUUGUUUUUACACUCUUUGUGCAGACAAGCAUUUUGGUGAAACAUCCACCAACCCACUCGAGGAGCGUGAUCUAGAAGGGAGUCACCACGAGCGCUAUAUGCUGGCGCAUCAUAACCUCAUCCUCAGCUUGUUGAAUGGUCUCGCUGACACUCGGCGUGAGCUUGCUCUUGCACGUGGGAUCCCAUCCCCGGUAACAAGCACGGACACACCGGCACUGGCAGAGGCUGUGCUGUCGCUACGACUUCCUGAACCACUGUUUAGACAUGGGUGCAUUCUCCCAGCACCACGUACCAAGAGGGAAAUCGCUGCAAGGAUGGCUGCUCUCCGGUUUUACUGCUCCAUUGCUAGGCCUGAGCAUCCAUUGGACUCCGAGGUGAGGGAUCUCGAGGAGGCUUCCUAAUCUAAGGAGGAGGACCUCGAGGAGUCUUCUGUCGUGCCUUCCACCCCUACAUCCUGCAGCGACUCAGGAGAGGCAUCGGAACCAGGCCAGAAGCGACCAGAGCGCAAGAGGAAACCGAGCAAGUGGUUGGACUGAAAAACAUGGGCCAAAUAGCGCUCUUUCCCUUUAUCUCUCCCGGCUGGCGCUUGUGUAUGGGUGUGUUGCUACUCCAAUCUUUCUUCCUUCCCCUUCGUCCUGCUACUCCAAUCCCAAAUUCUACCGAUCUACUCAUAGUCAUAUGGACUCCAAAUUCGAGUGAGAUAUCUGAGGAUUGGCUUAUGUGAUGAAAUUUGAGCACAACAUAUUUGUUGAUGGCUUGCGUGAUGGCGUAACAUAUAUGUACUUAUAGUCAUAUGUUCGUGCGUUUGUGCACAACAUAAUUUGAGCACCUCUAUGUACUCAUACUCAUAUGUUCGUGCACAACAUAAUUUGAGCACCUAUAUGUACUCAUACUCAUAUGUUCGAGCACAACAUAUUUUUAGAUGGCUUAAGUGCUGAAAUAUAAGCUGGAUUGCUAGUUCACAACCCAAAAGAUUUGGAUACUGCCGUUUCUCUGACGUAUUUGCAGGAAGAAGCUCUCAAAAUAACCAAACGGCAUGAGCCCAUGCGGUGUGGACACCAAUUAAGGCUCCCGGAAUCAUCUAAGGAGGGCCAUGCAUCUUCCUCCUCCUGGGCGCCCUCAAACACCAAUAGUGCUUGGCCUCGAGAAGCUUGGCGGACAUAUCACCCGUGACGCACCCUCAACUGAAGACCGCCAGGGGGUUAUCCUAUGUCUGCAGCGAGAAGUGGACGCGGGAUCACAAGUGCGCUACUUCUGUUCAACUUCAUGUGGUGAACUACACAACAUAAAAAUCAUUUUUUCCUUUUCUGCAAGACGUGGUAUAUUUGUUUUUUACAUGACAUAAUGUUUCUUUUGAUUAAAUCUUCUGAUCAUUUUUCUCAUUUCCUUUCGGGAACAACUUAUGUAUUCCCAGGUCUUGACUCCUUGUUACAAGAAAUGUGUUAUGUUUUCUUCACAUAAUCCAGAAGAGCCAAAUUAACAUGGUAUUAGCAUGCUUUUCUAUUUGCAAAACAAUUACCCAGGUUCUUUCUCCCUUGUGUAACAUUUUGCUUGAAUUGACAUAUGCGGAUUUCUUUUUGUGUCUUCACAUAAUCAAGAAACUGACUAUGUUUCACAAAAAAUGUUCAAACCCUGAAGAUGAGUGGAAAAAAUUCCUUGAAAGUUUGGGCAGAAGAACUGAGGAGAAGGUGCGUGAGGAUGAUACAUUAGAAAAUGAGCUUGUCUUCAUGCGAUAGCUGACAUGAAGUUUACAUAUGUUGUCUCAUGCCAGCAGUAUGGAAUCCAGAAACGUUCUGGUGAUCCUUGUGCACAUGAUAUUUUGGGACUAUGACAACGUAAGUUUCGUGUUUACACUCGGAAGUCCUGGAUAUAUGUUGCUUUCAGUGGAAUAUAAGUCUUACUUUAAUUUGGUCCAUUUGUCUUUGUCAUCUAUACGCUAAAACAAACAUGCAUGCAUUCCAUGUAGCAGUGCCUUUGCAUGUCUGUGUGUGAGAAGUGUUAGUUGGGCUAGAAGAAUGGCAGUUUGUUGAUAUUCUUAAUAAUUAUUUACCAGUAUUAAAAACUGUAAGUUUUAUUUAUUUACUGAACUGGUAUCUAUCCUAGUCAGUAAUUAGUGCAUCGUGAUGUUCCAUAUCUUUCUGUCUAUCAAACUACAUUAUAAUUCAAAACCAAUGCUUUGAAUGCUAGAUACAUACAUUUAUGAGGACACAUUAUUCAUAAUAGUUUCAUUAUUUUUAUUUUAGAUGUCACAUACUUGUACACAAAUAUAUGCCAUAUAUGUGUAUAUGUAUAUACAUAUAUGAUGGCACUGAAAUAAUAGAAAUAUGUUUGCUGGGCAGAUAUCCAUCUUUUCGUGUUGCCUAUAUUGAUAAAGCUGAAGCACCUAGACAAGAUAGAAAUAAGUAGAUUGACAAAGUUUACAACUCAGUUUUGGUGAAGGCCGCUGUUACAAAAUCAGAUGAUCCUGGACAGAGUCUUUACCAGGUACUGCAAAAUGCUCUGUUAAUUCAGUACCUUGGUUAAAUUUUCUGUAAGUUAUGUUUACUGCGUUUCUCUUUGUUUAAGAGUUCUUUUACAGUACAUCAAAUUACUGUGGGCCCUUUAUUUUCAUCAGUACAAUGGAUAAGAUCCAUCCAUACUACCACAUAAACUUUGUAGUAUUUUUUGACCGGGAGGAACACAUAAGGGCAAUAUGGACAUAUCUCCCUGCACACCUCCCCCGUACUCACGCAACUCCGAUGGCACAACACUCCGCCAUGGCGACAGAGAUAAAGCGUGCACACGGCCGGGCUCAAAAGAUCGCCGCGCCAAUAGAGACUAUUGAUGCCGGCAUGAAUGCCUGUAGCACCUAUGACAAAAACAAAUCACGAGCACCAAUAGCCGUGUCUUGCAAGAGCGGCCAUAAUGCGGCUCCAUUCCUUGAUAACACAUCAGUGACUGCUNNNNNNNNNNNNNNNNNNNNNNNNNNNNNNNNNNNNNNNNNNNNNNNNNNNNNNNNNNNNNNNNNNNNNNNNNNNNNNNNNNNNNNNNNNNNNNNNNNNNAACAAUGACGAAGCCAUAGAGACAUGCAGUUGUUGUGAGGGUGGAGUAGUGAGUAGGUCCAAAUAAGUCCAUGUGUAACAGCUCGAAGGGUUGAGAUGUUGUCAUGAUUGUCUUCGAGGGGUGCUUUGCCCUUGUCAUCUUUCCAGCUUCACAGGCACCACACAGAUGAUUCUUCUUGAACUUGACAUCCUCGAUGCCAAUGACAUGCUUCUUAUUGACGAGUGAGUGUAAGUUCCUCAUGCCAGCAUGUCCUAGCCUUCGAUGCCAGAGCCAGCAUUCUGAAGCUUUUGUGAGAAGACAUACGGCAAGCUGUGGACCUGCUGAGAAAUCUACCAUGUAUAGAUCAUCUUUUCGAUACCCUUCAAAGACUAGAGAUUUGUCAGAUUCCAUUAGUACAAGGCAACGUUAUUUUCCAAAUAUCACAAUCAUGUUCAAGUCACAAAGCAUUGAGACAGACAUUAAGUUGAAACCAAGGGAUUCAACAAGCAUCACUUUAUCCAUGUGUUGAUCCUUUGAGAUUGCAACUCUACCUAGACCCAAUACCUUGCUUUUACCAGUGUCAGGAAAUGUAAUGUGACUCUUGUCGGAUGGACAUAAGGUUGAGUCCAUGAGAAGACUUCGAUCACCAGUCAUAUGAUUGGUGCAUCCACUGUCCAUAAUCCAUUCUGAAGCUUUUGGUGAUGUACCCUAUAGUGCAGUUAGGAGGAUAGGCUUCACAAGAGUGUUGUGAAGCAUAAGCAUUUGACACGUACAGGGACAGUCACAGCUUAUAUCAAAGUUAGGACAUAGUAUGACUGAUAAGAGAUUCAGAUGUGAAGUAUACAGAAUGACAUUUUGUCGUGCGUCCUAAAUGGGUUUUAGGUCCCCAGCAAUAGUAUCGGACGCCAUUGAUUGCUGGGCUGGAGACCGUUUUCUGCAAAAGAGAGUUAGUUCUUCUUUGCCACCCACAUCUUCAGUGGUGGCUUAGAAGCAAUGAGUCUAAGUGCAGCAUCUGAGAAUUUUGGCUUUGAAGCCCUAGCAAAUAACCUUGCAGGAGAUGAAUGAUACUCAUAUGAAUAAGCAGAAAAGUUCUUAGUCCUAUGAACAUAGCGGUUUGAAGAUACACGCUCAUAUUCAUAAGUCUGAGCAUGAUUUCCCUGCAAAACAUUGGCGUUAGGGUGACUCAUGUGAGUCCUGUGUCUGUAUGAAGCCUUUGGGCCACAUGAAGCUAUAGGUCUGGGGUUUGUCUUCUUCCUUGGUGGUGUCAUGACGACAUUCACAAGAAGAUUCUCAAUGUACUGCUUAGGUACCCAGAUCUUCUUCAUAGGUGGUCCAUUCCUGCAGUUAGUACCAAUGUACCUGGCAAACACUCCACCAUUCUGAUUUUUGAACAUCUUAUAGUUUGCAUCAAAGGAUUCAUCAAUGAUAAUAGGAUUAGCACAGGUAAAGCCAGAUAAAGUGGAUGGAUCUACUGAAGGUUCCUUUGCAGCAACCCAUGUGGUUUUGGGGUACUGCUCAGGCUUCCAGUACGAGCCAUCAACAUUCAUUUUCCUUUCGAACCCAACACCCUCCUUCCUAGGGUUUCGGUUCAGAAUCUGCUUUUUGAGGACAUUGCAGAGAGUCUGAUGUCCCUUCAAACUUUUGUACAUCCCUGUUUCAAGCAAUGACUUUAACAUAGCAUUUUCAUCAGCAACAGCGGUGGUAUCCUCCGCAGAGGGGUUAGUAACCACAUUAGUAGGUGAAGACAAUGAAACAGUAGCAGCAGUGGAACAUUCAGCAACAGAUGUAGCGUUAUCACGCUCAAUGCAUUUUAGACAUGGUGGUUCAAAUCCAUCCUGAGCGGAACUGAUCUGUUGAGCGCGAAGUGACCCAUUCACCUUUUGAAGAUCUUCAUGAGCCGCUCUCAAUUUCUCAAGCUCUUGUUUCCUUUGAAGAUAAUCAUAGGAGAGCCUUGAGAGCGAUUCAUGACGACCUUCAAGUUCUUGGUACUUAGCAUGAAGAUUUUUUAUGUCAUCAACUAAGGACUAUGAAUGUGUCAUUUCAGCGUCCAACAGGUCAUCGCUUUUGUCUAAUAGUUUUUGAGUAUGUUCCAUAGCCUUUUGUUGUUCAGUUGCAAUUUUAGCAAGUGUUUUGUAGCUGGGUUUGGAUUCACAAUCAGGGUCAUCUUCACUUGAAGUUUGAAAGUAAGCAUCGCGUGAGUUUACCUUGGCACCACGUGCCAUGAAGCAGUAGGUGGGAGUAGGAUCGUCUUUGUCAUUAGCUUCAGCGUUGGUGUGGAAGUCAUUGUCUUCAGUGUUGAAGAUGGACUUGGCGACAUAGGCUGUGGCUAGAGCCAGACUUGCAACGCCAGGGUCAGACUCCUCUCCAGACUCCACCUCCACCUCCUCAGAAGCAGACUCCUCCUCUGAAUCCAUUUCCUUGCCAACAAAAGCACGAGCCUUGCCAGAUGAGCUCUUCUUGUAUGAUGAAGACUUGGAAGAAGACUUAGAAGACUUUGAGGAUUUCUUCUUCUUCUUGUCAUCAGAAUCAUAUUCCUGGCUUUUCUUCUUCUUCUUCUCAUUGUCCCACUAUGGACACUCAGAUAUGUAGUGACCAGGUUUCUUGCACUUGUGGCAGGUUCUCUUUUUGUGGUCAUGGGUGGAAGCUUCAACAUUCCUUGAGCUGGAUCGUGAAGACUUUCUGAAGCCUUUCUUCUUAGUGAACUUCUGGAACUUCUUCACAAGCAUAGCAAGUUCCUUUCCAAUGUCUUCAGGAUCUUUAGAACUGCAGUCAGAUUCUUCUUCAGAUGAGGAAACAACUUUUGCCUUCAAGGCGCGAGUUCGGUCAUAGUUUGGGCCAUAGAUAUCUCUUUUCUCAGAUAGCUGGAACUCAUGUGUGUUGAGCCUCUCAAGUAUAUCAGACGGAUCGAGUGACUUGAAGUCAGGACGUUCUUGUAUCAUGAGGGCAAGGGUGUCAAAGGAGCUGUCAAGUGAUCUCAGCAAUGUCUUGACGAUUUCAUGCUUGGUAAUCUCAGUUGCNNNNNNNNNNNNNNNNNNNNNNNNNNNNNNNNNNNNNNNNNNNNNNNNNNNNNNNNNNNNNNNNNNNNNNNNNNNNNNNNNNNNNNNNNNNNNNNNNNNNGUCGUGGUAGGCGCGACCAUGAUAUGGGCUGCUGGCAGCCCUUGGAUCUGAGAUCGAACAGUCGCAUGCUAAGUUGCUGAAACUUUGAAGAAUAACCCUCCAGGAUAGGAUAUUCACCCAUAGGUCUAGAAUCACGCCAUGCAACCGUUCGAUCUUAUAUCCAAGGGCUCUCGGAAGCCCGUAUCAUGGGGGAGCAUGGAAAGCCCCUCCGUUCGCACGCUCCACUCAACAUUUUUACAAUCAGAAAACCGCUAGCAGUUUGCUCCUACUCGUCCCCGGCCUCCCUUUAACAUUACGACAAUUUGCUCCUACUCGUCCCCGGCCACCUUUAACAUUACGGCAGUUUGCUAUUAGUCGUCCCGUCCUUUCACAUUACAACAAUUCCAAUAAUCCUAACCCUCCUCCCAAAUACAUGGCAUCCCAUCUCCAUGAUCGGCGGUGAGUACAAAGUUAGAACCAUCACCGGCAAUAAGUUCGACGUCAUCUAUACUCGUUCUUCCACGAUGUUGAAAGGAUGCCUUGCUCGCUUCAGACGCAUGUUCAAAAACUCAAAGGCAGAGUGGGUCGCUGGACUAGAUGUUGAGUACACCACAGUCCUAGACAAAGAGAAGAAACUAAAGGAGGAAGAGAAGAAUAAGCCCGCCGUGAUCCAGGUUUGCAUGCAUAACUUGUGCUUGGUCUACCACAUAUGCCAUGCCGAUGUUGAGUGCGAGGAAUUUAAGAACUUCCUCGCAGACGGCCUAGUCAAAUCCGUUUCUAUAGACUUUACGAAUGACAACGAAGUCCUAGGUCGGAUAGGCCUCGUUGAGGCUAGCCCUCGACCUCCAGAGGAAUGUUCUAGUGUCCUCCCGUGAGCCUUCAAUGCUGACCCUGGCAGCAACCAUCCUUUGUACGGUAAACUGACGAAACCUCUGUACAAGUUUCAUCGUGUAUGGGAGUGGAAUGUACUAGAUAGAGAGCACAUCAAUUACGCUGCAAUGGAUGCCUAGCUUUGUUUCAAUAUCUACAAGAGUUGGAUGAAGAGCGAGAGUUAAGUGUGCGGUUCAAGCAAAGAAGUAUCAGCCAAGAGGAAGAGGGACAAGGACGAAGUCGAGCAUGUGGACGAGGAGUCGGAGUAAGGUGGCAGUGUCGUUGCUCAUGGUGGUUAUAAUGCAGUGUCUACCGGAUUAGUUGCUUAGUUUAAUUUCAGGGUGCUUCAUUUUAUUUUAGGGGUGUGUUGUGCAGAGCCCCUAGCAGAACUAUGUUAUGUUCCUUCUCAUUACUUUAACUCUUUAGUACGUACGUACUAGUAUUUCUUACAGUUCAUCUUUUAGUUGGUAUAGUACUACCACUCGUUUCUUCACAUUAUCUACAUACAAUAUAUAUGGCCAACAUCAUAUAGCCAGCAGUUUGGUUGUCAAACAAUUUUAGGGUGCUUAGUUUUACUUGAGGGGUGCGUUGUGCUGGACACCAUUAUUGUGACUCAAAUCGCUUUUGCCAUGUUAUAAUGACAUAAAUACCUAUGGAUCAACAUGCCAACUCUCCCUCUAUCUCACUAUAGUACAAUAGAGUGUGGGGCCUACUUGAUCCCAACAUCUUUCUUAUUUUCCUGUAAAAUUAUUCGCUUGGUUACUCCUGACAAGUGGGGCCACACUUAUCAUUGUGAGAAUCGGCUUAUUUUUGUCAUAUAACAUGGUCAACGGGUUUGAGGUGAAAAUAACAAUGUCUAAUGGCAUUUUGAGCAAACAUCUAAUGGAACGAUGACAUUUUUGAGAUAUCUAAUUGCAUUUUGAGCAAGCAUCUCACGGAUCGAUGGCACUUUUGAGUAGUUGUAACUUCUAAUGGAAAAACUGAGUAGUGGUACACAACCAGUGGCAUAAAUAAUAAGAACCCAAGAAUUAAAUAGGUAUGCUAAUUUUUUAAUAGAAUUUAGCACCCCAUUUAAGCACGUACUAGCUUUUUCAAUAGUACUAUAUGCAUAAUUUGGCGAUGAGCGCUCUCUAUAUGUACUGCCUUUUUUCUUUAAUUUCAUCUUGUUAGUUUUGCUACAUGAUGCAAUCCAUCGGUACUACUACUGUACAAAAGUAUAAUUUUUUUAAAAGGCUAGAGGGCGGGGCAGUCUUGCUUGGUCGGUUUCACGAGAGGCGAGGGCCUUUGUGAUUUGAUGGCUCAUUACUGCUGGAAGGCGGGGCCUUGUGAUUUUACUGCUCAUAUAAAUGUUACCAAUGACCUGAGGAGGAGCAAAGAACCAUGCGAUAUACUCAAGUUUUCCACUGGAGUACUAGUACGAUGGAAGAGCACGAAACAUGGCAGCCUAGUGCGAUAUGGCGAUAAAAAUGAUCUAAAUUGCUAAUCAUCGAUCCCAUGGCACCGCUCAUCGUUAGCAUUGUUCUAUUCAUUCCUCGCAGAGAACAUGACACGUAUGGCGAAACACCCGAAGCAAAAUAAGAAACACAUGAGCAAAAGAAGAAGGAAGAUUAUCACCCCCAAAACAGAAGGAAGACGCACACACAAGUCUGGGGCGCUGCUCUCUACUAGUACAUGAAGGGUUGCUGGCCGUGGAGUCAUAACUGCUUCUUCAUCGCCUCCACGACCUCCAUCUCCUUGCGCGUCUCCUCCGCCAUCUUCUUCAUUCUGUCCCUGACACAGGAUUUCUCGACGCGAGUCUUCAUCAUCUGUUCCACGGCCGCAUUACGUACCUUGACAGUAGCCGAGUGCUCGAUGAAGAGAUUUGCCAACUCUUCCUUCUGUUCCAUGACAAGGGCCUACAACAUCUUCAUCGAGGAACUACUCUUCUCAUGCAACUUCUUCCAGCCAGUGUUCUCCUCCUUCAGCAGGUUGAACUCGUGGCAGAGCUUCACUUUGUCCUCUUGAAGUUGCAGGAUUUUGCUAGUCGCCUUCUUAUCUGACGCAAUGCUCUUCUUCAGCAGCAUCACCAAGCUGGCGGUCAACUCCCCCUGCUCAUUGAGCUCAGUGGGCAUGUCAUCAAGGCUCCCCUUCAGCAGCUCCACCAAGCCNNNNNNNNNNNNNNNNNNNNNNNNNNNNNNNNNNNNNNNNNNNNNNNNNNNNNNNNNNNNNNNNNNNNNNNNNNNNNNNNNNNNNNNNNNNNNNNNNNNNAGGUGGACGGUAGAGCAAGAGGAGCAGCUAAAGGUGUAUUCACGGAAGCAAGGUGAUGCUUCUCAUAGGUGGCAGAAGGUGAAUGAGGAGCGUAAUCCUCAAGUAUAUUCAAGACGACAGCAUCAUGUUCAGGGGGAGCAGCCAACACAGAUGCAGGGGGAGCAACAAGGCAGCAAUGCAAGCUCAGUUGACACAGAGGACUUGCCAAUUGCUUUGAGAAAAGGUACUCGAGAAAAAGCAGGGAUACCCGGGCCAAAGUAUGGGUUCGAUGCCAAUGAUAUUGGAAAUUAUGUUUCCUAUGAAGCAUUAUCUCCAGCCCACAAAUCAUUUGUUGCAUCUCUUCAGCUGUUGUCUCUUCCAACUGAUUGGAAGGCAGCAAAAGUGGAUCCAAAGUGGCGAGCAGCUAUGAUAGAGGAGAUGGAGGCAUUAAGUAAGAACAAGACAUGGGUACUAACACCUCUUCCAAGAGGAAAGAAGGCAGUUAGCUGCAAGUGGGUAUACACCGUGAAGCAGAAUGCAGAAGGGAAGAUUGAAAGGUACAAAGCAAGGCUUGUGGCGAGGGGGUACAGCCAGACCUACGGCAUUGACUAUGAUGAGACCUUUGCUCCAGUAGCAAAGAUGAACACUGUGAGGAUUCUGAUCUCCUGUGCAGCAAAUUUCGGGUGGCCUUUACACCAACUUGAUGUGAAGAAUGCCUUCUUGCAUGGGGACUUGAAGGAGGAGGUAUACAUGGAUAUUCCACCUGGGUUCUCAACUUCUGAGACUGCUGGUAAGGUAUGCAGGCUAAAGAAAGCUCUUUAUGGACUGAAACAGUCUCCAGGAGCUUGGUUUGACAGAUUUAGACGGGCUGUGCGUGGCAUGGGGUAUGGACAAUGCAAUGGUGACCAUACAUUGUUUUAUAGACACUCUAAAGGAAAAAUGACCAUCCUUGCAGUUUAUGUUGAUGAUAUCAUUAUCACCGGCGAUGAUGACAUAGAGAUAGCAAGGUUAAAGGGGUGUCUGAGUAAGGCAUUCGAAGUUAAAGAUCUUGGUCGACUCAAGUACUUCCUUGGUAUAGAAGUGGCAAGGUCUGGAAAAGGAAUAGCUCUUUCUCAAAGAAAGUAUACCCUGGAUCUCCUCUGUAAUGUUGGCAUGUUGGGUUGUCGAGCUGCUGCAACCCCAAUUGAUCAAAAUCAUAAAGUGACCGCCCAAUCAGGUGAUCUGGUGAAUAAAGAAAAAUAUCAACGAUUGGUGGGAAGAUUAUUGUACUUGUGUCAUACACGACCAGACAUUGCAUUUGCAGUAAGUGUUGUGAGCAGAUAUAUGCAUGAGCCUAGGAGUGAACAUCUCGAGGCAGUAUAUAGAAUCCUGAGAUACUUGAAGGGUUCUCCUGGGAAAGGAUUGAUAUACAAGAGUCAUGGACAUCUUGUCGUGGAUGGUUAUUGUGAUGCUAAUUGGGCCAGCUGUCUGGAUGACAGGAGAUCAACCUCAGGCCAUUGUGUUUUCGUAGGAGGAAAUCUAGUGUCUUGGAGAAGCAAGAAACAACCCGUUGUUUCCAAAUCAACCGCAGAGGCUGAAUAUAGAGCCAUGUCUCAGGGAUUGAGUGAGUUGUUAUGGACAAGAAAUCUAUUAGGAGAGUUGAAGAUAUUGAAGACCAGUUGUAUGAAUGUAUGGUGCGACAACAAGUCGGCAAUUAGCAUAGCAAACAACCCAAUUCAACAUGAUAGAACCAAACAUGUGGAGAUUGACAGAUUCUUUAUCAAAGAAAAACUGGAUGCUGGGAUUAUCAAGAUAGAGUAUGUGAGUUCAGGACAACAAAUUGCAGAUUGCUUGACUAAAGGACUGGGAACUAGAGAAUGCAGUUCAGCAUGUGACAAGAUGGGAAUGAUAGAUAUCUACCACCCAUCUUGAGGGGGAGUGUUGACCGGUAUGAAGGCCUGGCCCAUCUUCACUGUUAGUAUAGGGCCCAAGCCCAUGUGUGUGACCUAGAUGAGAGCAACCAGAGUUAUAUGCGUGUGUGACACACGGGAGUAGGAGUCAGCCGCCAGACACACCAAACCACAUGUAUGCGGGUAUGCCUCUCUCGUUCUACAAUAGAAAAUUUAGAGAAACUCAAACACUUUGCAAUGGUUUGUAUGACAACAAGUUAUAUUUCUAAAUGCAAGAGGUACUAUUUCUAUGUUGACUGAUUACUUUUUAUAAAUAAAUUUGCAUCAAAAAUGUUAUAUACUCAAUCAAUCCACAACGGGUAGAUGCACUAUAUGCAAAGCUGGGUCGGUGUAUACAUUUUUGUAGAGCCUCGUGAUGUGCAAGUCGCCUCAUUAAGAAAUUGCAAUUUCUGAAGCGGCAAAGAACAAAAUUUUGUUUGACAUAUAAUUUCUUAUUUAUGUCUGCAUGCACAAUAUUAAUUAUCUUGUAUUUCAAGCUUUUAUAUCGUAUUUCAAGCUUGCAACAAUACGUACACCCGGAACUUUCUGUUCAGGAUAUACUCUCGGGCGUGUUAAAUUGGCGUACACCUUUUUUUUUAACCAUGUACACAUUCUCUUAGCAAAUGUGUUUUCCUCCAUUUCCGCCUUUCUUUAUUGUUUAUAGAUGAAACAUUUUGUAUAUCUCAGGUGCUAAUAUUAGCGCACUCCCUUUUAUCUGGGCUCUGCCCUGUAUGCAUUGCCAUCAAGGAUUACGAGUCGACGAGUCGUUGAGUCGUUCCGAGGUUGAGACUCAUAGACUAAUCGAACUAGUCUUAGACUAGUGCUAGACUAGUCGACAAAGUACUGUAGUAGUCAACUACUAAUACCUAGUAGCAGUAUGUAGUAAACUGUACAGCACAUUACAGUAUAUACAAUAAAACCAACAGUGCUAGCCAACGCUCGCCAGGCCCAGCCCAGUGCAGCUCAGCACGCCACCCCCACCUGGCCCAUUUGGGCCCAAGUAGCCAGCCUACAUCCCAUCCCAUCCCAUCCCUCCCUCCCUCCCUCCCCUCCCCUCCCUCCCUCCCUCCCUCUCCCUUUCUCUCUCUCNNNNNNNNNNNNNNNNNNNNNNNNNNNNNNNNNNNNNNNNNNNNNNNNNNNNNNNNNNNNNNNNNNNNNNNNNNNNNNNNNNNNNNNNNNNNNNNNNNNNAGAGAUUGAUCAUCAACUACAACUAGAAACUCGUCUUCAGUGAAAACCAUAUUUGCUGUUAUGGAAGGCAAUAAAGCAGAAGAGAAUAGAAAUGUAUUGUAAGAGCUUGUCCCAAGUUUGUCCCUCGAAUGGAUAUAUCUAACACUAACUUGGUGCUAGAUACAUCCAUUUGAGGGACAAGGUUUUUCGGACGGAGGGAGUAGAUAAUAAACAUCACCAUUUGAUAACUAUUCUACAUGCAGGUAUAUAGGGAGCAGAGUAAACAACAGACCAACCUAAGGUGCCAUCUUACAGCAUUGGUAUGCAGUGGGCAGAUCAGAGAAUGCAGGUUGUGUCUCUUCAUGAUUCAUGAGUUGAUCAUACCAUAUUCCAGACUAGCAUGAGAAAGGGGCAUCUAUAACAGAGACCAAGUGGUGAUGGAGAGAUUCCACAAGAGUAGAGUGAUGCACGCUGUUUGUGUCAGAAAUAAUUGAUUAGCAAAAAAGAACACUGUUGACUAGCAUUGCAGAUCGAAAUAAACAAAGAGGGGUAUUCGAUAUUUACCAGAGAAUCUACACCAUGACGAGCUGAAUAAAGAAACGAGCAGCAAUAGAAUCAAGCAUUGUCGUCGUCGUCAGAAAUGCAGGAGCAAAAAUCAUCUUCAGAAUCUUGGAUGCUACAACAACACCAACAACGACAGGCGAGCAAGAGCAUGUGUUCAGUUGUGCUAAGUGGAUAUAGGACAUCAUUAGUUCAGAGAGAAAUUAGCUAACCUGUCGCUUCCCGUCCUCACGGCCACCACCUGUGAGGAGGAGCUUUCUCCUGCUGCUGCAGGGUCGUUAUGGAUACAUGAUUCCUCCUGCUCCGUCGCUUCCUCCUCCGCUUGUACUGCAGUAGUGGAACCUUCGGCGACGUCACCCAGGUCGUGGCGGUUCCGGUCCCACAGCAGUCGCAGAACGGGAUGGUUGGGGUGUCCAUCCACUUCACGUUGCAGCAUACCAAGCCUUGCCACUUUACCAUCCCAACCAAGUAAAAUCUCCUUGAGACUUGGAAGGUGAUUGAUACCAUUAAUCCCUGAUUUCAAACUGCAGCAGAGAAUUUCUAUCUUUUCCAAUAGGGGCGAGGUGCCCACCUCAAAUGUCAACUCUGUCAGUUGCUCCAGGCUCCAAAUAUCAAGUCUCCUGAGAUUUGGGAAUGUUUCUGCUCUGAAAACCAGUUUCUCCCCAACAUAAGAAUCAAAAUAAAGACGAAGGAGCAUCAGCUUGGGCAGUGUGCCUAGUAGUUUCAUGCUUUUAUCUCCAUCCUUCAGAUUGCUAUACCAUAACUCAAUCUUCACCAAAUGUACCAGACCCCCAAACCACUCAGGCAUCUCCCCGAGAUCUCCUUGCAAAUUCAGCUUCCUCAGGAGAGGGGGAGGGGAGGAAAUAGACUGCAACAACCACUUGAGUGAUACACUAUUUCCCUGAUAAAUACCGUCCGCACAAAGACAAAGAGAUGUGAGGGAAGUGAGCUUCUCAAGGGAUGUGCAGAAUAUCUUGCUCUUUUGCUUGCUUGCCCAUACUGUGGCACUUAACUUUCUUAGCUUUAUAAGCUCCCCGAGCUCUUUAACUGCUUUCCUACUUGUCCGCUCAAUAUCCACGACCUCUAGUAUAUAUCUCUAACUCCUUUAGGUUGCUGAUUCCUUUGGGCACUUGCAUACCCCGAGAGUUGGUCAGUCGACCAGUCCAGGCCAUGUGAAUGAACAUCAUAAUCUCUCGACGCCGUUCUAAACUAACCAAAGGAGUGAAUAGAAUAGGCAUACAGAAUGUGGACAUGAACCAGGUCAUGGGGUAAAGUAAGUAUAAAUCAGCAUCUGUACUCUCUUUGCUGCAACGGAGGAUACGAAGGCUUUGUAGUUUAGUGAUCUCAGUUGGUAGUGAUGCUACAGCACUAUUUCUCAUGUCCAAAGUUUGCAAGCCUUGUAUGUUCCCUAUGGUUCUUGGGAGCGUGUAAAUAUAACUUUCACCUUUAUAUGAAGACAAAACAUGGACAUAUUUCAAAUGACGUAACGACCCUAUGCUGCUGAUAUCUUUUUGUUCUAUUACAAACUGGGCAUCAUGUAGAUCCGAGACUCUGAGCAUCCUAAAGUCGGGCGAACAUAGUGAAAGUGCCGGCUUCAUGGGUCUCUCGCCAAACACAGUCAAUGAUCGGACAUGGUUCCAAUCCAGGCCUUUAUUUGGGCACCAACUGCCUUGCAGUGCUAUAUGACGGAAGUUAUCCCUUCCUAUGCCCAUUACUUUAUCUGAUGUAGACCAUGCAAAAUUUUCAUCUCUAGAAAUCGAGAUCAUGACAUCCCGAACAAUAUCAUGAACUCGACAACUCUUGAUAAUUCCUUCAAUGUUCACUCUUGAUGGCUGAAUCAAGCUUCGGUUGAUUAGGUCAUUAAAGUAACUAUUCCCAACAUCCUCAACACUCACCCCACUCCUGGCAAUAAUAAACCCCUCGGCUAUCCAUCUUUCCACCAUACGCCUCCUUUUGAUUUCAAAAUCCUCAGGAAAUAUGCUUAAAUAUAGAAAACAUGACUUAAGAUGAGAAGGCAAGUGAUUGUAACUCAGAGUAACCAUCCUCCUCAUUGCUUCAAGGCUCCCAUUUCUCUCUAGCUCUGAGGGGAGCUGUUUAUAAAUAUUCUCCCACUCAUCAACCCCUCUAGUGGCAAGCAUGCCUCCUAUUGUGAGUAUAGCUAGGGGUAGCUGUCCAGACUUUUUGACUAUCUUAGUAACUAUUUUCCUCAUAUCCCCAUCUUUUUUCAUUUCUUCCUCAUUUUUCCUAGUCUUCCUUAGUAGCAGAUUUAUGGCAUCAUUUGUUUCUAGGGGUUCAUGGCGGUAGAUAAGUGAGCUAGAAGGUCCCAAAGUGCAGUUCUCAGCUAAGCCAAGAUCUCGUGUUGUUACCAUUAUCCGGCUACCAUUGUUGUUGAUACUAGGAAAAACAAAAGUUUCCAUCCAAUUCCAAUCAUCUAUGUUCCACAAAUCAUCAAGGACNNNNNNNNNNNNNNNNNNNNNNNNNNNNNNNNNNNNNNNNNNNNNNNNNNNNNNNNNNNNNNNNNNNNNNNNNNNNNNNNNNNNNNNNNNNNNNNNNNNNGGAGGAGGGGAAUUUAUUUCUGCCUCCAACUCCAUGUAAUUCGAACUAACACUUUCUACGCUCAUAGCCGGCCCAUUUACCGAAUUUGGGUAUGACGACUCUGGGUCAAAUUCCACAAGCAUUCCGUCCAUUGAACCCGGGAAAACAAAAGGAUCCAUCGUGACUCCCCAUCUUUUUCAGCUCUGCUCCCAAACAAAAGAGAAAGGGAGACUUAGUUUUAGAUCGGCGUUGGUUUUUCCAACGAAAAACAAGAACAUUCUUUCACGAACUUCCAUGACAAAAUGCUAGUUGCCUCGUAACGCAUACACUGGAGCGUUUGUCCCAUCGACGAAGACUACUUACUAUACGCGUUUUCGAGUUGCAUUUAGUGCUCUUUUUCGUCGCCAGCUAAAUCAAUCAAUUUGACAAGAUCUUGCAUCAAUCACCUCGUCCGCUAGGGAAAUGCACUCCUGAAUAGACUCGAUUCCCCGCCCCGCAUCAGUGAAAUGUCUAAGACGCAACGGAAUAGCAACGUUUCUUUCUAUAUGAUAAUAUGCACCGAGGGGAGGAGUAGUUUCAAAUAGAAGUCAAGUAAACAGAUUCAAGUUAGCCCAGUUUGGUUCCUUGGAAAAGCUAUUCAAAGCAAAGGGUUGACGGGUGGUGGAGUCCCAUCCCAGGUUUAGUAUAUAGCCCCUGUUUUCCAAUCCGUAAACGGUGGAUUGACUUGCUCUUUAUCAAAUCCACAUUAAAAAGGGGUUUUGUCGUUCAAUGCUUUGAUCCGCGCACCUUAUUUCUGAUUGAACCACUUCCUCGAAAGGACAUCGUAUCGGUGCCAGAAUAUGGGCUAGCGGUACACCAACCUCCCCACCAACUGCUACGCCCCGCGGGGCUUCUUCCUAGCGCUAUUGAAAUGAUAUUCCUAUUAUUGGUCCUAGCAAUAUCCCUGGACCAGGGCACGGCACCUAUCCAACUAUGUCUUGUUUCGGUUUCCGGAUCCGAAUCUUUUGUUAUACUUAUGUAUGGAUGAUUGUACACAACAGGUGUGGAAAGUGCGAUAGAGCUCGAAAAUGGAUGCCCCUAUUUCAAUUUCAUAAGUGCUUGUGCAACGGCUUGAAAGUGACAGACUGAGUCAAGUGACCUGUUUUUGUCACAUGAUCCAGAAUUGCACGAGAACCUACAAGUCCUGUUAUCGUUCUUAAUUCGAUAGCCACGGGACAGCCGUUUUCUCGUCUCUCAGCCUUUCUUAUACCUGCACUGACCUCAACGGUAUCCAACCUGCAAAAAAUAUCUAUACCCAUUAGCUCAUCACGCCAACAGUUCUCUUGGGUUGACUGAACCUACCUAUCCGAAAUCCCUGUUGCCAACUUCUUACUGCACAGAAGCAAUGGAACAGUAUCGUAAAGUGAAGUGAAGCAAACAAACCACUCCUUUGGAAUUGAUGGACUUGACACACAGCCGACGACUGAGAUGUGCCAUUGUCAUCGUCAAGAUCGUCCAUCACGAGUACCUUCUUUUCUGCAUCCGUCAGUUCAAGUUUUCCCAGCAUGUUUUAUUACUUGCCUCGAUCGAUACCAUCCACUUAUUUCUCUUUCUCACGGGACACAUAAAGAUACCAGCGCUUGUGCGAACAGUUGAUGCUUGUUAAGCCAUAGCUAUCACUUCUCGCGCCAAAGCGCUCCCACCAACUACAAAAUACCUUAUAGGAGGGGCCCUUGUCUUCAGCUAAAAAGAAGCAGAUAUUGCCGUAAGCAGGAGAUGGAAAAGCCCACGAUCCAUAACUUACUCACUCAGAUAUUUACUAGAGCUUGGCAGUGAAUGAAGGCAGUACAGGAGACUCCGAAUCCUAUUCAGAUUGCCAAUGAUCCAGUCAAGCAUGAACUAACCAAGCAUAUUGGUUUCGAUCACGUCUAUCCGAAGUCAAUAGAGCAAUUUAGAGCGUAGCGGUAUCUUUUGCUAAUGAAAUGAGAUUGGAUAUGAAUGUGGAAUUCAUUGAGUGGAGAGAUGAACUAAUCUAUACUCUGCCUGUCUUCCAUUUCUCUGAAGAUUUCGUUUACAACACAACAUCAAACUCCAAUUUCAUGAAUUGAUAGGUAAGGAUCGCUGUCGAACAGCUCUUCUUCAUUUCUUCCGGAAUUCUUUCUUCUAAGGUAGUAGGUAUCGGGUUUCCCUGUUCAUACUCCGAACAUGAGUUAAUAUACUCUUGUAGAGCAGAUCACUUAGGGCUUUAUACUGGUUCGACGACUGGGUUCUUGUUCCUUUCUCUUCUUUGUCUGUCCACUCCCUUUGUUUUCAACAGUCUUUGGAGCUUCUGGUACCACUGGUGUGAUCUCAUUCUUGAAUGCUAACACCCUGGUGUCUCCUAACGCUACGCUUUCUAAGCAACCUGAGUGUUCUCUGAACUAGGUGAACAAUCCAGGGCGAUAGCGUGAAAGGGCCUCGUCAUUGCUCAUCCAGUUUCACUACAUUAGCCUCCUCGUGUUCCUAAGGGCUACCACCAACUAAUGCUUUUCGACUUCUGGCUAGAGCUACUAACCUACCUCGAACAAGAGCUGCAUCCCGGUAGCGCUUUGAAUCAUCAUUUUACUAUUCCUAGGUUCGAUUCCUGCUGUCUUUACUUUCUGUCUUGCCUCUAUGCCUUCCUGGUGGGUGACUGUGACCUGGAGAUGGUUCGAUGGUUGGUGACUCUAAGCCAGAGUGAUGCUUUCUUAGUUUCAUAAAUGCCUUUCUAAGCCCUUUCCAAUCAAUGGAGAAUGGUUACUAGAGCUAGCGCCUGUCCCACUUUAGAACACUAAGAACGUAAUAAGCCUAGCCGGGACAAAUGCACUCAGUGUUAGUCCGAUCACCUCGGCUAAAAUCAUCUUCCCUUUAUUAAUGACCAAGGGUAUCCAUAUCAUGAUAUGUAGAUACAAGAGGGCAGAGGCAUUGAUGCGGGUAGGAUGCGUGUCUGCUUUCCUGUUGUUUGAAGGAGUAGAUACAUUCAUUUCCUUUUGCCAGAGUGAGAGUGAGAGUUGUGUGGGNNNNNNNNNNNNNNNNNNNNNNNNNNNNNNNNNNNNNNNNNNNNNNNNNNNNNNNNNNNNNNNNNNNNNNNNNNNNNNNNNNNNNNNNNNNNNNNNNNNNGGAGGAGGGGAAUUUAUUUCUGCCUCCAACUCCAUGUAAUUCGAACUAACACUUUCUACGCUCAUAGCCGGCCCAUUUACCGAAUUUGGGUAUGACGACUCUGGGUCAAAUUCCACAAGCAUUCCGUCCAUUGAACCCGGGAAAACAAAAGGAUCCAUCGUGACUCCCCAUCUUUUUCAGCUCUGCUCCCAAACAAAAGAGAAAGGGAGACUUAGUUUUAGAUCGGCGUUGGUUUUUCCAACGAAAAACAAGAACAUUCUUUCACGAACUUCCAUGACAAAAUGCUAGUUGCCUCGUAACGCAUACACUGGAGCGUUUGUCCCAUCGACGAAGACUACUUACUAUACGCGUUUUCGAGUUGCAUUUAGUGCUCUUUUUCGUCGCCAGCUAAAUCAAUCAAUUUGACAAGAUCUUGCAUCAAUCACCUCGUCCGCUAGGGAAAUGCACUCCUGAAUAGACUCGAUUCCCCGCCCCGCAUCAGUGAAAUGUCUAAGACGCAACGGAAUAGCAACGUUUCUUUCUAUAUGAUAAUAUGCACCGAGGGGAGGAGUAGUUUCAAAUAGAAGUCAAGUAAACAGAUUCAAGUUAGCCCAGUUUGGUUCCUUGGAAAAGCUGUUCAAAGCAAAGGGUUGACGGGGGGUGGAGUCCCAUCCCAGGUUUAGUAUAUAGCCCCUGUUUUCCAAUCCGUAAACGGUGGAUUGACUUGCUCUUUAUCAAAUCCACAUUAAAAAGGGGUUUUGUCGUUCAAUGCUUUGAUCCGCGCACCUUAUUUCUGAUUGAACCACUUCCUCGAAAGGACAUCGUAUCGGUGCCAGAAUAUGGGCUAGCGGUACACCAACCUCCCCACCAACUGCUACGCCCCGCGGGGCUUCUUCCUAGCGCUAUUGAAAUGAUAUUCCUAUUAUUGGUCCUAGCAAUAUCCCUGGACCAGGGCAUGGCACCUAUCCAACUAUGUCUUGUUUCGGUUUCCGGAUCCGAAUCUUUUGUUAUACUUAUGUAUGGAUGAUUGUACACAACAGGUGUGGAAAGUGCGAUAGAGCUCGAAAAUGGAUGCCCCUAUUUCAAUUUCAUAAGUGCUUGUGCAACGGCUUGAAAGUGACAGACUGAGUCAAGUGACCUGUUUUUGUCACAUGAUCCAGAAUUGCACGAGAACCUACAAGUCCUGUUAUCGUUCUUAAUUCGAUAGCCACGGGACAGCCGUUUUCUCGUCUCUCAGCCUUUCUUAUACCUGCACUGACCUCAACGGUAUCCAACCUGCAAAAAAUAUCUAUACCCAUUAGCUCAUCACGCCAACAGUUCUCUUGGGUUGACUGAACCUACCUAUCCGAAAUCCCUGUUGCCAACUUCUUACUGCACAGAAGCAAUGGAACAGUAUCGUAAAGUGAAGUGAAGCAAACAAACCACUCCUUUGGAAUUGAUGGACUUGACACACAGCCGACGACUGAGAUGUGCCAUUGUCAUCGUCAAGAUCGUCCAUCACGAGUACCUUCUUUUCUGCAUCCGUCAGUUCAAGUUUUCCCAGCAUGUUUUAUUACUUGCCUCGAUCGAUACCAUCCACUUAUUUCUCUUUCUCACGGGACACAUAAAGAUACCAGCGCUUGUGCGAACAGUUGAUGCUUGUUAAGCCAUAGCUAUCACUUCUCGCGCCAAAGCGCUCCCACCAACUACAAAAUACCUUAUAGGAGGGGCCCUUGUCUUCAGCUAAAAAGAAGCAGAUAUUGCCGUAAGCAGGAGAUGGAAAAGCCCACGAUCCAUAACUUACUCACUCAGAUAUUUACUAGAGCUUGGCAGUGAAUGAAGGCAGUACAGGAGACUCCGAAUCCUAUUCAGAUUGCCAAUGAUCCAGUCAAGCAUGAACUAACCAAGCAUAUUGGUUUCGAUCACGUCUAUCCGAAGUCAAUAGAGCAAUUUAGAGCGUAGCGGUAUCUUUUGCUAAUGAAAUGAGAUUGGAUAUGAAUGUGGAAUUCAUUGAGUGGAGAGAUGAACUAAUCUAUACUCUGCCUGUCUUCCAUUUCUCUGAAGAUUUCGUUUACAACACAACAUCAAACUCCAAUUUCAUGAAUUGAUAGGUAAGGAUCGCUGUCGAACAGCUCUUCUUCAUUUCUUCCGGAAUUCUUUCUUCUAAGGUAGUAGGUAUCGGGUUUCCCUGUUCAUACUCCGAACAUGAGUUAAUAUACUCUUGUAGAGCAGAUCACUUAGGGCUUUAUACUGGUUCGACGACUGGGUUCUUGUUCCUUUCUCUUCUUUGUCUGUCCACUCCCUUUGUUUUCAACAGUCUUUGGAGCUUCUGGUACCACUGGUGUGAUCUCAUUCUUGAAUGCUAACACCCUGGUGUCUCCUAACGCUACGCUUUCUAAGCAACCUGAGUGUUCUCUGAACUAGGUGAACAAUCCAGGGCGAUAGCGUGAAAGGGCCUCGUCAUUGCUCAUCCAGUUUCACUACAUUAGCCUCCUCGUGUUCCUAAGGGCUACCACCAACUAAUGCUUUUCGACUUCUGGCUAGAGCUACUAACCUACCUCGAACAAGAGCUGCAUCCCGGUAGCGCUUUGAAUCAUCAUUUUACUAUUCCUAGGUUCGAUUCCUGCUGUCUUUACUUUCUGUCUUGCCUCUAUGCCUUCCUGGUGGGUGACUGUGACCUGGAGAUGGUUCGAUGGUUGGUGACUCUAAGCCAGAGUGAUGCUUUCUUAGUUUCAUAAAUGCCUUUCUAAGCCCUUUCCAAUCAAUGGAGAAUGGUUACUAGAGCUAGCGCCUGUCCCACUUUAGAACACUAAGAACGUAAUAAGCCUAGCCGGGACAAAUGCACUCAGUGUUAGUCCGAUCACCUCGGCUAAAAUCAUCUUCCCUUUAUUAAUGACCAAGGGUAUCCAUAUCAUGAUAUGUAGAUACAAGAGGGCAGAGGCAUUGAUGCGGGUAGGAUGCGUGUCUGCUUUCCUGUUGUUUGAAGGAGUAGAUACAUUCAUUUCCUUUUGCCAGAGUGAGAGUGAGAGUUGUGUGGGNNNNNNNNNNNNNNNNNNNNNNNNNNNNNNNNNNNNNNNNNNNNNNNNNNNNNNNNNNNNNNNNNNNNNNNNNNNNNNNNNNNNNNNNNNNNNNNNNNNNUGCUCAAAUCAUCUGUGAAGGUCAGAAAAUAAUGAUACUUGUCGCGAGCCUUAAUAUUCAUCGGACCACAUACAUCAGUAUGUAUGAUUUCCAACAAAUCUGUUGCUCGCUCCAUUGUUUCGGAGAAGGACGUUUUAGUCAUCUUGCCCAUGAGGCAUGGUUCGCAAGCAUCAAGUGAUUCAUAAUCAAGUGAUUCCAAAAUUCAAUCUGCAUGGAGUUUCUUUAUGCGCUUUACACCAAUAUGACUUAAACAGUAGUGCCACAAACAAGUUGCACUAUCAUUAUUAACUUUGCAUCCUUUUGGCUUCAAUAUUAUGAAUAUGUGUAUCACUACGAUCGAGAUUCAACGAACCAUUUCGUUGGUGUGUAUAACCAUAGAAGGUUUUAUUCAUAUAAACAGAACAACAAUUGUUCUCUAACUUAAAUGAAUAAUUGUAUUGCAAUAAACAUGAUCAAAUCAUAUUCAUGCUCAACGCAAACACCAAAUAACACUUAUUUAGUUUUAACACUAAUCCCGAAAGUAUAGGGAGAGUGUGAUGAUGAUCAUAUCAAUCUUGGAACCACUUCCAACACACAUCGUCACUUCACCCUUAACUAGUCUCUGUUUAUUCUGCAACUCCCGUUUCGAGUUACUACUCUUAGCAACUGAACCAGUAUCAAAUACUGAGGGGUUGCUAUAAACACUAGUAAAGUACACAUCAAUAAUCAUGUAUAUCAAAUAUACUUAUGUUCACUUUGCCAUCCUUCUUAUCCGCCAAUCACUUGGGGUAGUUCCGCUUCCAGUGACCAGUCCCUUUGCAGUAGAAGCACUUAGUCUCAGGCUUAGGACCAGACUUGAGCUUCUUCACUUGAGCAGCAACUCGCUUGCCGUUCUUCUUGAAGUUCCUCUUCUUCCCUUUGCCCUUUUCUUCUAGUGGUCUCGUUAACCAUCAACACUUGAUGUUUUUCUUGAUUUCUACCUUCAUCGAUUUCAUCAUCAUGAAAAGCUCGGGAGUCGUUUUCGUCAUCCCUUGCAUACUAUAGUUCAUCACGAAGUUCUACUAACUUGGUGAUGGUGACUAGAGAAUUCUGUCAAUCACUAUCUUAUCUGGAAGAUUAACUCCCACUUGAUUCAAGCGAUUGUAGUACCCAGACAAUCUGAGUACAUGCUCACUAGUUGAGCGAUUCUCCUCCAUCUUUUAGCUAUAGAACUUGUUGGAGACUUCAUAUCUCUCAACUCGGGUAUUUGCUUGAAAUAUUAACUUCAACUCCUGGAACAUCUCAUAUGGUCCAUGACGUUCAAAACGUCAUUGAAGUCCCGAUUCUAAGCCGUUAAGCAUGGUGCACUAAACUAUCAUGUAGUCAUCAUAUUGAGCUAGCCAAACGUUCAUAACGUCUGCGUCCGCUCCUGCAAUAGGUCCGUCACCUAGCGGUGCAUCAAGGACAUAAUUCUUCUGUGCAGCAAUGAGGAUAAACCUAAGAUCACGGAUCCAAUCCGCAUCAUUGCUACUAACAUCUUUCAACACAAUUUUCUCUAGGAUCAUAUCAAAAUAAACACAUGAAAGCAACAACGCGAGCUAUUGAUCUACAACAUAGAUAUGCUAAUACUACCAGGACUAAGUUCAUGAUAAAUUAAAGUUCAAUUAAUCAUAUUACUUAAGAACUCCCACUUAGAUAGACAUCCCUCUAAUCCUCUAAGUGAUCACGUGAUCCAAAUCAAACUAAGCCAUAACCGAUCAUCACGUGAAAUGGAUUAGUUCUCAAUGGUGAACAUCAUCAUGUUGAUCAUAUCUACUAUAUGAUUCACGCUCGACCUUUCGGUCUCCGUGUUCCGAGGCCAUAUCUGCAUAUGCUAGGCUCGUCAAGUAUAACCCGAGUAUUCUGCGUGUGCAAAACUGGCUUGCACCCGUUGUAGAUGGACGUAGAGCUUAUCACACCCGAUCAUCACGUGGUGUCUGGGCACGACGAACUUUGGCAACGGUGCGUACUCGGGGAGAACACUUCUUGAUAAUUUAGUGAGAGAUCAUCUUAUAAUGCUACCGUCAAUCAAAGCAAGAUAAGAUGCAUAAAAAGAUAAACAUCACAUGCAAAUCAAUAUAAGUGAUAUGAUAUGGUCAUCAUCAUCUUGUGCUUCAUGAUCUCCAUCUCUGCAGCACCAUCAUGAUCACCAUCGUCACCGGCGCGACACCUUGAUCUCCAUCGUAGCAUCGUUGUCGUCUCGCCAAUCCUAUGCUUCUACGACUAUCGCUACCGCCUAGUGAUAAAGUAAAGCAUUACAAGGCGAUUGCAUUGCAUACAAUAAAGCGACAACCAUAUGGCUCCUGCCAGUUGCCGAUAACUCGGUUACAAAACAUGAUCAUCUCAUACAAUAAAAUUUAGCAUCAUGUCUUGACCAUAUCACAUCACAACAUGCCCUGCAAAAACAAGUUAGACGUCCUCUACUUUGUUUUGUUGCAAGUUUUACAUGGCUGCUACGGGCUUAAGCAAGAACUAAUCUUACCUACGCAUCAAAACCACAACGAUAGUUCGUCAAAUAGACUCCGUUUUAACCUUCUCAAGGACCGGACGUAGCCACACUUGGUUCAACUAAAGUUGGUGAGAUGUCUCCCGCAAGCCAUCUGUGUGCAAAGCACGUCGAGGGAACCGGUCUCGCGUAAGCGUACGCGUAAGGUUGGUCCGGGUCAUCUCAUCCAACAAUACCGCUGAACCAAAGUAUGACAUGCUGGUAGGCAGUAUGACUUGUAUCGUCCACAACUCACUUGUGUUCUACUCGUGCAUAUAACAUCAAACCAUAAAAACCUAGGCUCGGAUGCCACUGUUGGGGAACGUAGUAAUUUCAAAAAAAUUCCUACGCACACGCAAGAUCAUGGUGAUGCAUAGCAACGAGGGGGAGAGUGUUGUCUACAUACCCUUGUAGACCUGAAGCGGAAGCGAUCACAACGUAGAGGAAGUAGUCGUACGUUCUCCUCGCGAUCCAACCGAUCCCGGCGCCGUUACUCCGGCGCCCCCGAGUUCUUNNNNNNNNNNNNNNNNNNNNNNNNNNNNNNNNNNNNNNNNNNNNNNNNNNNNNNNNNNNNNNNNNNNNNNNNNNNNNNNNNNNNNNNNNNNNNNNNNNNNAGUGUCCUCUGACAGUAUAACUGCAAGACGCGACCUCGACGAUGGCAAUGACCGUGUCGCGAUGACGCUCGACAAGUUCUACAAUCCUACAAACAUGCCAAUUUUUUUGCUAAUCAAAAUAGGCAAACUAGCAUGUGCCACUGAACGAGCCCCAUGCAACCAAAUGUGUUGGAAGUCAUCCAAUAUGGACAAUCAGAGUUGUCGCAAGUAAUGCAGCCAGUCUUCAUUUGUACAUAGAUACUGCUUUCACUUUGUAUAUAAACAACCCAUCUUCAUCAAAGCAAACAACAAACUCAACCAUCUCACUUAUCCAUAUUUUAUGCUUCAUUAGUACAAACCCUUCAUUUUUAGUAUCUUCGUAGUGAAUGGUGGUGGCAAUCCACUCAAGAAGAAGAAAUAAUAGAGUGAAAACUGAACCAGUAUAUGCAGUUGAUGAUGUGCAGGAAUAAGAGACAUGGGGAAAGAACCAGCUAACAGAUAGUUUUUUUUAAGGAGGAUAACCCCCGACCUCUGCAUCAGCAUAAUGCAUGCAGCCAUUUUAUUAAAACGAAAUAAAGUAUAGUCAGGUCAGCAGUUCAAUACAACUCGCAAAAGGAGCAAAAAUCAGCCACAAAACUAAAAGGAGCAAGCCACAACCGGCAAAUCAUAGGACUCGGUGACUAAACACCUAUCAUAUUAGUGGACCGUCAUCCAAACCGAUUGAAGAUAUCCCGUGCUAACAUCUCCCACCGGUUGUACCCAGUAACCAAAAGCUCCUUGCAGUCUAUAUGAGUGAGUAACGACCACGUACGGAUCCAAGCAGUAGCUGUGAAGAUGACCUGCAGAAAGUUAAUGAAGUUUUCCCUAUUAAAGAUCAUAUCAUUACUGCAGUUCCAUAUAACCCGGAGUAAUGCAUAUAUUCCUAUCUGAAUACGUCCCACAGUAAUUGCAUCCACACCAGUUAGCCAUGUCCCAAACAACAUUGCAAUGCUAGUUGGAUGGUUAAUAUUAAAGGCUAUAUGAAUCGAGCGCCAUAGGAUCUUGGCUAGGAGACAAUCAAGGAAGAAUUACCGUUCUGAAACCAGGCAGAUACUUUCAAAGUUCUGAUGUGUACGCAUGUCGUAAUUGAUGUUCAGAUUUAUUUAACUUUUUACCAUACUUUGCGUAGUAGAUAGCAGGAAAACACCGUAAAGGAAAGAAGCAUCAGAUAUCCUCUGGCCCGCUAGCCAAGCCAAGUGUUGAAAUGUUUUCUUGUUCCCGUCCUCAACACUUUAAAUGGAUUAGUUAUAAUAACGAACAUUUAAAUGGACUAGUUAACACAAAAAUCGUUUUAAAUCCUAAUACAAAAUUAAUUUAGUGGCACAUGAUUGCAUCAUCAAAUCGAUGCCGCAAGAAACAUAGGGAGGUGGGGAUUCAAAGGCCAAAUAUGAACCGAGCAACAAAAAAGAUCCAGAAACAUUAGCACAAAUGAGAACCGAUUUUUUUGUGUCACUCACUUCAUUAUUAACGGUAGAAAAAUAAUCCUAAAGUUACAAUAAAAAACAAAAAUAUAUGUUACGGAAAUACUUUGCUACCCAUCAUUGUGGUAGCUAUACAUGGCCCCAAUUUUUAUCUCUAAUUAUGUUGGUAAAUUGUUUUGGACCAUGAAAAAUAACUCUAUAAAAGAAUAUCAUGACUUUGGACCAGCUAGGCAAGCAAAAAUGCACUUGUGCCAAAAAAGACAAGCAAAAAGACUGAGAGAAGUGAGAAAAGACCCUUUCCACAGAAUGGAAAGGCACUUGUGUCAAAAAGGUAAAAAAGACAAAAGAAGUGAGAAAAAGUCAUUUCUAUACAACAAAAAUGCACUUGUGCCAAUGCCAUAAUAAACUCGACGUCUCAUAUAUGUUAUUCUCAGAUAUAAUGAGUUAAGGGCAUUGGUAUUAUUUUCACACAAGAAAGGUGCAUUGGUAAUAUCCUAAAAGAAGAAAAAUAAUACAGAAAGAAACUUAGAGAAAAUGGUUUCAAAAACUUGAAUUAUCAUCCCAGAUGCAACAAGUGUCUUUGCCAUGCCUAUAUUUUUUUAACCACCGUGCAACCACCGGGAGGAAGACCUAAACUUUUCCUUGAUAAUAACAUGUCAUAAAGACAAUGUAAGUGCCAAUCGCAUAGACGAACAACAAUUUAAUGAUCAGCGUCUUUUCUCGUAGAUUACUCAUUAAGUAUUUAAUAAUGUGAAAACAUACUUUCUGUUUGAUGCUAAUCACACAACUGACAGUCAUCUGGUACAAAAUUGUAGUAUUACACUAUGACUAGAUGGCUACAUUUACAUCCUUAAGUCGUGACCAAUCUAUCAUCCUAUGAAAAUUCGUAGUAUGACUGGAUGGCUCUAAAGAUCCAUAUCCUUACGCCAGGACCAAUCUACUCAGCUUCUUUUAUAAACCUGACACUUUUUUAAUGGAAAACCAGCAUACUUGGGGAUGGUUUGACCCUAACUUCAUUUGAAUUUUAGCAUUCGAUUCUCAUUCUCUUGCUAAAAACAUACCUAAGUAGAUGUAAAUUCGUAAAUGGAGAUGCAUUCUUUCGUUUCUUACUAGUUCUUUUUUAGAUUAGAUAUAGGGAAAUCUCUCACCUCUCCACAUCUCAAGGAAGUAGUCAAGUCCAUCCAAUAUAUAUGCACGAGGUAGUGUGAAUCAUGCAAGCUAGAAGCGUGCAAGUCACACUUAAUGCAAGUUAUGAUAGGCGGCGGGAUUAUAUCUGAGAAACAAUUUAUGACAUGAAAAUGCUAUAGUCCCACGCACCAUCCCUCAAACAUGCUUAUAAUAUCGUGUAUGCUUGCAUAUAUGUAUAUCGACACACCAUUGUUGAACACUCAAGUGUGAGAAAGACCAACCAACAUACUCACAUGCAUACAUACACUGUUGUUAUUACUCAAGCAGAUCAUAAGGGCAGAACUAAAAACGUUGAGGUAGUGUCCUCAUUAGCUCGAAGGAUCAAAACAACAUACAAGAGAAGCCAUUAGAAACCUGCUUUUGGGAAUANNNNNNNNNNNNNNNNNNNNNNNNNNNNNNNNNNNNNNNNNNNNNNNNNNNNNNNNNNNNNNNNNNNNNNNNNNNNNNNNNNNNNNNNNNNNNNNNNNNNCCCUUCACCCAUCAAGAAAAAAUUCAUCUAGACCUGCGUCAGUGCAUGUUGCAGUGUUACAUCGCUGUCGCAGGUAUGGAGGAAUUUUUUCCUUUGUGUUAUCAUUCACAUUCAUCACAGAGUGUGUCCUAGCUGCAAUCACGUCACAUAACCACACCAUCGUGAAAACAUCAUUGUUCGACAAUGUUGUGGUUUUAGCUCAGAUACAUUGGCCCCAACAACUGAAUAUCAGAGUAUAAGUAUUUUUCAUAAGUAUAUAUUGCAUAUCAUAAAAAGUCAUUAUGAAGCAAUUUGAGGUGAUCAGGGCUCUUGUAGGUAUGGACACUGAGACUAGGUGGAUUGUCUUCCCUGGGGGAGUCGUCUGCGCGAGGAACGGAGGUCACGACAACCUAGGAUCCACGAUGAUGUCGUACUAGAUGUCUUAUGGAUUGUAUAUCAGGUUUAGUUCCAUGGUUGUGCGAUCAGCACUACUUGUCAUAGUGCAUUUGUAUCCCUAGUUUACUUUGGUCAUGUAGUUUGAGAAGAGCUUCUUGUUAUUGUUUAGUGUAUAGUUUGAGUAGCACUUCUGGUUUUUGCAGUCAUCCCUCCCAUUAGAAGUGUUUGGUUGUUUAUUGGUGCAAAAAUCGUGUGUUGUGAUCGAGAAUGUUGGAUUGUUUAAUUUUGCAAAACGAUCUAUGGUAGUUCAUGUGAUGAGAAUGAUCCUAUGCUCGCGAGGUGUUGGACACAAUGCGAGAUAGGUAAGUGUUUUUGUAUUAUUAUUUUUUCUCAAAAUCUUGGAUCAUGUGACAUUGAAAUUUGGUGAUGGUUUUUGACAUCGUACUAUGCAAAACGAGUUGGGUGACCUGGAAAAAUUCAUGGCGCUGGAUGAAAGGAACGCCAUUGACCUCAAUGAUGUUGUCAUUUCUGUGGCAGAUGAAAGCCAAGGAGAGAGACAUAGUGUCGAAAUAGAGGGUAACCACACACACAUACCAUGAAGAGAGAGCUAACAAGGUCAGUGAACUACAAGGUUGAGGAGGACAUAACUUUGUGCAAUGCUUGAAUGAACAUGUCUCUCUUGACGCCAGGGCUGGAGGAGUCGAUCAAACCAAGGAAAUAAUUUAGAGGAGGAUUGAGCAAUAAUAUUCACACAAUGUUUUGAUUCCAUCCAAUCACACGCAUGGGUAUCUCUGCUCAUCGCUGAAGUAGCAUCCAAGAUCAGUGACAUUGAUGGUCCGAUUGUGUUGAGCAAGUGAACAACUCACCGACCAGUGUAGUGCCAAUAACCGAGUAUGAAUGAAAGGAUGAGACAAGAUUGGUAAAUUGUUCCUGGAGAGAUCUUGGCAAGGUCGAGGUUCUUUGGUGGUUACACUAGUGGUAGUGGUGCUAAUGAGAAUAUUGUUGAAAACUUGAAAUGGUGUGGAAAUGCCUAUGUAGAAAGAUGGAUGAGAUAGGUAGAACAUAUAGUGACUAAAGAUUAGGAGAAGGGCUAGGUGCAAGAAUGUUUAGCUUCACAAAAUUUAAAAAGGUUCGAUUUUGCUAUAUCUCAGGUGCCCGAAAAUUUUCUUCACGUAUGUCACUUUCUCUAGUUCAUUCUGAGCUCGCCGGAGAAAGCCAUAGCCCCACUAUCUAUUUCAAGGGGAGUCACAACCCCAUUAUCUAUCUUAGGGAUGGGGUGAAGGGAGUCGCCCGAAUUUUCACCAGUGGUGUGGGGCUUAGAAGGAUGGCCGAUGCGGUGGGGCAGCAACGAUGGUGGAUGGGAGUUGGGGGGGAGUGGGGCGGCGAGGCGGUGUACGGUAGCGCCCGCCGACCACGGGGGAUGGAGGCAGGCGGAUCUGGCGAGAUAGGCUGUCGGGGGAGGAGAAAUUGUCGUCGGGAGGAAGAAGUUGAACAGUCCGUAGGAUGAUUGAAGCCGUUGGAUAUUGAUCUGAUGGUCGGGAAAGAAAGUGACUCUUGAAAACAUUUUUUAGGCACCGAUUAAAUAAACGGUCCCAAAAAUAUUAAUUAUAGAAGGUGAUUUGAGGAGUUAAGUUUAUGGAAAAGCUAGAAAUGCUUUUAGUGCUGAAAUGUUGGCUUUAAGAUACUCGUUCCCUGUGAAUAAGUGUACAUCUACCUUUUGUACAAAGUCAAAGUUUUAUAAUUUUGACAAACUUUAUAGAAAAAAGUAGUAGCAUACAUGACAUCAAAUUGGUAUAUUAUGAAAGUACAUUUCAAAACGAAUCUAGUGAUGCGAAUCUAGUGCCAUAAAUGCUACUAGUUUUUCCUAUAAAGUACAUUUCAAAACGAAUCUAAUGAUGCGAAUCUAGCAUACAUGAUUAAAUUUCAGUAAUUUACCACAUUAACAAGACUGAGAUUAAGAGAUCUUGUACCACUAUCCUCAUGCUGCCUUGCACUCCUUUGGUCAAAGUCGAGGUCAUCACAACGUUGCAGCGUACCAAAAUUAGGACGGCGUCCUAUGAUCCUUUGACUGAACUCCAAAUCAGCAAGUCCUGAAAUACACAAAAUAUUAUGCAAUUGUGCUUCCGUAUUAAUUUCACCAAAUUAACUUAACCAAGAAUAAGAGAAUCAAUACCAUUGUCCUGACCAAUAUUUGUUUGAUGUCCUGUAGCUCCUUGAGUAAACUCCAGGUCAUCAAGUCCUUGAAUAUAUUGAACAUUAUGCAAUUUUGUUUCCAUGAUUAAAUUUUACCAUAUUAAAUUGAAUAAGAAUAAGAGAAAUUGUACCAUUGUCCUGAUGGUGACCAAUAUUUGGACAAGGUAUUGUAGUCCUUUGACUGAACUCAUGGCCUUGAAUACCAAAGUCUAUCAUCCUGCCUUGAUCAUCCAUCUGAAGAAACUGAAUUGUAUUAUUAGUGGGACUAGUGAGAUGGUAAAAUAUGUACUGUUAUGUAAUAAAAGAAAUUAACGUUUUAAGACAUAUAAUGGGACUAGUGAGAGCUGAGAGAUGAGUCAAGCCACAGUCAAUUGUAUUGCAUGGUCAGAGUUACAAGAGUACAAGUAGGGAACGCAAGAACUGCUCCCNNNNNNNNNNNNNNNNNNNNNNNNNNNNNNNNNNNNNNNNNNNNNNNNNNNNNNNNNNNNNNNNNNNNNNNNNNNNNNNNNNNNNNNNNNNNNNNNNNNNGGGGGGGGGAAUAUGCAACUAACAAUUUUUAGCUUUUCUUUACCAAUUUAAACUUUGCAUCAAAGUAGGUUGUCUAGAUAUGCAACUAGGUGAGCAACCUAUAUGAUGCAACAACAAUAAGUAAACAAGCGAGCAAGGGAAGUAACACAAGAUAAGCUUGCACGAGUAAAGGGAUGAGAUAACCAAGAGUGGAGUCGGUGAAGACGAGGAUGUGUUGCCGAAGUUCCUUCCCUUUGAGAGGAAGUACGCCUCCGUUGGAGUGGUGUGGAGGCACAAUGCUCCUCAAGAAGCCACUAGGGCCACCGUAUUCUCCUCACGCCCUCACACAAUGCGAGAUGCUGCGAUUCCACUAUUGGUGCCCUUGAAGGCGGUGACUGAACCUUUACAAACAAGGUUGAGGCAAUCUCCACAACUUAAUUGGAGGCUCCCAACAACACCACGAAGCUUCACCAUAAUGGAGUAUGGCUCCGUGGUGACCUCACCCAUCUAGGGUGCUCAAACACCCAAGAGUAACAAGAUCCGCGAGGGAUUAGUGGGAGGAAUCAAAUAUCUCUUGGUGGAUGUGUAGAUCUAGGCCUUCUCAACCAAUCCCUAGGAGAUCAACAAGUUUGAUUGGAUAGGGAGAGAAAUCGGGCGAAAAUGGAGCUUAGAGCAACAAUGGAGCUUAGAGGUAGAAUAGGUGAUCAACUCGGAGAAGAAAACUCCCCUUAUAUAGUGGAAGAACAAAUCCAACCGUUAUCCACCAACUCAGCCUGCGAAGCAUGGUACUACCGCACCGGAGGCGUGGUACUACCGCUAGGGCACACGGUACUACCACAAGUCAUUAUAGUACUACCACCCAUACAGCAGAAUCCAAAGCAGCCCUGAUGCGAUGAAGCAGAGGGCAGUAGAACCGCUGGCGCGGUACUACCGCUCCCCCUUGCGAUACUACCACAAGGCAGGGAUAGUCCAGACUUGGGAAGGAAAGGACACAUAAAAAUACAUUCGUGGCUACUUUCACUGAGUUGGGAUCUGUGCAAAAAUCUGGCACGGUAGUGCCGCAUGCCUGGAGCGGUACUACCGCAUAGGGCGCGGAUGUAAAAAAUUACAUCCGCCCCUACUUCCGCUCAUGUUGUUGUGCCAGGCCAGGGCUCACGGUACUACCGCACCCAUGGGGCGGUACUACCGCGUAGGGCGUGGAUGUAAAAAAUUACAUCCGCCCCUACAACCGCUCGAGCAGCUGAGCCUGGCUAGAGGCCACGGUACUACCGCUCCAGAGGAGCGGUACUAUCAUGAGUACCCAUGGUACUACCGCGCCUAUGGUCGGUACUACCGCAAGGCCCUGCGGUACUACCGCUCCGAAGAGUAGUACUACUGCAUGCCCCAGAACAGCAACACUAGGAGUCCUUCAUUUUGCAAAGACGCAGAGAGACGGAGGAUGCUCCCAAGAGAUAAAGGAAAGGUGGUGCAAAAAGGAGCAGACGUGUACGUGUUGAUUCCACCCAAACCUUUCCAACGUGGACCCCCUCUUAAUAGUACGGCUUUCCUACGACUCAAGUCCACCGAAAAGAAACAUAGAGAAAUGCCGUCUUUGAUAACUCCGAGGGGUACCAAAUCGUCUUGUGCUUAGACACGGUAUAUCUGAAAUGCUCAUUGCACAUGAUUAGUCCGCAAAAGCAUUGUCAUCAAUCACCAAAACUACUAAGGGAUAAACAUGCUCUUACAUCCAUCAUCAUGAUCUCCAUCAUCGUGUCUUCAUGAAGUUGUCUCGCCAACUAUUACUUCUACUACUACGGCUAACGGUUAGCGAUAAAGUAAAGUAAUUACAUGGCGUUUUCAUUGACACGCAAGUCAUACAAUAAAUUAAGACAACUCCUAUGGCUCCUGCCGGUUGUCAUACUCAUCAACAUGCAAGUCGUGAUUCCUAUUACAAGAACAUGAUCAAUCUCAUACAUCACAUAUAUCAUUCAUCGCAUCCUUUUGGCCAUAUCACAUCACAUAGCAUACCUGCAAAAACAAGUUAGACGUCCUCUAAUUGUUGUUGCAUGUUUUACGUGGCUGCUAUGGGUUUCUAGCAAGAAUGUUUAUUACCUACGCAAACCACAAUGGUGAUAUGCUAAUUGCUAUUUACCCUUCAUAAGGACCCUUUUCAUCAAAUCCGGUCCGACUAAAGUGGGAGAGACAGACACCCGCUGGCCACCUUAUGCAUCAAGUGCAUGUUAGUCGGUGGAACCAGUCUCACGUAAGCGUAUGUGUAAGGUCGGUCCGGGCCGCUUCAUCCCACAAUGCCCCCGAAUCAAGAUAAGACUAGUAACGGUAAGCAAAUUGAACAAAUCAUCACCCACAACUACUUUGUGUUCUACUCGUGCAUAGAAUCUACGCAUAGACCUAGCUCAUGAUGCCACUGUAGGGUAACGUAGCAAUAAUUCAAAAUUUUCCUACGUGUCACCAAGAUCAAUCUAGGAGAUGAUAGCAACGAGAGAGAGGGAGUGCAUCUUCAUACCCUUGAAGAUCGCUAAGCGGAAGCGUUACAAGGAACGCGGAUGAUGGAGUCAUACUCGCGGCGAUUCAAAUCGCGGAAGAUCCGAUCCAGUGCCGAACAGACGAUGCCUCCGCAUUCAACACACGUAUAGCCCAGGAACGUCCCCUCCUUCUUGAUCCAGCAAGGGGAGAGGAGAAGCUGAGGGAGAGGGAGGGCUUCGUCAGGGCUUCGUCAGGGCUCCGACAGCACGACGGUGUGGUGGUGAUGGAGCUCGUGGUUCUCCGGCAGGGCUUCGUCAAGCACUAUGGAGGAGGAGGAGGUGUUGGGGAGGGGGAGGGGCUGCGCCAGGGGAAGGGUGUGGCAGCCCUCCCAUCCCCACUAUUUAUAGGGGGAAGAGGAGAGGGGGCCACCCCCUAGAUUCCAUCCACAAGGGGGCGACGGCCAAGGGGGAAUUUGUCCCCCAAGUCAGGUGGGAGGCGCCCCCACCCCCCUAGGGUUUCUAACCCUAGGCGCCUUGGGCCCCCUUGGGGGGGGNNNNNNNNNNNNNNNNNNNNNNNNNNNNNNNNNNNNNNNNNNNNNNNNNNNNNNNNNNNNNNNNNNNNNNNNNNNNNNNNNNNNNNNNNNNNNNNNNNNNCAAUGUAUGUCCAGUUGCAGCAACUGUUGUUAUUUGAUUUUAGGAGUUGAACUUGAGCAUGAAGUCACACGUUUCACCGUUUAAGCUUGAAACUAUUAUUCUAAAAAAAUUAUUUAGUAACACUAAAAUUUAUUCAAUAAGUAGUUUGACUAAAAUUAUUUAGUAACACUAAAAUUUAAAAAGAUUGAGGACAACUUUUUUCCUUUCAGAAUCUAAGGAUUCUAAAAAUGUGCAAAACGGCCUACGGUAGCCGAAAUCGGUUCCAGAGGGCCUUUAGUCCCCAUUCUGGAACCGGGACAAAACAGAUGGGACUAAUGCCCAAAAAUUUAGUCCCGGUUGGCUUACGAACCGGGACAAAAGGAGGUCCACGUGGCCGCUGUGGGGCGCCCAGGCAGGAGGACCUUUAAUCCCGAUUUGUAACACCAAUCGGGACUAUAAGGUUUGACGAGAGGCUUCCCGUGCUCAUAUCUGAAGAUCUCUACUACCUCUAACGUUUCAAACUCUACAUCAUCGCUUAGGUAAUAACCAAGAUUGCUACCGGGCAGUAGCCCCGGAUGAUUAGCGACAGUAUCGCUAGACACCUUGAGUGGGGGGCACGAUUGCUUCGCCUGUUCGCCGAGCUAGGGAAUUGUUUUCCCACUUUUUCGUUUUGCUAAUCUUGCAUCACUCGAAGUAUUUCCCGACCACCGCGCUUCAUCAUAUAUCUUUGCAAUACAACGGUGAUAGUUGGAUUGUGGCGGAGGCGGUGGUGGUCUCUUAAGGGCAUCCAUAGUGUGCUUCACUUUCACCGGAUCUGCCAUUUCCUUCAGAGGUGGAGGUUUCCGUUCAAAAUGGGCCUUCACUUCAGCAGCACUGAUGUCCGCAUUUUCCUCUUCAGUCCUCUCAUAUAGUAACUUUGGAAGAGGCUUCAUGCUUGGACCAAAUUUGUAUUUCUUGAAGGAAAUAUGCCCUAGAGGCAAUAAUAAAGUUGUUAUUUUAUAUUUCCUUAUUCAUGAUAAAGGUUUAUUAUUCAUGCUAGAAUUUUAUUGAUCGGAAACCUUAAUACAUGUGUGAAUACUAAUGGUGCAUCACUGGUGCGCCAUUAGUAUCAGGCCACUAGUAUUUAUUACCAAUGGUGCACCACCACUAGUGCACCAUUAGUAUCUGGUAUACUAAUGGCGCACCACCCAGUGCACCAUUAGUAUGCCUCCCAGGGGCCAUAUUUAACCAUGUGCUUUGGCACACUAAUGGCGCACUGCGGAUGGAUGCGCCAUUAGUAUACUUUGGUGCAAUGUUUGGUGAUGCACCAUUAGUAUACUUUGGCAUACUAAUGGCGCACUCUCUAGUGAUGCGCCAUUAGUAUGAAUAUUAGAUUUUAUUUUUUUUUACUUUACUGAUUUUUGCACAGGUUACAAAAUAUAUUAUUUGACAGAAUAUAGACAGUAGCACACAGCAACAACAGAUUCAUCGAAUACAAUAGAAGAUUAGUCUCCGAAUACAAUUCAUCAUAUUAGUCUCCGAAUUCAAAAGACCGAACAAAGAUAAAACAUUACAAGUCUCGAGACCGCGAGUAUCGAGUUUGUCUUCACAUUACAAGUCAAUAUCGAUCAUCUAAACUACCAUCACAUAGAAGAGAGCUGCGAUCAUCACGAUGAGCAUCAUCGCGAUGAAACUGGUCUUCAUCCGGUUCCUCCAACGCUCCCUCCUCUCUCCCGCUAGAUAGCGGGCGUAUCUAGAUUCCGCCUCCACCCGAGUGGUGUACCCUUUGUAACUGUUACCGCUGAAAAGGUGAACCUGCCUCCGACACUCCUCCCAGUCAUCGUAGACUUCGGGAACCUUACCCUAGUACACAACACACGACGGCAUCUCUAUGCACAAGCCAAACAACAUACAAUACAUACAUAAGCAAUAUAUAAGUAUGCAACAAAAGGAUCGGAAGAGAAAAGCAAGACAUGACAUUAAUAGCACGAUUCAUGGUCCUACUAAUAAAUAGCAUCGAUUACAUCUAAGUUGAACGACUGUCCAAACCUAAGAGACAUACAAGUUCAUUAAAGUUUAAUUACAACAUGAGCCAAUCAAUGUUUCAGAACUACACAUAGCAUCACUACUAUCGACUCGACUCAUGGGACCGGAGCGUGGAUGAAGCCGCCGUCUGUCGUGAUGGUCAUGAAAUCACGGGCGUUGUCAGCCUGCAUUUGUAGCGUUCCGUCUAUCUCCUUGUUGGACGGUUGAUAUCUGAGGUAGAACUGCCCCGAGGUAUGAAGGACAUCUUGAUGGAUGAUGUUUGCAAACUCCGACUGGAUGCAAAAGAAUUCUUGUCUGAUGUCCGCAUCCUGGAUUGCCGACAAGCUCGCGGCCCAAUCUUUGACAUUAUUUGGUAGCAGAAGGUGAUGAUGGUCCCUUAUGAUCGCCCGCAUGUGAUGGAGGGCGUAGUAGGCAUCCUUCUGACCGCCAGGCGCCUGCUUGAUGCAGCAAAACGUCGUAUUGUGGGAGAACACGUGCUUGCCGUACUUACGAACUAACCUGGUGAAGGUGCCUCCAGAUUUGGCGUAGCCGGGGAGAACAUCAUCAAGAACUUGCUUGAUAUUUGUGUAGUCUAUCUUGGAGUUACGGUUCGGGUCGAAAUACGUGGCCAUGGAAUAUUUCGGGCUUAAGAGGAUGAGUGUGCAAUGUGUGUCACUGCACAGAACACGGAAUGUUAGAAGAAAAAAAGAACGAUCGAAAUCUAAGAAAUCAUAUGUUACGGGGCGGUUAAGGGAUGACUUACUCGGGAAAGUAAGGCACCAGGAAGUUAUCCUUAUCUGGGUUUGCCAGAAUGACGUCUUCGAGGUGUGAACUCGCGACUUGGCGGUCCCCAGCGCUGCUCAAGAGCUUGGCACACAUGUAGAAGGGGUCGACGAUCACGAUGUCCGGGGUCUUGUCUCUAAUGAUCCGCAUCUCCAUACUCAGCGAAAACAGCCGAACGAAGGUGUAGUGCAGCGGAUGAAGGUUAAACAUAGCAAAGAUGUCAUCAAACNNNNNNNNNNNNNNNNNNNNNNNNNNNNNNNNNNNNNNNNNNNNNNNNNNNNNNNNNNNNNNNNNNNNNNNNNNNNNNNNNNNNNNNNNNNNNNNNNNNNAUUCCCAUCUGCCACAUAACCACGGGCACGGCUCUCAAAAGUUUAUAACCUGCAGGGGUGUGCCAACUUAGCCCAUCACAAGCUCUCACGGUCAACGAAGGAUAUUCAUUCUCCCAGGAAGACCCGAUCAGUCUUGGAAUCCUGGUUUACAAGACAUUUCAACAAUGGUAAAACAAGACCAGCAAAGCCGCCCGAUGUGCCGACAAUCCCGAUAGGAGCUACACAUAUCUCAUUCUCAGGGCAACACCGGAUGAGACUAGCUACGAGUAAAACCAGCCCUCAAGUUUCCCCGAGGUGGCCCCGCAGGAAGCUCGGUUUGGACCAGCACUUAGAGAAGCACUGUCCCGGAGGGGCUAAAAUAAAGAUGACCCUCGGGUUGGCCGACCCAAGGGAAAGGUAAUAGGUUGUUAGGCAAAUGUAAAACCAAGGUUGGGCCUUGUUGGAGGAGUUCUAUUCAAAGCAAACUGCCAAUGGGGACCCAUAAAUCACCCAACCGCGUAAGGAACGGAAGUCAAGGAACGUAACACCGGUAUGACGGAAACUAGGGCGGCAAGAGUGGAACAAAACACCUGGCAUAAGGCUGAGUCUUCCACCCUUUACCAAGUAUAUAGAUGCAUUAAUUAAAUAAGAGAUAUUGUGACAUCCCAACCAUAAUCCUGUCCACCAUGAAGCAAUCUUCAACUUCACCUGCAACUAACAACGCUAUAAGAGGGGCUGAGAAAAAUGCUAACAUAGCCAAACAACGGUUUGCUAGGAAGGUUGAAAAAGGUUAGAGGCUGACAUGGCAAAUUGGGAGGCUUGAAGAACAAGUGAUAGGUAGCACAGCAUAGCGAUAGAACAAAGGAACUAGCAUAGCAAUGAUAGUAAUGAGAUCCAAGGUGAUGGUCAUCUUGCCUAAAAUCCCGCUAGGAAGAAGAACGAGUCCAUGAAGAAGAUGAAGCCACGAAGACGAAUCAAGCGUAGAUGAACAAAUCCUCACGAUCGCAACGAAACGGGAACUAUCGAGAAGAAGCACACAACAUGGUAAACACACCACACAUAAACAUGACAAGAUGCUCAACCAAGCAUGAUGCAUGACAAAGGCUACAUGAAGCUACUCAUGGCAAGAAAUGAUGCAUACAAGAGCAACCCAUCAAGGCAAGUUUAAAUGAGGCCGGAAACAACAUAUAACAAUUCCGGUAAGUCCUCAUAUGCAAAUUUCGAAAUUGGUCCAGAUCUGAUUAGAACACAAUGUUGAAGUUUUUAGACAGCAAGUUAAGAUGCACCAAGAUGAUCUACACAAAAUUCUAAUCAAGUUACAUAUAAAAUUCAUUUAGUUCGGAGCUACGGCCUAGAAGAUAUGAGCAAAACAAGUGGAACAUUGCUUUGAUGCAAAAUACAUUCAAACAUCAAGAAAACACUAUCAAACCAUGGAUUCAACAUGGCAUGAUGAAACUACAUGCAAUUCUAAGCAAGUUUCAUAUAGAGCAUGCUCAAAACGGAGAAACGGUUAAACACAUACACUCCAAACAUAAUAUAACAACAAGCUGUCCAAAAACAGCAACUAGGCAUCUAGCAAGCAUCAAAACAAGAUGCUAAAGCACCUCAACAUGAAAUCAAAAGGCGUGGACAUGAUGUACAGGUAAAGCAUGACAAAACAUGAACAAUGAGUUAUCUCCAGAAAUCACUAGAACAUGCUAAAAAGGGCAUGGCAAGAUUGCAAAUAAUAACAGUUCACAGACUUAGCAGAAAUCACUGGACAUGGCAGAAAUAACACCAGGUUGCAAUGUUUAGAGCUAUCAAACAACAUGUUAACAGGAACUUAUCAUGGCAACCAAAGGCAUGGCAUGCUAAUACUAAAGACAAAGAACAAAACACCGUUAGUGAACUUAUUCCAAAGAUCAACAGAAAAGAUGGUAGCAUCCAUGCAAACAUGGCAAACGAUAUGAUAGAUUCAGACAUGGAAGGAACAACAAUAAGUAGGCAUGUUAGUGAGCUUGUAUAAAUCACCAUAGGCAAUACAUGGCAUGGCAUGGUGACCAACAGUAAGCAGACAUGCUUUUGAAGCUAGGAAUGGCAAGAGAAAGUUCAUAGGGUGCACAGAUCACUAGCAAAGCUCAUGGAAAAACGGAACUUAAUGUUAACAGGCUGACGGCAACAUUAUUUAGCAAUUUGAGAGUAAGAUUACGACAAGCUAUAGCAGGCUAUAAAUGCAACCAGGGGCAUGGAUGGAUAUAGCAUAACAAAACACCCUUAGUGAACAUCUCCAGAUUAUUCAUAGAAUGACUUGUAGCAGCAGGUUUACAUAGCAUCAUGAUAUAGCAGAAUCAGCCCAGCAAAACAGAAACAGCAAGUAUCCUACUUCACAAGCUUGAUGCACUCACCAAAAGGCACAAAAAAUACAUGGAUUGCACCAUUGCAGAAAUAACAUGAUGUAGCUCAAAACUCAUUUAGACAUCAAGCUCAUAGGAUGCGCACACAAAAUGCAAUGAAAAAGACAAAUCACCAAGUUCUGUUAACAGACAACAGUUAACAUCAUAUAGCACUCUUGCAACGAUUAUUAGGGCAUAAAGAUCAACUCAAACAAGCAUGGCACAAUGGAACAAAAUUAGGAGCACCUCACAAUGAACAAUUUGACAUUUCAUUCAACUCAAACGGACAAGCAUGCAUAGAGUUAUAACCAUUCAAACAUGCAUACAUAAAGUUGAAAAUUCGGGACUUGGACAUAUUUCACCUCGCGAGAGACGGGAUCGGGCGGUCCAGCGGGAUGGAGGGAUCCGGGCGCGGGGCGCGGUUGGAUGGCCGGCCUGGUGGAUCUCGUCCACUCGUCCGGAUCCGGGGCCGGCGCGGGUCAGGGAGGCCUCCGGGGACGAGGAAGACGACGGGGCCUCCGAGCGGCGGCACAGAGGGCGGCGACCGACGGCGGGGUCGCGAGGCGGCGGCGGAGCUCCGGCGGGGAGCUCGCCGGACGGUGCGGUGGAACGGCGCGGAGGCCCGCGGGCGACGGGGUCGGAGCNNNNNNNNNNNNNNNNNNNNNNNNNNNNNNNNNNNNNNNNNNNNNNNNNNNNNNNNNNNNNNNNNNNNNNNNNNNNNNNNNNNNNNNNNNNNNNNNNNNNCAGGCAGGGUCACCUAGGAUGGAAGGAGGUGAAGCAGCAGCAAGCCCAGCCAUCUUGGACUGUUGAGGUUGGAAGGCGUGGUUGUAGCGCUGGCCGCACUCCUAGGCGUAAUGCCUAGGGCCACGGCAAAGCUGGCAUUGAACAUGGUUGUCAGCACGGUCACCGUAGUCGCCGCGCUCGCCACGCGGUUGGCACCAAGGUCACCUUGGUGACGUGUGCCGCCGCCACCGCGAUUCCCGCGGUCACCACCGCGAGAAUUGUUGUUGU
rnacentral:lncRNA from 1 species